ACAAACAAUUACUGAUACAAGCACAAGGACAAACACAAGUCACAUCAAAACAGAAAGGCUAAGCAACAAGAACACUUCCACAGAGCACUUCUCACAGGCAAAUUGCUAAACAUGCAGUGAGCAACCAUUGAUUUGGAAUGCGACUGCUUCUCCACAGAGGAUUACAACAAAUUCAGAAAGCAGCCCACACGCUCCUGAUAAGAUCCAAUCACCUUCUGAAUCUGGACAACUUGGGAAAGUUUAUAGCCAAAAAGCAGCAGCAAGUGUCAAUGCAUUCUUCAAUGAAGUAAAACCACCUGCGUCGCCAAUACGGAUUUAUGCACAGUACUGCUGCAAUUGUCAACACCACAGUUAUGUAAAAACACACCAAAGCUGGCAUAGAAACUGUCCAUGUCUAUGAAGCCACCAUCUCCAUUGAAAUCGUUAGGCACUCUCGCGGAUGGUGAUUCUGUUUUGUCGCAACUAUUUUGCAAUGGAGGUCCACAAAGAAGAGGAUUCCCUUUAUAACUGCUCUCAUCAAAGGUACCAAAUUGAUUUUUCAUCUCCGGUGUUCUUCCUGACAAAUUAUUGUAUGACACGUUGAAAACUUCUAGAAAGGUCAGUUCAACGAGUUGUGCAGGAAUUCUCCCAUUCAAAUUGUUGUGAGAAAGAUCCAAGCUCUCUAUCUGCUUCAGAUUGAAGAAGGAUGAAGGGAUCAAUCCAGUGAGAUUAUUAUGUGACAGAUUUAAAGAAUAUAUCCCACUUAAGUUUCCCCAUUCUGUCGGGAUUUCUCCAGUGAAUCUGUUACAAGAAAGAUCCAUAACAGACAUGUAACGAAGGAUAUCGCCUUCGUAAGUGUAGAAACGUUUCUUUGCUGUAAGCUCUAUAGAUAUUUUUACACUGAUCGCUGCCCACAAAAUAUUGUGAUGAAGAGAAAAUCCUCUUCCCCCUAUGGAUGCAAAUUUUAAAAAUCCGCUUCCAGAAUCCAAUCCCGUACGAGGGGGAUCCAAAGUUUUUUCAUCUGAUGCCGUAAAAUUUAAAUUGCUCAAACAUGAGGGUAACAUACCAGAAAAAUUAUUUUCUGAAAGAUCCAAUAUGCUUAAUUUCUUUAAGAAGCAUAACUGACGAGGAAGUUUCCCAUUGAAUUGAUUAGAUUUGAGAACAAAAAUGCUCAAUUCUGAAAGGCUAUCAAUCCAAUUUGGAAUGGGCCCAGUUAAGUUGUUAUCGCCGAGAUCUAAUGUCACCAACGAAGAGAGAUUAUAAAAACAUAUGGCAGUGGACCGCUCAAUUGAUUUCCGUAAGGUGGACAUAGCGUAAAUCUGAUGCAUGGAAGCCCAACGGUAAUGACCCAGACAGAUUGUUUUCAGAAAGAUCUAAAAAUUCAAGCCCAGAAGAAUUGAAAUAUUCUAUUGGAAUGGUACCUUCAAAAUGAUUUCUGGACAAAUCAAUUCCCUCAAGUGUUUUGAAGAGUUCCCAUUCCCCUUGGAAGCAUGCCUGACAAAAGAUUGUUACUGAUAUCAACCACAAAAGUGAUGAUUCAAGAGAAAAGUACCUGAUACUUGUCCUACAAAUUUGUUUCCAUCUAGAAGAGGUAUAGGUAGUCAUGUUGAACACAGAUGGUGGUAAUCGCCCAUUGAAGUGUUGUUGGACAGCUUCAAAAACCACAACGAGGAGCCUACUGUUGGAAAUUAUGCUCAAGCAGUUCACAAGACAUGUGAUUGUUGGAAAGAUCCAAGUAUUCGAGAGAGCUCAUAUUCCCAAAACAAGGAGGAAUACAACCUGUGAGGCUGUUGUUAGCCAUCAUGAAGUUCUUCAAACGUGGAAAAAUCGAACAUAUGUUGCUUGCAAUUUGACCUUGUAUGUUGUUGCCAGACAUAUCUACUGUCUGAAGGUUGGGUGUUGGAUGUUGUGGCAGCUGCAAAGGACCACCUAUAAAUGAGGUGUCUCUCAAAUAUAGUCGAUUUAACAAUCUAUUAUUCUCAAACAGCCAAGAUGGGAAAGGUUCUCCAACGAAUUUGUUGUGGGAUAGAUCAACAAACACCAAAUCAUGUUGGCUAUGGAGGAAGUUUGGAAAUCCAGCUUUGAGUGGUUUUGGAGUACAGUUUGAAGCACUAAAAGCACGAAGCUGGAACUUUGGAACUAAAGGCUGAAAACUGGGUGCAGCAAUUAGCUCAUUGUUAUCGCAUGCAAUGAACUUGAGGUUGGUGAGGUUCAUAAAUGAACCAAAUGAUAUUGGAACUUGAAAGUGGUUAUUUGAAACUUCGAGGUAUUUGAGCUGCGUAAGAUGGGAAAGGUGACUAAGGGCAAUAUUGCCCUCCAAUUGGUUGUCAGAUAAAUCCAAGAUUUGUAAAGAUGAUAGAUUUCCAAAACAAGGAGGGAGUACGCCUUUUAGAUUGUUUCCUGAGCGAAUGUUUGAGAGAAAUAGUUGUUCAAGAUUCUUCAAUUCACACCAGCCUGUAAAAUAUAUCAAUUAUGUAAUAUAUCAAUAAUAUCUCGAAUUGAAGAAAGUCCAUGUGAAAGAGAAAGAAGAAAAGGUACGAUGAAAAGAGUGGUGGUACACAAUAUCCAUUCCUUUCAAUAUUAACUUAAAUUAGUAUCUUUAAGAUUGCAUUUUUUGUCAAGAAGGAUAGAGUGGAAGUAUCCAUUUUGUGUAUUGUAAUAUAAUCAUCUGUUAAGCAGAAGUAAAACAGAGGAAUGAUUAUGUUAUUUCUUGCGUGCGGAAUCCUCCUACCAUUAUAUAUAUACUUCCCCGCAUGCAUUACACGAUUUAUUAUAUUGUUAACUAACUUUAACCGUCUCUUAACAACUUCUAACACGUGUCCAUGCAUCUGUCAGCUAUCUUAAAUUUAAGACUGAGAAAUUUUAGAGAUUGAGAAACUCUAGAUUUUAUCCUUUUCUAUACGUAACAUUAGGAGUAAAUUUCUAGUUUAAUAAAACACAGAUAUAGCACAAAUAUCUAAUGAACAACUGUUAUUUGGAUUUCAAUACUCUUAUAAUUGUUCAUUUGUAGAAUUACCUUCAGCAGGUAGGGUGCCAUGGAAGUCAACUCCUCUCAAGGAUAGGACUUUAAGAGUAGACAAGAGUCCAAUGUUCCUAAGAAAGCUUGCUGGGAGAGAAGAAUAAUCGAGGACCACUUCUUCAAGGCUAGACGAAUUACACAACCCUGUGGCACAGAUCAUAUAAAUCCAUUAAUGAUAGUGAUAUAUAUAUAUAUAUAUAUAUCAUAUUGUUUUAGGCACCAAAUUAAACUGUUACUGACCUUUCCCAAAGUGUUUAAAAUUAAUAUCAUCGGCAUAUAAGGUCUUGAGGGAAGGCAACGCUCCCAAUGACUCUAUUAAAAUGUUUUCCUUGUAGUCAGUUGAAUCCAUAUACAAGAUUUCUAAAUUCCUUAAACCUGUGAUAGAGAGAACCAUUAAUAAUAAUUAAUUAAUAAUUUAUAAACGUUACAAGACAUAGCUUAAGUUUUAAAUUAAAAUAAUUUUUAAUAUAAUAUUAAAAUUUUAUUAAUUCAAUAUUCACCUUCAUUUAUUUUUUUAAAAUUAAAAAAUUGAACAAAAGUUAAUAGUACUGUGUGUAUGUAAGUUUCAAAUUAUUUCACUAAAGAAAAUGCAUUAAAGAAUUAAUUAUAUAAAGCCUUUUUAAGGUUUCAUCCAAACAACUUAAGGGUUAAUACACAUCUAAUUAUUGAACCUCACUAGAAAAUGCUAUCAGAGGUAAGAAUGAUUUACAACUUUACCAUUGAGACUAGUUGAUCCUGUGAAUCUAUUGUUUGAUAGAUAUAGAGAUUUAAGAGAUGAAAAACCACUUAGAGAUGAUAAAAUGUUGUCGUUAAAUUUAUUGCAUCUCAGAUCAAGUUCCUUCAAAUUCCUUAACCCUGAAGCUAAGACUUGAAAACCUGAAAGAAAAUUGUCGAAGCAAAGAAAUUAGCAUAUAUAUCAACCAUCCUAAUAUCCGUAAAGAUUCAAUGUAAAGUUACUUGAAAUAUAAUUAACUUUAUGUGUUAACUAAAAGAAAAUUGAAAGCAUAGAACCUUGGUUCUUUAAGCCACCAACUAAUUUGUUGACGCUUAAGUCGAGAAUCUCCAGUUCUUUGAAAGGCAGAAACAAAGACGCAUUGAGAUCCAAGUCGACUUCGACUACAUUGAGAUAAUCAUAAUUUACAUCUGAAAGAUAUAGUUCGAUCACUCGGUUUGUGGUGGUGUCACACACAACCCUAAGCCAGUUACAGCAAUUAAAAUGCUCUUUAUCCCAACCUUCUAGAUCAUAGGACACAGCUGCACGUGCAUGAUUGACCCAAGCUUUUAUCUGUAAGAGACUAAUUCUCUCUUCGUCCAAACAACAAUGGCUCCGGUCGUUGAAGAAGGCCAGUGCCAUGAGCAGCAUCCACACCCACAUUUGCCUCAUCUUCAUAACGCUCCACUUGACCACAUACAAAAGCAAGCAAGCUGUCUCUUAUAUACUAUUUAAUUUGUCCUCUUCAUGCAUUAAUUUGAUCGGACAGUGACAAUUAUCUGUAUCAUUGAAUUUUCUAUGCCGAAUUAAUUAUCCAAGGGAGACUUGGGCUGCAUCUGCCAGCUACCAUAAUUAAUCUGCACUAACAGUGACCAUAACAGCUGUAACAAUACUCCCUCAGUACUUGUAACAUCAUCCUAAUAUAUAUUGAAUUAUUUGAUGAAAACAUUAUCUAAAACAUGAUUAAUUGACAUAUUUAAAGUCAAAUAAAAAACAAACCCAACUUAUUUUUAAUAUUAAAAAUUAUUUUCCAAUAUAAAUUUUUUAAUAUAAAAAUUUAAUAAAAUUAAAAUAAAUUAUGAUUACUGUUUGAGAAAUUGAUUUGAUCUUGGGCCCCAUAAUUAUUUUCACUAGUCUGUUAAAGUUCUUUUUCAAGCUUAUGGAAUGAGGUGCUCCUUCAAGUUAUUGUGUAAGCUACUUUGUUUUUUUUUCUUUGUAGACUCGGGAAGUCAUUUGUUUGAACAUUUGAUUUUCUAAAAAGUUUUUAUAUCUAUUUGUUUCUGGAUUAUAAAAAUAUUUUUAAAAAAAAUUAAAUUUUUUAUUAUUUUUUUAUUAUUUUUAAAUUAAUAUAUUUUUAAUAUUUUUAAAUUAUUUUUAUGUGUUGAUGUCAAAAAUAAUUUUUAAAAAUAUAAAAAAUAUUAUUAAUAUAUAUUUUAGUACAAAAUAUUUUUUAAAAAAGAAUCUCAACCAGACGGUUAAUCUCAUCAUCCACUAGCGCAUGUUUUUAUUCUUCCGGAGACCUGUGAAGUCAAGAUUCUCAAUUAUCCACUGCAUCAAUCUCUAUCCCAUCAAAAUGAAUUUGGUGUAAGAAAAAAAUAUCUGAUAUAUGUGAUUUACUCCUGGUUUGACCCCUCCCUCCCUCCAUAAAGUUAUCAUUUAACUCCACUUUCGAGAUAAAAUCUUAAACUUCUUUAGAUUUUUUCCUACCCUUGAAAUUGUUAUGAACAUAAGUAAAAGAGAUGAAAACUCCUUUACCCACGUAUCGAGCAUACCCUAGUUACAUAACACUAGUUAAAUCUUGACAUAACAUUUCAAGUUAAUUAAUGGCUAGGAUUUUGUUUAGUGGAUUUUUUUUUGAAAUUAAAUAUCAUAUCAAUAAAUAAAUAGCAACUAAAAAUAUAACUACUAAAAUAGAUAUUUUAUUUUGUUAAUUUUAUUUGAAAAAGCUUUUGAACAUAAGGACUCCAUAUAUAUAUAUAUAUAUAUAUUUUUAUGCUUAUUAUAUUGGAUAUGUUUAAUGCCCCGGUAAUAACCAGGAUAGGAGGCCGACUUAAUUAGAGUUGAUAGGGCACAAAUAUAUAUAUAAUGUGCUCCGAUUAAUACAAAAAUAAUUAUAAUAAUAAUUAAGGUUUGUUUUUUUAUUCAGUUUGUUGUUAUCUAUUUUUAGGUUCUCUCACACAAAACAAAUUUGAAAGAAAACAAAAAAUAUGAACAAUUGAUUUGAUCUUAUGAAAUACAUGGCAGAAGAGAUUAGAAAAUGAUUUCCAUUUGUCAGAAAUACACCCCAAUAGUCUUAAUUUGAAUUGCACUUUGCACUCCUUUUCCAGCGAUCAAUAGCUAGGAAACCUGUCAGUGAAAUCUUUAUUAUUUGCUCCGGGUUGCUGCUGCUGGUUACUCUGUCACGGAUUAUUAUUUUUCAGUAGUCAGUUAUCCUAGUGCUUGCUUGGACAUGCUCAACAAUGGAGUUUCUCUAAAUGUAAUUCCCACAGUGAAAUCUUCUGUCAAAGUCAUUCCAAGCCGGAAAAGAUCAGGAAAAUGAAGUCUUGAAACAUCAAGCGAAUAGAGCCCAGCAGGAAAAAUUCGUUUCUGACGGUGAGAUUUGUAAUGUGAUCCUAGCUAGUAAACCCAAGGUUGUCAAUUCGGUUCCGUUUCGUCCGGAAUGACCGAAACAUUCAUACCAAUUUAAAAAACGGAAUAAAAUGGAAUAAAUUUCAUCUCAUUUUAAAUCUCGAUCUGUUCCGGAUUUUUCAGCUAAAUUCCGCCCGGAAUGUUCUGGUUUCAUUUUACAUGUUCCGUUCCGCUCUUGAAAAGCCAUUGAAUCAAAUUGAACCUUGUUCAAUUUAAUUAAUUAAACCAUCCAAUUAUAAAAAGCUCAUUUUCAUUACUAUUCUCAAUAAUGACACGAUCAAAAGAUUGAUGUCUCUCCCAAGUGCAGGAGUGUUGAAGUAAUAAAUAACCCGGUAAGACCGGGGUCAAACCACAAAGAGGUUAAUUGUAUAAAUUAUAAAUAACAAUAGAACAACAACAAAAACAAUAAUAACAACAAUAACAACAACAAUAAUAACAAUAAUAGUAAUAAUAAUAAUAAUACUCAGUACGUGGCGUUGUUAUACCUGAGAAUGAUCUAAAAGAUCGGGUCACAAGUUUCCAGCCUAUAUACUGAUCGAGUUUAUAAAAAGAUCAAAGAGAUAUAUUAUAUAAUAUAAACAGAAUGUAAAUAAUAAUAAUAAUAAUAAUAAUAAUAAUAAUAGUAGUAGUAGUAGUAGUAGUAGUAGUAGUAGUAGUAGUAGUAAUAGUAAAAAGAAAAGGAAGAAGAAAUUAAUGAGAACUUUGAGAUGGAAGAAUAAUGUAAGGAUUAAACAAUGAUAAAAACAAAUGUCAAGGUUAGAGGAUCCACCAAUGGUAUUUCAAACAAGUAUAGUAUAAACUCUUAUUACUCAAUUUGGAAACCACACACGAGGAGGUUCCAAUCGGAUGAUUUGUCAUUAAUAGCUCAUUAUAAAUUAUUAACAUGAUCAUAUUAAUUAUCUUAUUUACAUAACACCAAACUUUUAAAUAUUCAGGAAUUCAUGAUGUUAACUGAUGUUAACAACAAAUCAAGUUCCUUUCAUAGCCAGGUGUAGGUAAUACCAUACGGUUGGGCUAUGAGAGUGCCAAGCAUUUGUUGUACCAAGUGUUAUACAACACAAAUCUAGAUUAACCAUUUAACAAGCAAGGUAUUAAGAAUUAGUAAGAUAAAAAGAUAAGACAUGUUAAUAUUAAACAUUAAGGUCCAUGUUGAGUUUACACUAUACUUAUUCUUACACCAUUAGUGUAACCUUUUCACCUUGACAUAAUAAACUUAGCUAAACAUAAUGAAGAAGAGAAACAUAAAUAAACAAAACAAGAACAUAAAGAAAAUACAAGUUAACUAAGUAAAGGAAAGGAAAUGAAAAGCAUAAACAAGAUAUUAAUGAAAGCAAAACUUAAAAAUUACAAAAAAAAUAUAAAGAGAGAAAUAAAGAGCAUGAACUUGAUCUGAACAACCAAGCCCCUAAAUACAUGGCAAAUGCCUCCUUUUAUAGGCCAAAAUUCAGAAUUAUUGAUUUGAUGACUAAUUGUUGAGUGGGUGGCCAACUUUUGACUUUGUGAAAAUCCUUAUCUUCUUGUCUGAAUAAAACAAAAUGCUAGCAUCAGAACUGGGUCCACUUGAAAACAUGAAAGUUGUAGGAAAUUGACUCAGCUUUCCAGGAAAAAAAAUGGAGGUCAUUUGGACUUCUAGAACUCCAGAUAUGGGCCAAACACUAAACAAUGUUCGGGCUGCAGGACAGAUUCAGACUUCUCCGUUGUUGCUAUAAUUUGGACUUGCAAACGGCCUUCUUAGAUCUUGAUGAAAACAUGAAAGUUGUAGGCAUAUGUCUUAGUGAAUUUGUGUAAAAAUUUGAGAUCAUUUUGACAUCUAGAACACGAGAUAUGACCCAAUUACCAAACAGUGUUCCAGUUUGGACUGCACCAACAUCUCUUUUCUAAGCUUCACCCUCUUUUUGUCCUUUCAAUUUCCAUACUUGAACUCAUCAAUCAAUCCAUUGAUUUAUAUGAUAGGCCUGCAUUUAAGAUGAACAUUUACCAUAUAUUAAGGCAUUUUAAAGUAUUAGACUUGUUAUUAUAAAACAUUCUUUAGUUAAGGAGUUAUUAAUACUUUAAGUGCAAAAUGAUGAUAUAAAACCUUGAUAAAUAUGCACUUUUAAGUACUAAUCAAGUAACAAUGAUAUUAAUAAUAAUAUUGAAAAUUAUUAUUACUAUUUUCAUUAACAAUGAUAUUAAUUUUUUAAAAUUAGAUUUAUCACUAAUAUAUACGAUUUAUAUUCAUGUUGUUUUUUUCAUGUUUAUACUUUGUAGGAAUUUUAGCAAAAUAAGAGAUUCUUUAGAUUCCAUUAGCCUUGAUAACAUUGACCUAAUUUUAUAUUUUAAAUAUUUUUGUUAAAACAUUUUACUUUCAUAAUAUUUUGAUAUUUUGUUCAAGUUGAAUUACUUUAAGUUAAAGAUUUAUUUAAUAUUGACUAUUUAGAAAUAUUUUAAAUUUUAAAAUUAUAUUUGUUUGGCAUUGUGUUUGUAUUGCUUAAUUUAUAAUUAAUUUAUCUUGAAUUCGAAUUAUGUUUGCUGAAUAUAUAUAUAUAUAUAUAUAUAUAUAUAUAUAUAUAUAUAUAUAUAUGAACAAUACAACCCCGAAACGACACACCGAAAUACUUCAAAACUAAAACAUUUUAUUUUAAUUGAAAAAAAAAAAUACCUACCGGAACGAAAUUGACAAUCUUUAGUAAACCUCAACCAAAGAUCAUAAUGCCAAAAUUGUAGUCAAAGAGACUUGGAACUCCCUGCUGAUGGGCUGUUUAUUCUGCCAAAAUUGCAUGGGCCGUUUUACAGCCUUCGUAAUGGGCUUGGCUACUUUGGGUAGUUAAAAAAACCCAAAUAGAUAAUGUUUUCUUUUCCUUUGGUAUCCGUUUAAUCAAUCUUCUGGUUUGAUCCUUGAUAGUGCUGUGUUUUGAUGCUUGUCGAUUAGCCACAAUAAUGUUAAAUUUACAAGGACAGAUCCAAGAAAAGCAAUGCAGGCCUGUAUUUACUUUCAUAUUAAUUAUUGUUUGAAUAUUCUUAAUCUGAAUGAUAUUAGUCCAUUCAAAACAAAUUCAUUUUCUUUUUUAUAAAUAUAUUUAUAUAACAAUGAAAGAAGAAAAUGCAUUGAUUAAAAUAUUAUUGAUGUGUUUGAAUGAAGAAAGUUAGGGCAGAGAUGACCAAUAUAAAGACCGUGUGGGCCAAUAAAAUGAAUACAAAAAACAAUAUCAAUGGCUUGCAAAAAAAAAAAGUUUUAUGUUAAAUUUAUCUAUAUGUUAAAUUACUUGAUUAACUAAACUUAAUCCUGUAAUAUUAAAUUAUUUGAUGAAAAUAUUAUCUAAAACAUGUUUAAUUGACAUAUUUAAAGUCAAAUAAAAAACAAACCAUGUUUACUGUUAAUAUUAAAAAUUAUUUUUCAACAUAAACUCUUUAACAUAAAAAUUUAAUACAAUUAAAAUAAAUUAUGAUUAUUGUUUGAGCAAUUGAUUUGAUCUUGGACCCUACAAUUAUUUUCGUUAGUCUGUUAAUGUUUUUCUUUAAGCUUGUGGAAUGGGGUGUUCUUCUAAUUUAUUGUGUAAGCUAUUUUGCUUUUUUUUUUUUCAUAGACUUGGGAAGUCAUUUGUUUAAGCAUUUGAUUCUCUGGCAAGUCUUUAAACGCAUUCAUAUUUGUAUUUGGUUAUAUAUUGAAAAAUAUAUAAAUUGUAGGCCCUAUUGUUUAUAUAAGGUAGUACUCGAUUAUGAAAAAGCAAUUAUUUUAUUGCUUUUUUGCAAGUUUAAUCAUUGGUUGAAUUUUUUUAUAUGGCCGGCAUAGUGAAUUCUUAAAAAAAAAAAAAAACAUGUUUAUUAAUUGGGAAUGGAAAUUAUUUUUUCAAUUAUUAAAUUUUUAAAAAAAAUUCAAGAGCACUAAAAUAGUUUUUUUUAAGAAACUUGUUUUUCUUCUUCCACUAGCACUUGUUUUUUUUUUCGUAGACCUGUGAAGUCAAAAUUCCCAAUUAUCCACUACAUUAAUCUCUAUCCCAUCAAAAUGAAUUUGGUCCAAGAAAAAAAAUAUCUAUAUAUGUGAUUUAGUCCUGGUUUUAUAAAUUAAUUAGAAAGUGUAAAUUAUCUGUAUCAUUGAAUAUAUACAAUUUUGUCCUCUUCAUGCAUUUGAUCGGACAGUGACAAUUAUCUGUAUCAUUGAAUUUGCUAUGUUGAAUUAAUUAUCCAAGGGAGACUUGGGCUGCAUUGAAUGGGAGAGUCUUCACGGACAGUGCUAACCAGGGGCCCGCACCACGGCACAGAUCGCUCGGUUUGUGGUGUUGGAUUAAAGGAUAUUAAUUCCAACUUCUUGUUUACUGCUUUGCUUUUCUUCAUAGACUUGGGAAGUCAGGUGCUGUUUAUGAACAAUUGAUUUGAUCUUAUGAAAUACAUGGCAGAAGAGAUUAGAAAAUGAUUAAUAUUAUCAAUAAUUUCUUCUUACUGCACCUACUGAUUUUUAUUUCUUGUGAAAUAUUUAGAAUAUCUCUUUUGAAAUAUCAAUAUCGCCUACCCCCACUUCCUUCAUUUUUGUUAACGGAGUGAAAUGAUUUCCGACGCAGCUACUAAUUUCAUCAGCCACUUUCACUUGUUUUUAUUCAUAGACUUGGGAAGUCAAGAUUCCCAUAAUCAAAAUGAAUUUGAUCGAAGAAAGGAAAAAAUGAAAAAAAAAAAAAAACAUUACCAGUGGCUUACAAAAAAUAAAUAAAUAAAACCAUCAAUUACGAGCUUCAUAAGAGAAUUUUAGCUAUUUUGUCUUAAACUCAACAGAAUAUUCUUUAGGAAGCGUUGGGAACGGUGCAAACCGCGUUCCCACCAAAUUUUAAAUUUUUUUUUGUUAAAAUUUAAUAUAGUUUGUAUUUUUUGGAUUGUUUUGAUGUGCUGAUAUUAAAAAUAAUUUUUAAAAAAUAAAAAAAUAUCAUUAACAUAUAUUUUAGUACAAAAAAUUAUUUUAAAAAUAACUAUUAACAUACUUACAAACAGGACAGUUAAUCUUCAACUAAUCAACCGAUGAUCAUAAAUGAUGCCAAAAUUGUAGUCAAAGAGACUUGGAACUCCCUGCUGAUGGGCUGUUUAUUCUGCUAAAAUUGCAUGGGCUGUUUUACAGCCUUCGUAAUGGGCUUGGCUACUUUGGGUGAUUAAAGAAACCUAAAUCGAUAAUGUUUUCUUUUCCUUUGGUAUCCGUUUAAUCAAUCUUCUGGUUUGAUCCUUGAAAGUGCUGUGUAUUGAUGCUUGUCGAUUAGCCACAUAAUGUUAAAUUUACAAGGACAGAUCCAAGAAAAGCAAUGAAGGCCUGUAUUGGUCUCUGAGAGUUCAAAAUAAGACCCCCUGAUAAAGGCUGCAAUCAUUGCUUGAACCCCUGUAAAGGGGCCUUGACACAUGCGGUCCACUGAAGAAGUACAGCACCGUUCUUUAUUUAAUUCUUAUGGUUUAAAUCUACUAAUGACUUAGUCAUUUUGCAUGCUAUUUUUCCACUUGUUUUCUAAAAUAGAGAAAAGAACUGUUAAGCAUGCUGGAUAUUUCGCAUAAUAAGCUCUCCGGUCCUUUAUCCGGAGAGCUUAAUUUAACUUUCAUGGCAAACGAUGCAAAAUGCUAUGUAUCUUUUACUUGGCCUAGUAUUCAAUAUUUUGAUCAGUCAAAUCUUGUACUCAUGGGUUUGCCUCAAGUAGGCGAUUCUUAUCGUGAAACUAAGUACACAAACAACAUUGCACAUUAAUCUGUCGAGUUCUCAACAAAAAGACAGUCUUACUCCUAUCGAGAUGAUCUUAUUACUUUCAUGUCUGGUAUUGAUUUUUCUUGCAACGGAUUCACUGGCAAAAUCCCACCAAAUUUAGAGAUUGUAAGUGAGCUACGAGCGGUAAAUCUAUCACACAUCAAUCUCAUUGGAUCCAUCCCCGCAACUCUUUAGAACCUGAAGCAGAUUGAGAGUUUGGAUCUUUCUCACAGCAAAUUGACCGGUAUCAUCCCUUCGCAGCUUAUUGAGGUGAGCACAUUGGAGGUUUUCAGUGUUGCAUACAAUAACUUGUCCGGUAAAACUCCAGAGAGGAAAGCUCAGUUCGGCACCUUUGAUGAAAGUAGUUAUUAAGGAAAUCCUCUUCUUUGUGGACCUCCAUUGUGAAUUUGCAGUGAAACAAACUCGUAAUUGCAGCCUGUACCUAAUAAUGAACAAGAAGAUAAUAAUGGUUUCAUAGACAUGGAUGCUUUCAUUGUGAGCUUUGAGGCAUGUUACAUAAUUGUCUCGUUGGCAAUUGCAGCAGCUCUUUACAUAAAUCCUUACUGGAGAAGAAGAUGGUUUUACUUCAUUGAAGAGUGCUUAAGCAAUCGCUACUGUUUUGUGUGCAGACGUAGGCACAUCUUCAGAUGGACAUAGGGGUUGAUGCUUGCCAUUUGUUCUCAGUUAUACUAAGAAAGAAUGAACCGCGACUCUGUCCACCAUUCUCUCCUGUGCAUGAACAAAUUAGUGAAGGAAUAUUUGCAGUGAUAUAUGUUAAUGGUUUCCUGACUUCAUUAGAAUAUUUUGCUCCCAUUUUCUUUGCUCCAUGAACUGAAUAUAUAUUGCAACAUAAUUGUGGUGUUGUCAAUCACAGCAAUUAUGCACAUAAAUCCUUACUGGCGCCGCAGGUGGUUUUACUUCAUUGAAGAAUCGCAACUAUUAUGCUGCUGUUUUCUAGUGGUUAGUUUCCGUAAGCUGUCCAACAUCAUGUCAUCGAACCUCUGUAUAAUCAUUCAAUUAGAUGACACAUUUAAAAAUUUUAAAAACUAAUAAUACUAUAACUAUGAAGAACACCUAAAAUAUUUAAUUUUAUUCUUCCAAGUCUCUGCUAAACUAAUGAUACACAAUUGUGGUACUAGCAAUUGCGGCAGUUUUGUACAUAAACCCAUAUUGGCGACAUAGGUGGUUUUACUUCAUUGAAGAGUGCAUGGAGACUUGCUACUACUUUGAAUUGCAUACAUUUCAUAAGCUAUCCUCCUUCACAAGGCCAUAGGGAUCUGACGCGUGCCUUUUGUUUUUUCAUAUUUUUUAGUUUGAACUAAUAAAACCUUUACUUUUUUUCAAGCUUCAGUUCAUUUUAUUGCAGUUUCUCAAAUGAAUUCUACAAAUUCAAGAUAUAUAUCCAUCCUUAAUGCCAUAUUAAAGAGAAUAUAUAGAGAGAAAAAGAGGAGCUUUACGUGAUAUGGAUAGCGUGAUGCUCCUAAGCCUAGAACCAGCUAAAACUUAAUAUUAUGAUGAAUAAUUCAGCAAAACUUAAUUCAAUUUCAACUUCCAAUCUCAUCAUUAGUACAAAAUGCACAGUCAGAUUGAAAGGAAAUUGAUUGGAACUUGAAAUUCGGGUAACAAUACUUCUAGCAGAGCUUCCUCCUUACCCUCUCCCUAUUGUAUCUUCUUCGAGUGGAACUCUAGCUUUUUGCCCUCCAAGAUAUAUGUUCUCAUCUUUCUCCAGUACUCUCUUUUCCAUCCAGCAUAAGCAAUCACAACUUACCUCAACGGAAAACUUUAUAGCCAACUUCAACCAAUAUUUAAAAGGAAUUUUGUCCUUUGUUUAAUAAGCAAAAUCAACAGAACCUGUCUUUGACUUUCUAGCUCAUAUAUAGCAGUAGCCAUUUUAAGGAGCAGAAACAAACACUGUAGAGAUUUAUCAUCACGAAAAUCUGGUUGAUUUAUUAUCACGAAAAUCGAAAAUCUAGUUGAUUUAUCAUUACGAAAAUCUAGUUAAAACAAAUUAAUAUGAAAUCAAAUCGAGGAUGAAAGGUUGAUUUUGAGAUCAAGAAUAGCAUAUAUUAAAAAGAUAAUAAAUAAAAUUAGAGUAAUAACAUUGAUACAACUUAUCAUUAAAUUUCAUUUGCAAUUUCCUCUCGAUUUUCUGUAGUUCUGUAGAGACAAAGAUUAGUUGGUCCUUACGGGAAUUUUUCUUCCUUAAUUUCACUCCCAUUUCCCAAACGAUGGAAUUCAUACAACCUUUCGAUUUUAUUUCCACGUAAAAUCCAUUCUUCUCUAUCAAACAGAACAUAAUAAUGGGCCAUAUUUUAAUUUAAAUAUCUUUUUCCUAAUAUUUAAAGCUUUUUUGCUGGGAAAAUAUCAUGGGGAUUUGAGAGAAAAGACAAUAGAUAAGAAAGCACAUGAAAAAAAGUGAGAGAAAAUGAUGGUGGGUCUUCAUUAUUCAAGGACCGUAUUGGAACUCUUUGGAGGCAUGCGUGAGAGGUGAAAUGGAAACGUAUAGGGACCAAAUUGUUAUUUCAAUGAAUAUAUAGGGCUUAAAAUGCAAUUUACCCUUAAUUUUUUCAUGGAUGACGCAGUCACAAGGAGAGGAUAUAUAUAUGUCAUUUCUGAAAUGAGAAGACAGGCAGUGGCAAUAAGUAAAAUUUCAUAAAUCAUCAUCAAUCAAAAAUCAUGACGUGGGGACAGAUUAGACGGUUGAUUGUGACUUUUUUUACCCUCUCUUUCUCCCGGUGGGGGGUUUUAGGACAGUAUCGCGCGAGAUGCGCGGGCGCUGUGCUCUUACAUUUCCAAGGUGUAUAGUGGGAUCCAUGUCUUUAUUAAACCAAUUAAACCCACUGGGAUUCUAGUUUUUUUUUUUAAAAAAAAAACAUUUCAUAAAAGUCCUCAAACUUCGAGUCUCAUCUCUAUCAUAGCAAUAUUAUAAUUUUUAUUCAUUUUUAGUUAACAAAAAGUUUAUGUAAUCAAUUGAAGUUUAUAUGGUUUUUUUUUAUAUAUAAAAAACCAAUGAAUUCUUUAAAAAUCUCAUUUUAAAUCGCUUGAAACUAAUUUCAUAAAGAAACACAAAGAUUUUACAUUUAUAUAAUUUGUUUAAUUACAUAAACAAAUUAUAUGAUAAGAUGAAGAGAUAUCACAUAAUUGUUUGAUUUUAUAACCCUUUAAAACAAACUCAUCAAAAUAUUUAAUCCAAAUUCUGAAUAAGUAACCAUAUCUAAUGUAGAUAGUUUUGAAUAAUUUGAUAAUUUUUAAUAGUCAAAUGUAGAUUUAUCACAAUUUAGAUCAUAAAUAUAUAACCCAAUAAACUCAUAAUAUGAACAAAUAUAACUGGGCUAACUUAAGAAAAAAAACAAAUUGGUGCAAAAUGACUAAUCUAACUAUAAAAGUUUAAAUUUUAAUUUGACCUCAUGGAAAUCAUUCUCAAAUUUAAUUAGGAGAUUUUAUGGUUUUAAUCUAAAAAAUUUUGCAUUUUAUAUUGUAAAAACCUAUAUCAUAUCAAGAUUAAACUUCAGUAAAAAAAAAUAUUAGAAGGAGAGUUUUUUUAUAUAUAGAAUUACGUUAUAAAAAAAAUAUUAGUCUAACUUAAGUUUGGAAUGAAAACUUAAGUGAAAUUUAACAGUCUGCAACAACAAUCCUUUACCAUCCACCAUUAAAUGAUCAACAGAUUUUUUUAAGGACAAUAUAAAUUCUGAAAGAGCGUAGACAUGAAUGACAGCCAAGAACCACCCAACAGCCAUGCAGGGUCUAGUCUGCAUGGCAAUGGUCCACUCAAUCGCUGAAUCCACAUGAACAGUCUAAUGAACUGCUCAACAUGCAUUUGGUUCUGGUAAUUCAAUUAUGCGAAGGGUGUAGGUCCGAAUUCUUCAACUUAAACAAACAUGUUUGCGUAAUUAAGUGUUCAAUCACGUACUUAAUUUGCUAUUGAAAACAUUUAGAAUUUAUCAACAAUUUAAUUAAGCAGGUGUAUACAACCUUCCAACAUUAUGGAAUAAAAAUAUGACAUUUGGCGUUCUCAUCACAUAUUAUGAACUGUUAGGAUGUUGCAUGAAGUAUUAUCUGAAUAUAUAUGUUAUGAACUGUUUGCAUGAAACAUGUUAGGAACUGUUAGGAUGUUGUCGCAUAACUAUUAUCAUGCUACAUAACACUAUUUCAGUUGUGCUUGCAGGUAUACAUUAAUGAAGCAUUUGUUCAUGAUUGAACUAUCUGAACUACUUACAUGCCAAUUCAUUCUCAUGAUGUUUUGUCAUAAAUCAACUAAAGAGGGAGAUUGUAAAUGUCAAAAUGUUUGGUUUUGAUUAGUGAAAGAUUAUUUGCGUUGUUGAAGAUUAUUUUGUUUAGGUUUCUACUUUAUUCAAAUUAGAUAAUGAAUUAGUCAAAUUUAUCUCAUAGGAUAUAGCAUGAUUAUUUAUGUAAUUAUCUAUGGAUAAAUUAUAUAGGAAAUUCAGAUAAGUUUUAUAAAAAAAAAGAUAAAUACAAGUUAUCGGAAGAUAACAAUUAGAGAAGUGUUUUUGUGAAACAUGUUAGCAGUUUUUUAAGAAUGUAACAAACUAGGAAACUUAAAGAUAAUGUUUAUUAAAUGUUCUUAUCCUUUUCACAUGGAUGUGUAUAUAAAGAAGGACAAUCAGAAGCAUUUGAGAGUUGCAUUGGAAGCAGAGAAAGAGUGCUCAACCAGCUAAAGAGUUACACAAAGUUUCACAGCAUGUACUCUUGGCACACAAGUAGAGUGUGAAGAAAAUUCUCAAGGAGAAUUGUUUUAAGAAGAGUUGGAGAGCCUGCAUACUUUCAGGGGGAGUUCCUAUGUUAACUAUUGGCAACUAGAUGUUUCAGUUAGGAUGAGAAUAAUUUGAAGAUUGUUAGUUGUUCUGGCAAGUUAUUGCAAUAGAAGACAAAAUAGAGUGUUUGUCUUGACAAGUAAGGUAGUAUAGAUGCAAAGGAUUGGUAGUGAAAAAUACUCCUCUUGUAAUCUUCUAUACUAGAUAAAAUUUGUAUAUCUUGAAUUUGGCUGCCUCAUAUGGUUUUUUUUUUAAUCUUUUAAAAGUUCUUCAGAAUAUUUUCUCUUCAUAACCAAAUAAUUUGUUUAUUUAAGUUUUCUUGUUAAUAUACAUGGAACAGAAACAAGACUAUUAGUUAUUAAAAAUGAUAAAUAUUUUAGAAUCUUGUAUUUUCACAUUUUCCAUAUUAUAUAAUAUACAGUGUCCAAAGUUUGCAAGCAGGUCAUCAAUGUUGAAUUAUGAUUAAAUUAAUAGCAUGUAUUAUUAAUAUUAAUAUCCGCGUUUAUCAUAUGGAUACCUUUAUUAAUUGAUUUGUUGUUCCCUUUUCCCUUGUGUAGCUAUUUGGUUUGGAAUGUGCAUCCGCGCCAAUACUAUUUAAUUGCAAUUCUCUUCAUCAUGUGAUAUAAUUAAAUGAUUAAAGUCAAGCCCAUACGUCCGCAACAGUACUCACCAUAUAUAUAUAUAUGAAAAUAAACUUACUAUUUAUUUAGUAAAAUAAAAAUUAGUUGAAAAGUCUUUAUUCAUUUUCACAAUAAACAACGAUAAAUAUCCACACAUAAAGUUUCAACACCAAGAACCAUUACAAAAACUUGGUACGAACCAUGCAUCCACACAUGGUAUGGACCAAACACCUUAACUAUUCAUAAAAACUUUAACUAUUUAAGUUAAUAAAAGCAUAGAGAAAAAUAUAAACAGGCAAAAAAGAUGAAAAUUGCAUAAUAUAUUUUUGAGUUGUGAAUAUGUUUUUGUAAAAAUAUCACUAGGGUGAUAUUUAGAGCGAAGACAAGAGUAUUCUCCCCGGCCCCUCCUUAAAUUUCCCCGUCCUUUAAAAUGCCCCCAUCACUAUCAAAUAAUUCCCUGCACACAGCCCUGUGUGAGGGGUAAAGUCACGGGAUUAUUAGUGGAGCAAUUUGCUCCACUAACCAAAUAAACUAAGUACUCCUGUCAAGUGGAGCUCUAAAGACAUAUCUUAUAAUAAUAAUAAUAAUAAUAAUAAUAAUAAUAAUAAUAAUGGUGCACACGCUUCAUCAUGCCACUUUUUUGGAAUAAUCCUUGUAUUAUAUCAUUGCUCACAAACAGGAUACUUAUAAAAAAAUAAAAAAACAGAAAAUACAAUGGGACGUGAUAAACAGGAUAGCUCACGGAAUUUCAGAUCUAAAUCAUGGAAUAAAAUCAUCUCUGUCUUGCGUGAUCGAUCGUGUAAUCUUUGUUCUUUUUUAAAAAAGUCGCAACCGCACACUUAAAAAACUGCAAAAUCACAUCUUUCUUUCUAUCUUCCGUUGCCAAGCAUUAUUUUCAAACUCCUUACGAAGAUUUUUUGUUUGUAGAUCAAGUGGUCAAGUAAACAUCGGUUCUAUUUGGGAAUGUAUUUGUACUGAAGUUAAUUUAUUAUUAUUAUUUUAAAUUAAAUUGUUUUGUUUUCAAAUUAUUUUAAUAUGUUGAUAUUAAAAAAUUUGACUUGACCCACUUUCUUCAGCAUCUAGUGUAAUAACUAAAAUCAAACGGCAUUGCAUUUGGUGUAUAAACUAUAAAGGUGUCAGAAGUGUGAUAUCCCACUUUCUUCAUUAUUAGUCUGUAACAACCUUCUCGUUUCCUUAUAUCACUACUGGCCAAAUUGAAGUUUCUCAAAUUCUAAAGUUACAGUUUUAAAAUUAUAUAGGAAUUGAGAGAAAAUUCUGAUAUUUUUAUUGAAAAGUUAGUAAUUCAAUAAUCUAAUCUUAAAACAAUACUCCCUUUGUUGAUAUACAAGUUUAAAACCGACCUAAUCAAAAGAAUUAAAAACUAAGUGAGAAAAAUAAUUAAAAUUCAAAAUUAAUUAAAAAAAUAAUUAAAACUACACAAAUGGAAUCUUCUAUGCCUAAUUUAAAAAGAUUUAUGUCGUGGAUAUAGAAUCAUCUAGAGUACAAUUCAAUAGUUGAAUAUAAAAUUAUGAUUGUUUUAGAUCCGUUUCAUCUUAUAUUAAUGCUUUGAAUUAUAAUAAAAAUAUUAAUAUUUAUAACACAAAUAAUAAUAUUUUCAAUAUUUAUACAUUCAAUUAUAAUAAAAAUAAUAAUAUUUAUGGCACAAAUAAUAAUAAUAAUAAUAAUUUUUAAUUUUAUCCUUCAAAACAACUAUAUGAUUUUUCUUUAAAGGUUAUUAUUAUUAUAUUAUAUACAUAAAGCUAAAUCAUAUGGGAAAAGUCAUGUUCAUCAAGACCCAUAGCACUACGGAUUGCACAUUUGAUGGGGCAUGGUGUGCUGCAGCCCCACACACUGACACCUGGUGCAAGGGCAUUCAUGCCUAGCCACAAAGAGUUCCAAGGCUGCAUGGGGGAGAGGUUAAGCCCCAGGUUUCGAACACCUGGUGUUGGGUCCGCUGACCUGCAUGCUAGGUCCGAACAUGGACCCCCUUCUAUUGGGUCAGGCGUCCUCACCCAAAUCACUUGGGUCUAGACAAGGGUCGAGCCCUUAACCCCCUUGGUUCUGUCCACGGUCCAAUCCCAUACCCCUUAGGGUUCAGACAUGGCCUCAUCCCCAACGCCCUUGGGUCUAACCACGGACGCAAACCCCAACCUGAUUGGGUCCGGACACGGAACCAACCCCCUUGGGUCAAGACAUGAACCCAUCAGGUUUGGUCCUGACGCGAACCCAACACACCAUGUGUCCGUACUCCGAAGGACCCAAACACCAACCCCCUUGGGUCCAGACAAGGACCCAACCCCCCUUAGUCUGGACACGGACGAACACAACCCCUUUAGGUCCGGAUGCGAAAGGACCCAAACUCCUUAGGUCCGGACACGAAAGGACUCAAACCCCAACCAAUUUGGGUCUAGAUACUGACCCAACCCCCUUGGGUCCAGAAAUGGACCCAUCCCCCUUGGGUCCAGACACGCCCCAAUCCCCAACCCCCUUGGGUCCAGACACGUCCCAGUUGGGCCUUGGGUCCAGCCAUGACCCAAAUCAAAAUUAGAAUGUUAAUGAACUCACCAUUGCCAUUAAGCUCCAUUGAGUGUAAACAAUGAAUUUAUAAAAUAGUCAAAAGUGGGAUGUCGUGAUUUCAACAAUGCCGUUUCAGAAAAUUGAUAGUCAUGAUGAAAAUAAGAAUACAGAAUUGUUGAGUUGAAACGUGUACGCCUGAAAUGUAUAGUGAUGAUGGUGGAACUGAUGCGGUUGUAUAGCAGCACCAAAAAGUACUUUCCUAAUGAUUUCCUUGCGGAAGAAAUUAUGGCAUGUUGGAAAACGAUGCCACCCUAACAAUCCAAGAGUUCAAAUUCAACUUGAAUAAAAGCAUGCUAAUUUAGAGGAGAAAGGAUCCAAGAACAUCAUGAAACAGGGGAUUGUUCUAUUUUGUUAUGUAACAAUCUCAACAGCUAAUUAAGAGGUUAGAUUGUAGGGUCUAAUUUCAAAUGCAAGACUCUAUUGAUUCUCAUCAUUAUAGUAAUAAAACCAUGUACAUUUUUAUUAAAUUAAGAGGAAACACAAAAUUAAACAAGAAAAUCUUAAGAUUUCAGAAAUAAAUCUAACAUUGUCGAACGGAUUGUGACCAAACCCAGAUUUGGUGGAAGAUAGAAAUAUGAAAAGAGAGCAGAAAUUGAUGGUCUCUUCUGCUUUUCCUGGCCUCCUUGUUUUGCAUAUAAGGUUCGGCCAUCUAAGCCUUUCAUGGGGUUUGAAUUUCCUGGCCUCCUGAGUUAAUUUCAUCUAACCCAUAUAAGGCUAGACUUGAAUAUUUCUAUAUAUACACUUAAGGCUGGAUGAGCUUGUCUCCUUAGCAGGCCUUCUUAGGCUUUUGUGCUGCCAAACUAUGUCAGCUCUAAGCUCAUUAUUAUCUGAAUGAAAUCAUUGCAUACUUGCUAUCAAGAAGAUUUUUUUCCUGAUGGAUUUCUCUCACAUUGCAACAGCAGUAAUCAAUCAUGGCACCCAACUCAGUUGAAACGGUGAUCGGUACAAUGACUUCAAGUCACGGUUACCUCUUCUUUUCUUUUUCUUUCUUUUUUUUUGUUACGAAAAAACAAGUAAAGUGUAUAUCUAUGAAAUUAAGUUACAGAAAAUGUAAAAUACACUUGUCAUGGCUGAUUGAAAUCGUGGAAGAAAAAACUAGAGGAAAGAUAAUCGAUUGACCCCCAACGAAGACCAAUGCAGAGGAAUUUCAAAGGGGAAAAACGGUGGCGGCUUUAUGAUGCAGUUCAUCUAAAGAUAAACCUAACCUGAAUUAAUUGUUCGGUCUCCUUCAAAGCGAAAUAACUUUGCCAGGUUUCCUCUCAGUGACAUUACAUUUUUAAAGUUAAAAGUGCUGAAGCACAAUUCAAAGAAUAAGUAGUAUUAAACUUAACAAGCUAGUUCAAUGGAGGAGAAUGGUGUGCUGAAACACUAAGAUUUUCAAAAAAAUUGAAGCAUAUCAGAUCCAUGCUGCUGCAUUCGCAAGAAACUAGCACCCAUCAACAAUGUGCUAAAUGUCAAUGCAGAGCUUUAAAUCAUCUACAGAGGCUCAUGAAGAAUAUAGGCAUAAAUGAUAACAGAUAACACACCAGAGCACUCUACGUAAACUGAUAUCUUUAGAAAAUUCAAAGGCAUGAAUGAAAAAGAAAAGCUAGAAAUAUCUAAGUCAGCUCUUAAUUUGUAACAGUCCACAACUUCAUGUUUGGUGUGUACUGUAAACUAUGCUUUCCACAUAAUCAUGAGCUUCAUCUGCAAAAAACCAUUUUCACUUCUUGGGACAAGGGAUCAAAAAAAUACAAACCUGUUGUUGGAUUACAUUCAUAAUUUAUAUCAAGCCCUAGCUGCUGCUCGAAGGAAGUCUUUCAAGGAAAAAAAUCAGGAACAAAAAAUGCUGAGAGGUCCAUCUUGGAGGUCAGAAAGCUGGAGUUCUACCUAGAAGAAGAUACCUCUGGAGAGAGUAAUAAAGGAAGCCUGAACUGCUUAGAGUUCUCUUACCGAAGCUUCAAGUUAAGAUCAUUUUCAUUUCAAUUUGGAUGUAGAAAUAAUGAUGGGAUAUGAAAAUUAGGUUAGUUAUAUUUUGAAAAAGGGUAUAUAUGAAAGUUAAAUCCUCUGUUCAAAUGAACAAAGGGCUCAACUUGAGCAAGAGUUAACAAGCUAUCCAUCGAGGUCAAUGGAACAUACCACUGAUAUUAAUCUUUUACUAUUUAGGGGAAUUCAUAAAUCCCGUAUUACAAGAAGCCAAGAAUUGGUUGGUUGCUCAGCACAACAUAACUGAUACAAACAAUUACUGAUACAAGCACAAGGACAAACACAAGUCACAUCAAAACAGAAAGGCUAAGCAACAAGAACACUUCCACAGAGCACUUCUCACAGGCAAAUUGCUAAACAUGCAGUGAGCAACCAUUGAUUUGGAAUGCGACUGCUUCUCCACAGAGGAUUACAACAAAUUCAGAAAGCAGCCCACACGCUCCUGAUAAGAUCCAAUCACGUUCUGAAUCUGGACAACUUGCAAAAGUUUAUAGCCAAAAAGCUGUAGCAAGUGUCAAUGCAUUCUUCAAUGAAGUAAAACCACCUACGUCGCCAAUGCGGAUUUAUGCACAAUACUGCUGCAAUUGUCAACACCAUAGUUAUGUAAAACACACCAAAGCUGGCAUAGAAACUGUCCAUGUCUAUGAAGCCACCAUCUCCAUUGAAAUCGUUAGGCACUCUUGCGGAUGGUGAUUCUGUUUUGUCGCAACUGUUUUGCAAUGGAGGUCCACAAAGAAGAGGAUUCCCUUUAUAACUGCUCUCAUCAAAGGUACCAAAUUGAUUUUUCAUCUCCAGUGUUCUUCCUGACAAAUUAUUGUACGACACGUUGAAAACUUCUAGAAAGGUCAGUUCAACGAGUUGUUCUGGAAUUCUCCCAUUCAAGGUGUUGUGAGAAAGAUCCAAGCUCUCUAUCUGCUUCAGAUUGGAGAAAGAUGGAGGGAUCAAUCCAGUGAGAUUAUUUCGCGACAGAUUUAGAGAGUAUAUCCCACUUAAGUUUCCCCAUUCUGUCGGGAUUUCUCCAGUGAAUCUGUUACAAGAAAGGUCCAUAACAGACAUGUAACGAAGGAUAUCGCCUUCGUAAGAGUAGAAAUUUUUCUUUGUUGUAAGCUCUACAGAUAUUUUUACACUGAUCUCUGGCCACAAAAUUUUGCCAUAAAGAUAAAAACCUUCGUGCUCCAAUUCUCUUUCCCCCAUGGAUGCAAAUAUUUCUUUCCGGCUUCCAUCAUCUUGUGAGUACGUACUAGUGACAACCCAAGUUUUUUCAUAUGAUGCCGUAAAAUCUAAAUUGCUCAAACAUGAGGGUAACAGACUAGAAAAAUUAUUUUCUGAAAGAUCCAAUAUGCUUAAUUUCCUUAACAAGCAUAAUUGAACAGGAAGUUCCCCAUUGAAUUGAUUAGAUUUCAAAAGAAGAAAACUCAAUUCCGAAAGUCUAUCAAUCCAAUUUGGAAUUGGCCCAGUUAAGUUGUUAUAGCCGAGAUCUAAUGUCACCAAAGAAGAGAUGUUAUAAAAAGCAUUUGGCAGUGGACCGGUCAAUCGAUUUCCGUAUAGGUGGACAUAGCGUAAAUGCGGUGCAUAAAAGCCCAACGGCAAAGACCCAGACAAAUUGUUUUCAGAAAGAUCUAAAAAUUCAAGCCUAGAAGGAUUGAAAUAUUCUUUUGGAAUGGUACCUUCAAACUGAUUUCUGGACAAAUCAAUUGCCUGAAAGGGGUAUAUUGAAGAGUUCCCAAUUCCCCUUGGAAGCAUGCCUGACAAAAGAUUGUUACUUAUAUCAAACCACAAAAAUGAUGAUGCAAGAGAAAAGGUACCAGAUACUUGUCCUGCAAAUUUGUUUCCGUCGAGAAAGAGGUACUCUAGGUGAGUCAUGUUGAACAAAGAGAGUGGUAAUCGCCCUUUGAAAUUGUUAUUGGACAGCUUUAAGGACCACAACGAGGAGCCUACUGCUGGAAAAUUAUGCUUAAGCAGUUCACAAGACAUCUGAUUGUUGGAAAGAUCAAAGUAUUCGAGAGAGCUCAUAUUCCCAAAACAAGGAGGAAUACAACCUGUGAGGCUGUUGUUAGCCAUCAUGAAGUUUUUCAAACGUGGAAAAAUCGAACAUAUGUUGCUUGCAAUUUGACCAUGUAUGUUGUUGCCAGACAUAUCUACUGUCUGAAGGUUGGGUGUUGGAUGUUGUGGCAGCUGCAAAAGACUUGUAAAUGAGGUGUCUCUCAAAUAUAGCCGAUUUAACUUUCUAUUAUUCUCAAACAGCCAAGAUGGGAAAGGUUCUCCAACGAAUUUGUUGUGGGAUAGAUCAAGAAACACCAAAUCAUGUUGGCUAUGCAGGAAGUUUGGAAAUCCAGCUCUGAGUGGUUUUGAAGUACAGUUUGAAGCACUGAAGUAACGAAGCUGGAACUUGGGAGCUGAAGGCUGAAAACUGGGUGCAGCUAUCAGCUCAUUGUUAUCGCAUGCAAUGAACUUGAGGUUGGAGAGGUUCAUAAAUGAACCAAAUGUUAUUGGAACUUGAAAGUAGUUACUUGAAACUGAGAGGUAUUCAAGCUGCGUAAGAUGGGAAAGGUGACUAGAGGCAAUAUUUCCCUCCAAUUGGUUGUCAGAUACAUCCAAGAUUUGUAGAGAUGAUAGAUUUCCAAAACAAGGAGGGAGUACGCCCUUUAGAUAGUUUCUUGAGAGAUAUAGCUUUUCAAGAUUCUUCGGUUCACACCAGCCUGCAGAAUAUAUCAAUAUGUUCAUAUAUCAAUUAUGUAAUUGCUUGGUGAGGUUUUAAAGUUUUAGUUGAUUCUUGUUUCAUUACCUAGGUCGGUUUUAGAUUAUAUUUAAACAACUUUGUUUGUUAGUUUUUUAAAAGAUUAAUUAUCUAUAUUAUUGAUAUUCAUAAUUUUUUUAAUUCAAAGUUUUUUCUAUAAUUUAAGACAGAGAAAUUUUAGAGAUUCAGAAACUCUAGAUUUUAUCCUUUUCUAUACAUAACAUUAUGAGUAAAUUUCUAGUUUAAUAAAACAUAGAUAUAACAAAAUAUCUAAUGAACAACUGUUAUUUGGAUUUCAAUACUCUUAUAAUUGUUCAUUUGUAGAAUUACCAUCCCAAUAUCCAUAUAAAUUCAAUGAAAUAUAAAUUUGUGUGUUAAUUUUUUGAUAUUAUAUCAAUAUUUUAAUAACCAAAUAUUCAUGAAUUCUAACAUAUCACAUAUAAAUUCUAACUAGUUGAUCCUUUAAUAAAAUUUUAAAAAUUGAACAAAAGUUAAUGGUUAAUACACAUCUAUUUAUUAGACAAAUUCACUAAAGAAUAAAUUAAGCCUCACUAAGGAAUGUCAUCCAAGGAAGGAAUGAUUUACAACUUUACCAUUGAGACCAGUUGAUCCUGUGAACAUAUUGUCUGAUAGAUCUAGAGAUUUGAGAGUUGAAAAUCCAUUGAGAGAUGAUAAAAUGCUGUCGUUAAAUUUAUUGUUACUUAGAUAAAGUUCCUCCAAAUUCCUCAACCCUGAAGCUAGGACUUGAAAACCUGAAAGAAAAUUGUCGGAAGCAAAGAAAUUAACAGAUAUAUAUAUCAACCAUCCCAAUAUCCAUAUAAAUUAAAUGAAAUAUAAAUUUGUGUGUUAAUUUUUUGACAUUAUAUCAAUAUUUUAAUAACCAAAUAUUCAUGAAUUCUAACAUAUCACCUCCAUUCUUUUAAUAAAAUUUUAAAAAUUGAACAAAAGUUAAUGGUUAAUACACAUCUAUUUAUUAGACAAGUUCACUCAAGAAUAAAUUAAACCUCACUAGGGAACGUCAUUUGAGGUAGGAAUGAUUUACAACUUUACCAUUGAAACCAGUUGAUUCUGUGAAUCUAUUGUUUGAUAAAUCUAGAGAUUUGAGAGUUGAAAAUCCACUGAGAGAUGAUAAAACACUGUUGUUCAAUUUAUUGUCACUUAGAUAAAGUUCCUCCAAUUUCCUCAACCCUAAAGCUAGGACUUGAAAACCUGAAAGAAGAUUGUCAGAAGCAAAGACAAUUAAAAGAUUUAUAUAUCAACCAUUUCAAUAUCCAUAAAGAUUCAAUGUAAAGUUACUUGAAACAUAACUAACUUUAUGUGUUAACUAAAAAAAAAUUGAAAGCAUAGAACCUUGGUUCUUUAAGCCACCAACUAAUUGGUUGCCGCUUAAGUCGAGAAUCUCCAGUUCUUUGAAAGGCAGAAACAAAGGUGCAUUGAGAUCCAAGUCUUCGACUGCAUCAUAAUUUACAUAUGAAAGAUGUAGUUCGAUCACUCGGUUUGUGGUGUUGUCACACACAACCCUAUAAUAAUCCCAGUUACAGCAAUUAAAGUGCUCUUUAUCCCAACGUUCUAGCGGAUCAUAGGACCCAGCUGCACGUGCAUGAUAGAACCAAGCUUUUAUCUCUAAGAGACUAACUCUCUCUUCCUCCACACAACAAUGGCUCCGGUCGUUGAGGAAGGCCAGUGCCAUGAGCAGCAUCCACACCCACAUUUGCCUCAUCUUCAUAUUAACGCUCCUACUUGACAAAAUACAAAAGCAAGCAAGCUGUCUCUUAUAUACAAAUUAAUUUGUCCUCUUCAUUUGAUCGGACUUAAUUAUCUGUAUCAUUGAAUUUUCUAUGCUGAAUUAAUUAUCCAAGGGAGACUUGGGCUGAAUUGAAUGGGAGAAUCUUCACGGACAGAUCCAGGGGCCCGCACCACGGCACAGAUCGCUCGGUUUGUGGUGUUGGAUUAAAGGAUAUUAAUUCCAACUUCUUGUUUACUGCUUUACUUUUCUUCAUAGACUUGGGAAGUCAGGUGCUGUAUAUGAACAAUUGAUUUGAUCUUAUGAAAUACACGGCAGAAGAGAUUAGAAAAUGACUUCUAUUAUCAAUAAUUUCUUCUUACUGCACCUACUGAUUUUUAUUUCUUUUGAAAUAUUUAGAAUAUCUCUUUUGAAAUAUCAAUAUCGCCUACCCCACUUCCUUCAUUUUUGUUAACGGAGUGAAAUGAUUUCAACACGUGUCCAUGCAUCUGCCAGCUACCCUAAUUAAUCUGCACUAACAGUGACCAUAACAGCUGUAACAAUACUCCCUCAAUACUUGUAACAUCAUCCUAAUAUAUAUAUAAUAGAUUGGAAGCAUGCAUGGGUUUCUUACAUGAUUAACUAAACUUAAUCUUGUAAUAUUGAAUUAUUUGAUGAAAACAUUAUCUAAAACAAGAUUAAUUGAUAUAUUUAAAGUCAAAUAAAAAACAAACCCUGCUUAUUUUUAAUAUUAAAAAUUAUUUCUAACAUAAAUUUUUAACAUAAUAAUUUAUCAAAAUUAAAAUAAAUUAGAAUCACCGUUUGAGCAAUUGAUUUGAUCUUGGGCCCACAAUUAUUUUCAUUAGCCUGUUAAUAUUUUUCUUCAAGCUUGUGGAACAGGUUGUUCCUUUAGGCUACUUUGCUUCUUCUUUUUUUUCUUCUUAGACUUGGGAAGUUAUUUGUUUGAACAUUUAAUUUAAGUUUUUAUGGUUGUUUGUUUUUGUGUUUUAAAAGUAUUUUUAAAUAAAUUUUAAAUUUUUUAAUUUUUUUAUUAACUUCAAAUUAAUAUAUUUUUAGUGUUUUCAAAUCAUUUUGAUAUGCUAAUGUCAAAAAUAAUUUUUAAAAAAUAAAAAAAUAUUAUUAAUAUAUAUUUUAACAUAAAAAAUUAUUUAAAAAACAAUAAUAUAAUCUCAUCAUCCAAUAUCGCUUGUUUUUAUUCUUCGUAGACAUGUGAAGUAAAGAUUCCCAAUUAUCCACUGCAUCAAUCUCUAUCCCAUCAAAAUGAAUUUGGUGCAAGAAAAAAAUAUCUAAUAUAUGUGAUUUACUCAUUAUGCAUAUUUAAGAUUGCUAAAGGAAAAUAUUUAGUUUAAUUUCACAUAUAAGCUAAUUCGAUAACACUUUUUAAUAUAAAACCAAAAAAAAAAAGAGUGCUAUCGUCAUCAACUUUAUUUGGUUUCAAUUUAUGACGUUUGACAUAUAAAUUCUGUUCAAUUUAAAUCAACUUUUCAAUAAAUAGUGAAUGUUAAUGAGCACAGUAGCGAGAACUAAGCAGUGUUAUGUGUACUUGGAACCAAGGUUGUUAAAAUCGUGUUUUGACUCGUAAAAUCGUACGAUUUUACGAGUCAAAACAUGUAUUACGGGUUGAAUCGCUUGAAAAAAUCAAAAAUAGCUAAAAUCGGGUUGAAAUCGAGUGAAAUCGCGAUUUCAGGACCGAUUUUGCGAUUUUGACAAAAUAAGGCCCUGAAACAAAAUCCUCCCUCCUGGAUAGCUGUCAUGCCUAUUGGAUUAUUCCUGCACAGUCUUACUCAUACACAACGUUUCAUGUCUUCCUUAGCUCUCGUGUCUAGCGUGAAUAGGAAGGUCCCCGUGUUGGUCAAGCAGGAAUGUCUGGAACUAGUUGCUAUGUGUAAUAAAAAAAACUUUGGCAGGAUAUGAACAGAAUGAAGAAUUACAAAGAUGAAAUCUCUCUCUCUCUCUCUCCCCUUCCUUCUUCUUAUCUCUUUCACCAUUCAUGCUGCAACCCUCCUGUUGAUUUCUGGAAAUGGUUCAGAACCAUUCCAUCGCAUUCAAUUCCCCUGGAUAUAUUUCUGGAAAUGUAAUUUUUAAUCUAUUAAUUUUUUUUAUAAAACAUAUUAACCGAAUAUUAUUUCAAUUUCACUCGAGUUUUAUGGUAGAAACUGGUGAAGUGUGUGUAUAACACCUGACAAUAUUUUAAGAUGCUUGAACUAUAUAUGAAUUUUUAUUUGAAGGCUUGAAAUAUGUAUGAAAUUUUAUUUGAAACAUGUUUUUUAAUGUGCUUGAACUAUGUAUGAAUUUUUAUUUGAAACAUGAAUUUUUUUUAAUGUAUUUCAAAAUUCCUUACGAUUUUACGAGCCGUUUUUACAAUCCGAUUUUGUGAAGGGCUUUCCGUUUCGUUCUAAAAUCGCGAUUUUAACAAUCUUACUUGGGACUGUGAAUAAUGUACACUUUAGCUCUCUUCAUACAGUCAAUUGACUUUGACACAGUAAAAAUGAAAAAAAAAUUACUCCGUCGAUUGGUGAUUAAACUACAAUACUAAAUAUACCAACUCUGUGGAUUUGUGAUUAAACUUGGAAAAAAACAACAAUACUAAAAAAAGCCAUAUGUGAAUUUGUGAUUAAGAAAAUUCAUUAUUUUAUUUUUUGACAUAUUAGGUUCCACUAGAUGCACCCAGUCAAUGUGAGUGGUUGUCUUUUUUAUUAUUUAUGAGGAUCCAAUUGAUGCAUCAAGUCUAGGGCUCCACAAUCACUGUCACUAGUCAAUUCCGCCAACUUGUUGCGUAAACUACUUUGCUUUCUCUUCAUAUAUAGACAUGGAAAUCAUGUGGAAUCAAAAAAUUUAUUCCUUAACCUUUUUCAUGGAAUGAAGUGAUUUCCCAGUAGCAUCAUCAUCCACUUGCACUUUUUUUUUCUUCGUAGACUUGAGAAGUCGGUCAAGAUUCCCAAUAUAUUAUCAACAUCAUCAAUUUAAAAAAGAAAUAUAUGUUAGGUUGAUUUAUAUGUUAGGCUGAUUUACUUCCAUAUUAAUUAUUGUUUGAAUAUUCUUAAUCCGAAUGAUAUUAGUCCAUUCAAAACAAAUUCAUUUUCUUUUUUUAUAAAUAUAUUUAUAUAACUACCAAAGAAGAAAAUGCAUUGAUUAAAAUAUUAUUAAUCUGUUUGAAUGAAGAAAGUUAAGGCAGAGAUGACCAACCUAAACACCGUGUGGGCCAAUAAAAUUGAAAACAAAAGAUAAUAUCAAUGGCUUGCAAAAAAAAAGGGUUUGUGUUAAAUUUAUCUAUAUGUUAAAUUACUUGAUUUACUAAACUUAAUCAUGUAAUAUUGAAUUAUUUGAUGAAAACAUUAUCUAAAACAUGAUUAAUUGACAUAUUUAAAGUCAAAUAAAAAACAAAUCCUGCUUACUUUUAAUAUUAAAAAUUAUUUUUUAAUCUAAACUCUUUAGCAUGAAAAUUUAACAAAAUUAAAAUAAAUUAUGAUUACUAUUUGAGCGAUUGAUUUGAUCUUCGGCCCCACAAUUAUUUUUGUUAGUCUGUGAAUGUUUUUCUUCAAGCUUGUGAAACUGGAUAUUCCUCUGUAAUGUAAGUUCCUUUGUUUUUUUUCUUCGUAGACUUGAAAAGUCAUUUGUUCGAACAUUUGAUUUUCUGAUAAGUCAAUCAUCCACUGCAUCAAUCUCUAUCCCAUUGUUAGUCUGUGAAUUUUCUAUGCUGAAUUAUCCAAGGGAGACUUGGGCUUCAUUGAAUGAGAGAGUCUUCACGGCACAGAUCGCUCGGUUUGUGGUGUUGGAUUAAAGGAUAUUCCAACUUCUUGUUUACUGCUUUGCUUUUCUCCGUAGACUUGGGAAGUCAAGAUUCCUAUAAUCCACAUCAUCAAAAAAACCCAAAUCGAUAAUGUGGUGUUGGAUUAAAGGAUAUUAAUUCCAACGUCUUGUUUACUGCUUUACUUUUCUUCAUAGACUUGGGAAGUCAGGUGCUGUAUAUGAACAAUUGAUUUGAUCUUAUGAAAUACAUGGCAGAAGAGAUUAGAAAAUGAUUAACAGAUAUAUACAUCUCAACCAUACCAAUAUCCAUAAAGAUUCAAUGUAAAGUUACUUGAAAUAUAAUUAACUUUAUGUGUUAACUAAAAGAAAAUUGAAAGCAUAGAACCUUGGUUCUUUAAGCCACCAACUAAUUGGUUGUCGCUUAAGUCGAGAAUCUCCAGUUCUUUGAAAGGCAGAAACAAAGACGCAUUGAGAUACAAGUCUUCGACUGCAUUGAGAACAUCAUAAUUUACGCUAUAAAGAUUUAGUUCGAUCACUCGGUUUGUGGUGUUGUCACACACAACCAAAUCCCAGUUACAGCAAUUAAAAUGCUCUUUAUCCCAACCUUCUAGCUGAUGGGACCCAGGUGCACCUGCAUGAUUGAACCAAGCUUUUAUCUCUAAGAGACUAACUCUCUCUUCCUCCACACAACAAUGGCUCCGGUCGUUGACGAAGGACAGUGCCAUGAGCAGCAUCCACACCCACAUUUGCCUCAUCUUCAUAUUAACGCUCCUACUUGACAAAAUACAAAAGCAAGCAAGCUAUCUCUUAUAUACAAUUUUGUCCUCUUCAUGCAUUUGAUCGGACAGUGACAAUUAUCUGUAUCAUUGAAUUUUCUAUGCUGAAUUAAUUAUCCAAGGGAGACGUGGGCUUCAUUGAAUGAGAGAGUCUUCACGGCACAGAUCGCUCGGUUUGUGGUGUUGGAUUAAAGGAUAUUCCAACUUCUUGUUUACUGCUUUGCUUUUCUCCAUAGACUUGGGAAGUCAAGAUUCCUAUAAUCCACAUCAUCAAAAUGAAUGUGAUCGAAGAAAGGAAAAAAUGAAAAAAAAAAAAAAACAUUAACAGUGGCUUACAAAAAAUAAAUAAAUAAAUAAAACCAUCAAUUACGAGCUUCAUAAGAUAAUUUUAGCUUAAAAAAACCCAAAUCGAUAAUGUUUUCUUUAACAUUGGUAUCCGUUUAAUCAAUCUUCUGGUUUGAUCCUUGAUAGUGCUGUGUUUUGAUGCUUGUCGAUUAGCCACAAUAAUGUUAAAUUUACAAGGACAGAUCCAAGAAAAGCAAUGCAGGCCUGUUUUGGUCUCUGGGAGUCCCCUGAUAAAGGCUGCAACUAUUGCUUGAACCCUUGUAAAGGGGCCUUUACACAUGCGGUCCACUGAGAAGUACAACACCGUUCUUUAUUUAAUUCUUAUGGUUUAAAUCUACUAAUAACUUAGUCAUUUUGCAUGCUAUUUUUCCACUUGUUUUGUAAAAUAGAGAAAAGAACUGUUAAGCAUGCUGGAUAUUUCGCAUAAUAAGCUCCGGGUCCUUUAUCCUCUUGUUUGUCCAAUUUAACUUUCAUGGCAAACGAUGCAAAAUGCUAUGUAUCUUUUACUUGGCCUAGUAUUCAAUAUUUUGAUCAGUCAAAUCUUGUACUCAUGGGUUUGCCUCAAGUAGGCGAUUCUUAUCGGGAAAAUAAGUACACAAACAACAUUGCAGAUUAAUCUGUCGAGUUCUCAACAAAAAGACAGUCAUACUCCUAUCGAGAUGUGACGCGGAACAAUAAGUAAAAAGAAUUAAAGCAAGAAAAGAAAGAAGCUUUAAAGAAGAAAGAAGCUAAAGAAGAGGAGGAGAGGGGUUGGAGAUGUGCAAAUCUGCAAUUUUCAUUCAUUCAAAAAAUGUCUUCCCAAAUGACAAAGAGCAUAUAAAUAGUCUCAACCUAGAACAUCCUGCUAUUGGGCUUGGCCCAUCAAACCAAAUUGUUUAACAUAAAUAAUAAAAAUAACAAUGAGCAAGCCCAAAUGGGCUAAAUAAAUAAAAUUACAAUGAGAUAGGCCCAAUGGGCUUAGUCUCCCAACCAAAGCGUGACAGGCUGGGCCAUCCUACGUCGUCUCCGUCCAUAUACUCGUGUAAUCUGUGGCGUGGGCCUGGUGUCCUCACCAACUCUCCUGGGGUUAGAGAAACUCGACCUUGUCGAGCGUAGCAGUGGCCGACUCUGAUAGUACUCCCAAAGAUCUGGGUCAAGCUGCUGCAAAGUAUCUCUAGUAAUCCAAGUGCAGUCUGAGUCGGGUCGACCCACCCAGCGAACUAGAAACCGCUGAAUCUCACCAUUCCUAUUAAAAACAACUUGUUCAUCCAGAAUAGCAUCAAUAUUAUCCUUUUGUGCUGAUGUCAAAGUAAAAAGGGAUAGGGGUUUAUUAGGAUCAUCAGGAGGGGGUUAAGUGGUGUUCAAUGGGUCAUUUGGAAUAGGAAGUGGUUUGUGGUAUGCAACUAGAUCCUCAAUGUUAAAUGUAGAGCUAAUGCCAAAAUCAUGUGGUAAAUCAAGAACAUAAGCAUUUGGACCAACCCGUUGUAGCACUUUGAAAGGCCCGCACUACGUGCAUGCAAUUUUCGAUUAGCUCCCGAAGGAAACCGUUCGGGUCUAAUCCGUUAUCAUAGUCUCCAACAUUAAACUCAUUAUGUCGUCUAUGUGCAUCAGCUUGAAGUUUAUAUUGCGCAUUACUUGCUUGAAUUUGUUUAGUGAUCUCAAUAUGCAAAUCCUGAAUUCUACGUGCAAAAGACUCGGCUGACUCAGACACUCUAGCAUGAAGGGACAUGGGAAGAAGAUCUAAAGGUUUCCUAGGCUUGUAACCAUGUACAACUUCAAAGGGACUCAUGCCUAUUGACCUAUUGAUGAGCUAUUAUAGGCAAACUGGGCUAGGAAGAAUCAGAUCCCAAUUCCGAUUAUGAUCACUCACUAGACACCUUAAAAGGUUACCCAAACUCCUGUUAACCACCUCAGUUUGACCAUCAGUUUGGGGUGGUAAGCAGUAGAAAACUUCAAUUUGGUUCCCACCAUAUGCCAAAGGGUUUUCCAGAAAUAACUUGUAAAUCUAACAUCCCUAUCUGAAACUAUGGUUUGGGGAAGGCCGUACAACUUGACAAUCUCGUCAAAAUAGAGUUUUGCGACUCUGGAAGCAUCUGUGGUCUUAGUACAAGGAAUAAAAUGGGCCAUCUUAGAGAAGCGGUCGACAACCACAAAAAUAGAAUCAUGUUUCUUUGCAGUACGUGGAAGCCCAAGCACAAAAUCCAUGCUUACAUCUUGCCAAGGGCAAGUAGGCACGGGUAAUGGAGUGUAAAGACCAGUAUUUUGUUUUCUAUGCUUAGCGAGUUGGCAAGUUCGACACUGACCUACUAAUUUGGCGACAUCUCUUUUCAAACUAGACCAAAAAAACUGACGUUCCACUUCUUCGAUGGUUUUAUUCCUUCCAAAAUGUCCUGAGAGACCUCCAACAUGAAUCUCCCAUAUCAAAAAAUCACGCACAGAUGUUUUCAGGAUACAAAGCUUAUUAUCUCGAAAUAGGUAUCCAUCUUGGAGGUGAUAACCAUUUAUAACACGGUGAUGCGCAUCCUUCAAUGUCAAGUAUAUUUCUCCAAAUUCUAGGCAAGAUUCAUACUCCUCCUUAAGUCUCUCAAAUCCUGUGACUCCAACACUCAUUACAGAUAACAACGUCACCCGACGACUCAAAGCAUCUGCAGCCUUAUUCUCUAUUCCAGAUUUAUGUUUCAAAACAAAUGAGUAUGCUUGCAAAUAUUCAACCCAAUGACCAUGCCUAUUGUCGCACCCUAAAAAAAAUCAGCUCGCGGCAUCGGCUGGCGAUUUUUCUCGUUUGUUUGUCGUUGCUUGAAUUUGGUUCGUUGGAGUCGCCACCUAGUAAUUGAUUGCGGGCUACUAGGAAACCGGCUGUACUGGUCUUGUCAGAGAUUCGUGGGUACGGGACUGGUUGUGGUUAGGGAAGGUAUUAGCACCCCUAACACACCCUACCUGAGGUAAGCUGCUUCGCGAAUUUGAUGUAUUAAAGAAGUUUUAAUAAUUGUCUUUUCAUCAGAAAUUAGAAAUAUCACUUACGUAUAAGUUAAUAAUUCUUAACCAAGAUCCGAUCAAAAUAUUAAAUUCUUCUUUAAUAUAUUUGCAAUUUUAUCAUUAAAAAAUAUAUACAAAUAAAUAAAAACAAAAUACAAACACACACGUACACUUCCACUAUUUUUGUUUCUUUUCUUUUUUUCUUUUCUUUUCUUUUACAUCCAUAUUUACAAAACAAAUAGACAAUCCAAAAAAAAAUAAAAAAAAAAUACAUCAAACAAUUUAAAAUUACAAAACAGCCCCUAAAACAUCCUAAGGCUUCUAGAACAUGCAGGAACAGUGCACGAGAACAGUGCUGGGAGGCUUCUGGUGCAGAGAAUCAGUUGAUGCUUGCCAUUUGUUCUCAGUUAUACUAAGAAAGAAUGAACCGCGACUCUGUCCACCAUUCUCUCCUGUGCAUGAACAAAUCAGUGAAGGAAUAUUUGCAGUGAUAAAUAUGUUAAUGGUUUCCUGACUUCAUUAGAAUAUUUUGCUCCCAUUUUCUUUGCUCCAUGAACUGAAUAUAUAUUGCAACAUAAUUGUGGUGUUGUCAAUCACGGCAAUUAUGCACAUAAAUCCUUACUGGCGCCGCAGGUGGUUUUACUUCAUUGAAGAAUCGCAACUAUUAUGCUGCUGUUUUCUAGCGGUUAGUUUCCGUAAGCUGUCCAACAUCAUGUCAUCGAACCUCUGUAUAAUCAUUCAAUUAGAUGACACAUUUAAAAAUUUUAAAAACUAAUAAUACUAUAACUAUGAAGAACACCUAAAAUAUUUAAUUUUAUUCUUCCAAGUCUCUGCUAAACUAAUUAUACACAAUUGUGGUACUAGCAAUUGCGGCAGUUUUGUACAUAAACCCAUAUUGGCGACAUAGGUGGUUUUACUUCAUAGAAGAGUGCAUGGAGACUUGCUACUACUUUGAAUUGCAUACAUUUCAUAAGCUAUCCUCCUUCAUAAGGCCAUAGGGUCUGACGCGUGCCUUUUGUUUUUUCAUAUUUUUUAGUUUGAACUAAUAAAACCUUUACUUUUUUUCAAGCUUCAGUUAAUUUUAUUGCAGUUUCUCAAAUGAAUUCUACAAAUUCAAGAUAUAUAUGCAUCCUUAAUGCCAUAUUAAAGAGAAUAUAUAGAUAGGAAGAAGAGGAGCUUUACGUGAUAUGGAUAGCGAGAUGCUCCUAAGCCUAGAACCAGCUAAAACUUAAUAUUAUGAUGAAUAAUUCAGCAAAACUUAAUUCAAUUUCAACUUCCAUUCUCAUCAUUAGUACAAAAUGCAGAGUCAGAUUGAAAGGAAAAUGAUUGGAACUUGAAAUUCAGGUAACAAUACAUCUAGCAGAGCUUCCUCCUUACCCUCUCCCUAUUGUAUCUUCUUCGAGUGGAACUCUUAGCUUUUUGCCCUCCAAGAUAAAUGUUCUCAUCUUUCUCCAGUACUCUCUGAUAACUCAGAGAGCAGCCGCCCUGUAUAUUCCCUUUUUUUUUUAUUAUUAUUCAAAACGUUAUAGAGAAGUUCUUUUACAGAGAAACCCUUUUUAAGAUAACCAUCUAGAUAAAUAACAUUAAUCCCAUAUAUAUCAGGAUAUAUACAAUUACAAAAUAUUAAAAUAUAAUUUUUAUUUUAAAUUUUACAGCUCACGCUAACAUUAAUUCCUAAACAGUACAGCUCACGCUAACACUCUCUUUUCCAUCCAGCAUAAGCAGUCACAACUUACCUCCACGGAAAACUUUAUAGCCAACUUCAACCAAUAUUUAAAAGGAAUUUUGUCCUAUGUUUGAUAAGCAAAAUCAACAGAACCUGUCGUUGACUUUCUAGCUCAAAUUUAGCAGUAGCCAUUUUAAGGAGCAGAAACAAACACUGUACUUUUAUCAUCACGAAAAUCUGGUUGAUUUAUUAUCACGAAAAUCGAAAAUCUAGUUGAUUUAUCAUUACGAAAAUCUAGUUAAAACAAAUUAAUAUGAAAUCAAAUCGAGGAUGAAAGGUUGAUUUUGAGAUCAAGAAUAGCAUGUAUUAAAAAGAUAAUAAAUAAAAUUAGAGUAAUAACAUUGAUACAACUUAUCAUUAAAUUUCAUUUGCAAUUUCCUCUCGAUUUUCUGUAGUUCUGUAGAGACAUAGAUUAGUUGGUUCUUACGGGAAUUUUUCUUCCUUAAUUUCACUCCCAUUUCCCAAACGAUGGAAUUCAUACAACCUUUCGAUUUUAUUUCCACGUAAAAUCCAUUCUUCUCUAUCAAACAGAACAUAAUAAUGGGCCAUAUUUUAAUUUAAAUAUAUUUUUCCUAAUAUUUAAAGUUUUUUUACUGGGAAAAUAUCAUGGGGAUUUGAGAGAAAAGACAAUAGAUAAGAAAGGACAAGAAAAAAAGUGAGAGAAAAUGAUGGUGGGUCUUCAUUCUUCAGGGACCGUAUUGGAACUCUUUGGAGGCAUGCGUGAGAGGUGAAAUGGGAAAGUAUAGGGAACAAAGUGUAAUGUCAAUGAAUAUAUAGGGCUUAAAAUGCAAUUUACCCUUAAUUUUUUCGUGGAUGACGCAGUCACAAGGAGAGGAUAGAUGUCAUUUCUGAAAUGAUAAGACAGAAGUGACAAUAAGUAAAAUUUCGUAAAUCAUCAUCAAUCAAAAAUCAUGACGUGGGGACAAAUCACAUAAUUGAUUGAUUUUACAACCCUUUAAAACAAACUCAUCAAAAUAUUUAAUCCAAAUUCUGAAUAAACAACAAUAUCUAAUGUAGAUAGGUUUGAAUAAUUUGAUGAUUAUUAAUAGUCAAUUGUAGAUUUAUCACAAUUAGAUCAUAUAUAUAAAACCCAAUAAACUCAUAAUACGAACAAAUAUAACUGGGCUAACUUAAGAAAAAAAUACAUUGGUGCAAAAUGACUAGUCUAACUAAAAAAGUUUAAAUUUUAAUUUGACCUCAUGGAAAUCAUUCUCAAAUUUAAUUAGGAGAUUUUAUGGUUUCUAUUCUAUAAAGGGUGUGUGUAGGCUUGAAAGAAGUUAUGCGUGCCAAUUUCGUUAUUUUUUUAAUCUUUUUACAAUUCUAGUUUAAUUUUGGAUUUUAUAUUGUAAGAACCUAUAUCAUAUCAAGAUUAAAUUUCAGUAAAAAAAAAUAUUAGAAUUCUAGUUGUGGAGAGUUUUUUUAUAUAUAGAAUUACGUUUUUCUUUGAGCUUGUUUUUUUCUUAACCGGAUCAACUACAUCAAUCUCCUAAAAAAACGAAAAAAAAAAAAGUUGGGAAUGAAAACUUAAGUGAAAUUUAACAGUCUGCAACAACAAUCCUUUACCGUCCACCAUGAAAUGAUCAACAGGUUUUUUUUAAGGACAAUAUAAAUUCUGAAAGAGCGUAGACAUGAAUGACAGCCAAGAACCACCCAACAGCCAUGCAGGGUCUAGUCUGCAUGGCAAAGGUCCCCUCAAUCGCUGAAUCCACAUGAACACAGUCUAAUGAACUGCUAACAUGCAUUUGGUUGUGGUAAUUCAAUUAUGCGAAGGGUGUCGGUCCGAAUUCUUCAACUUAAACGAACAUGUUUGCGUAAUUAAGUGUUCAAUCACGUACUUAAUUUGCUAUUGAAAACAUUUAGAAUUUAUCAACAAUUUAAUUAAGCAGGUGUAUACAACCUCCCAACAUUUGUAGAUAUCAUUGAAUCAUUAGUUAACACCAAGUAGACUGAGAUCGGAUCAAAAUGUGUCACUUAAGCUCUUAAUAUUACAGAAAACUUACAAUUGCCCUGAUGGUUAAUUAGCACAAAAGACCGGCUUGGAGUUCAGACUAGCCAAAUUGCCCAACUCUUUAAGCCUGAAUUUUAUCACCAUCAUAAAAUGGGAAAAUUAGUUUAGAUAUACAAGGCGAAAUGGAAUUAAUUACCUAACAAUUUGAACUUCAGAUUGGUCAUGCAUGACCACUUGCAGGUCCUCCUAGUGUUAGAACCACACCUUGAAGAUCACUUCUUGGAUCUGAUUCUUUGGCUAAUGAUGGAGCAGCUCUGAUUACCGGAUAUGUUCUGGUCACUUGAGUUUGUCGAGAACUAUGACUGGAUUGUCCUGAGAAUGUUUUUGGAUGAUGAGAAGGCUUCAAGGUAUCAGUAUGAAAUUCAUUCGAAGCACCACCCAGAAACCAGUGCUCAAAAAGCCCCUUUAUAAAGAUAACUAACAGAGAAGGUCACAGACAGCAGAGGAGGUCAGCAUCACCAUCGAUUUCCUUUCUCCAGAAGCAGGGGUUUACCACCACAUCAACACCCAUCUUCCCCGAUCUCUUCAUCUCCUUUAGCACUGAAGAGAAACCGAACGGUGGAGCAGAGAACACAGACAGCAGAGGAGGUCAGCAUCACCAUCGAUUUCCUUUCUCCAGAAGCAGGGGUCUACCGCCACAUCAACACCCAUCUUCCCCGAUCUCUUCAUCUCCUUUAGCUCUGAAGCUUCCUCCAGCAGUGGCCAACACACGGCAGCCCCUACAAAACCAAAAUGAGAUAAAUCUCAAAGAGAAAGAAAGACUCGAACUUGUGUAGCAGAUCUGGACCGAGAUCCAGCCGCCAUCAGCUCUGGCGAUGCCUAACAACCAGAUGUGCUACAGGGAUGAACUCUCGGGCAACAAACAGUGAUAGACUCGAAAGAAGCCAAUCUAAAGGAGGAGAAGGAAAAAAACGCAGAUCUGUGAAAAAAAGACAAUAAUCGAAACUCAAUUAAGAAGAAAUCAUCGCACAAACAAUCUCCCGGACCGGUUGUUGAUUUGGAUCCUUUCCCAAUUGAGGAUGGAAGACUACGGGAAAGAGGAGAUUGGUUGGGGUGGGGAUUGAAGCUGUGAUUUGGGAUCGGUUCAGUUUAUCAAGCAGACUUCAAGAGGUAAGACCCUAUACAAUAACAGUAACAACAAAGAGAACUUUUCAACCCAGCCAUGGAGGGGAAAGCUCUCUCUCAAAAAGCCCAGCCACCGUUCCAGACAAACUUAAUUCCUUCUCACAAACACAAAAAAGAACUUGACCUUCCAUACAAGCCAUAUUACCCCCAGCCUCAGCUACCAUCCAUCACCUUAAACACUCAGACUUCAACAAACUACCGUGAUUUUCAACUACAAUGUUACUUUGAAAACUUCCUAAGUUGGGUCGAUUACCAUAAGCUUAAAGACUGCUUCAGAAAACAGGGGAAAGUUAUUAAGCUGUUUGUUUCUCGAAAAACAAAUCAAGCAGGAAAGCAUUUUGGCUUCGUCACCAUCCUCUCGAAUCUGUCAGACAAAACUCUGCUAGAAUGCUUAAAUGACAUAUGGUUUGAUUCCUACAAGCUGAGAGUUAAUGUGGCUAAGCACAGAAGAAAAGAUGUAGUGACGAAACAGAAAAUAAUGGGAACCGGGAAACAAAUACCCAAGCUCAACAACAAAGCCAAGGCCCCCAUCCGUGUAAGAGACAACCGAAGCUAUCUUGAGGCAGUAAGAUCAGGGAGUCAAGUGCAUCAAGCGUCUGAUAAUGCCACACCACGUCAUCAUAACUUCAUUUCUUUCAACACUACAGAUGAGGAAAUUCUAUGGUUAAGAAAUAGUCUUAUAGGCAAGAUAUCUCAGGGAGUAGAUUAUGCACAAAUCAGACAUGGAUUAAUUCAGCUAGGCAUUUGCUUCUCUGCUUUCCGUUUCCUAGGGGGAUCACAGGCAAUCAUAAGCUUUGAUGGUGAGAAAUCUAUGCAACAAGCCAUGCAGAAAGGUAUGGAAUGCUGGAGGCUCUACUUUGAUGAAGUUCACCCGUGGACUGAAGAAGAUGUGACAGAGAGUCGUCUAGCAUGGAUCUCUAUCUCUCAUUUGCCUAUCUCUGGCUGGAGUUUGAGAUGUAUCUCAAACCUUCUCAUGAACCGUGGACGGGUGAUAGGUUUUGACAAAACCAGCCUAAAAAUCUCUGAACUUCACAGUGUGAAAAUCCUUAUAGGUACUCACUUGCCGGAGAUCCACGACUCUAUAGCUCUCAUGCUAAACUCCAAGUUAGUACACAUAUAGCUGGAUGAGAUUGACCUUUUAAGAUAUCCAGAGGCAAAAGGAAUUUCAUACUCGAUGGCAGAAUUUCAAACCACAUUACUUCAGGGAGAUAGUGCUGACAGUGACUCAGAUGAUGAAGUGUACACUGAUCUUGCUUUUGACUUGGCAGGAGAUGACAACAUUUGCAGGCUAGGUAUCACUGAUAAGAAUUGUGGAUCUGAUGACAAGGGACACACGAUGGAGGUAAGGAAGCACAACCCAUAUGGGACACAUGAGGUGUACGAUCAUAGCUUUGCGUCCACAAUAAAUGCCAUUGACAACACAGAACGGCUACAUAUCGUUGUUGACGAUCUCUUUUACGAUGUGAAUUCAGCAAGCCCACUAGAGCAUCCAAGCAUGGCUUUCAAAAGAGACUCCUUCUUGCCACAACCUUAUACCCCUGUUAGCAGUGAUGAUUCUUUAGAAUCCCACUUCAAAAUCCAAAGCCUACCUCUUACAUCUAACCAACAACAGACCCCAACAGCCAAACAACCAAGACUAAAGAAAAUAUCCUCUACUAGGAGUCUCCUCUCCUUGCACUCUUCAGCAAGCAUGUCUUCUAUAGACUCUUACAUCAGGGUGAAUAAUACCCGUAACCUGAAAGAAUAUGCAGCGGAAUCGUCCCACAAUGAAGUCAACAAAAUGAUCCGUUUGGGAGAAGCUUUGGGUCUUGGUAAUUCAGCUCUCUUGGAACAAUUUUCUGGUCUUAUCAUAAGACAGCUAGAAAAGGAGAAGGAAGAUUGGCAGAAACAACAAUGAAUAGUAAGUUUUCAUCCCCUGCAGAUAGGCCUUUUAAUUCUGUCAUGAAUAUUCUUUCUUGGAAUUCCUGUGGCUUGGGCAUGAUGAGGAAACGAAGAAGAAUCACGAAAUUAAUAGCAGAAUAUAAGAUUGAUAUAUGUUUCAUGCUGGAAACUAAGCUAGCUAAUUGUUCCAUUGGUUUUGUAUCUCGUAUUUGGAAUGAAAAUCAUGUGAGUUGGUUUAGUAAUGAUGCUCAAGGAUCAAAAGGAGGUCUGCUUGCUAUGUGGAAAAACACUAACUUUGAAGUCUCUAAUAUUGAAUAUGGUCAUGGUUGGAUCGGUUUAUAUGGUAAACAUGUUCACAGUGAUUUUCAUUGCUUUGUUAUUGGCAUCUAUGCUCCUUGUAACUAUCAGGACAGACAAAAACUUUGGGAGGAUCUCAUUCUUCUGAAGCAUGCUUUUGAAGUUCCAUGGAUAAUAGCAGGAGAUUUUAAUGAAACGCUCUCUCAGAAAGACAGAAACAGUGGAAUUUGUCAUCCUGCAGGCUCAAAUUCUUUUAGCAGAUUCCUGCAGUCUUGUGAGCUCACUGAAUACCCUUUAGCAGAAGGUUAUUUUACCUGGUUUAGAGGAAGGUCCAAGAGCAAACUAGAUCGAAUGUUCGCAAGCUCAACCUACCAUCUUCACUUCCCCAGUUUAUCUCUUCGACGACUUCCAAGAGAGUUCUCAGAUCAUUGCCCUCUAAUUCUAUGUAGCUUCUUGCAAGACCAUGGAUGGCGUCCUUUUCGUUUCUUGGACUGUUGGACUCAAUACCCAAAUUUCAAGCACAUUAUUGAAAGCUUCUGGAAUGAUGCAUGCUCCCUUCACCCUGGCCGCUUUAAAUUUCUCAAAAAGCUUAAUCAUAUUGCAGUCAAAUUGAGGCAAUGGAAUAAGCUUGUAUUUGGAAAUCAAGAAGCUGGCCUUCAACGAACCCUUUCAGCUAUCAACAUACUAGAGGAAAAAUGUGAAGAAGAAGGUUUAACCGACCAAGAGCAGGAGCAUUUAGACUUUUUGUUGAAAGACCGCUGGGUUCGCAACAAUCACAUUGAAUCUAUUUGGAGGCAGAAAUCAAGACAGAUGUGGUGCAAAUUGGGUGACAGAAAUAACAAGUUUUUUCACAUGAUUGCCAAUUUCAGGAAGGCUAAAUCAUCAAUACUUAAAAUCCACCAUAAUGGCAACACUUUUGACUCUCAGCAGGGAAUUAAGCAGGCUGCUGUGGAUUAUUUCUCUGAGCUGUAUGACUCUCCCUCUGGUAAAAAGCCGCAGUUAAAUCCUUUGGGUUUCAAAUGUCUCUCUAAAGAAUCCUCUGAAUGGUUGGAGCAAGAAAUCACAAUGGAAGAAGUGAAGCGCGGUGUAUGGGGUUGUGAUGGGUCAAAAUGUCCUGGACCAGAUGGUUUCAACUUCAAAUUCUACAGAUUAGCAUGGGAUUUUAUUGCUCAAGACAUUCUCGAUAUAGUCUUAAGCUUCUUCAGAACAGGAAGGCUUCCCAAAGGAAUCAAUACAACCUACGUAACUCUCCUCUCUAAGACAGUCGAACCCAUUGAGUUUAAAGAUUUUCGGCCCAUCAGCAUGAUUCAUGGUAUUUAUAAGAUCAUUGCUAAAAUCCUUGCUUCUAGACUGAAAGUUGUUAUGCAAGAUAUCAUUAGCAUUAACCAAUCAACGUUUAUAGCAGACCGUAACAUUAUAGAUGGCUUUAUGAUUGCAAAUGAGCUGGUGAAUGAUCUAAAAAAGCAAAAAGCGGCAGGUUUGAUUUUCAAGAUUGAUUUUCAUAAAGCUUUCGACUCAGUCUCCUGGGAUUACCUAGAUGAUAUCAUGGGUUAUAUGGGGUUUGGUAGAAAAUGGAGAACCAUGAUUUAUGAAUGUCUUUCUUCAUCAAAACUCUCGGUUUUCAUCAAUGGAUCUCUUUCAAAAGAAUUCUCUGUUCGGCGAGGGCUGCGUCAAGGAGAUCCGAUUUCCCCUUUUCUGUUUGACAUAGCUGCUGAGGGCCUCUCUGUACUCUUUCAAAGGGCAUCUAGUGGGAAUAUUAUCAAAGGGCUGCAAUUUGCAUUAGGAAUUUUUGUCAGCCAUCUUCAAUAUGCAGAUGACACAUUAAUAUUCAUCCCAGCAGAUAUUGAUCAGUUAGUUCAAGUCAAAAGAAUUUUAAGAUGGUUUGCUCUGUCUUCAGGCCUUCAUAUAAACUUCCAUAAAAGAUCCAUUAUUGGUAUCAAUGUCGAUGAUCACUUGUGCUUGCGCUUGGCUACAUCUAUUUUCUGCAGAUCAGACUCCCUCCCAAGCAAAUAUCUUGGCAUGCCAUUAGGAGCCAAUCCAUCUCGUAUCUCCACAUGGAAGCCAGUGAUAGAGAAGUUUCGUAAAAGGCUUCAUAUAUGGAAGGGGAGACUACUAAGCAUGGCUGGUCGUCUAUGUCUCAUUAAAAGUGUCCUUAAUUCCCUGCCUAUAUAUUUUAUGUCUGUAUUCAAGAUGCCAAAAGGGGUAGGCAGGCUUCUUUCAUCCAUCCAAAGACGUUUCUUGUGGUGUGGAUGUACCAAGCAAAGAUCUUUCUGCAAGAUCCAAUGGAGAAUAGUGAUGCGCGAUAAGAAACAAGGAGGCCUCGGUGUAGGCUCCCUUAUAUCAAAAAACAGAGCCCUGCUUCUAAAAUGGAUUUGGAGACUCUCUUCCCCAGGUACAAGCUUAUGGAAAAUGAUUAUCUCUUCAAUGUACAAUCCAUCUUAUGAGAAUGGGAUCCCAAUUUUCUACAACCAACCAUCCAAGAUAUGGAAGGAUAUUAUGUCCAUCGUUCAAACCGACGUUCACCAAGUCUUCACGAAUCAUUGCAAAUUCAUGGUGGGGAAUGGCAAUUUAACAUCCUUUUGGCUAGACAGCUGGAUUGGUGACGACCCUCUCAAAACAGCCUUCCCAAGGCUAUAUCUUUUGUCUUCCUCUAAAACUGCUUUGGUGGCUGACAUGGGUAGAUGGAGCAAUGGAAUCUGGCUCUGGUCCCUACAAUGGCGCAGACCUCUUUUUCAUUUUGAACAAGAACAACUAUCACUUUUAUCAUCCUUGCUGGAAUCCAAGCCAAUGUUCUGCCACAAGAUGGAUAAGAAAAUCUGGACCCUCAACAACGAUGGCCUCUUCAGUGUAAAAUCUUGCUCCAAAAUGAUGGACCAGUUACUCUACGGUGGAGCCAAACCAUUCCAAUCUUCUGUUUGGAUAAAACUAACCCCACCAAAAGUGCAGCUUUUCCUUUGGCUCCUUGUCCAAGACAAAGUAACCACAAGAGAUUUCCUAUUUCAACGCGACUACCUCUCCCUUCAGGAGUCAAGAUGUGCUUUCUGCAAUAAAAGCUUGGAAUCUUCAAGUCACCUCUUCAUUCACUGCCACUUCUCUUGGAAUAUAUGGAUGAAACUGUUUUCUAAUCGGGGCUUUUGCAGUGUUUUUCCAAAAUCUGUUGAUGAUAUGUGCUACCAAUGGUCUUCUAUGGUUAAAGGCAAGCAACAAAAUCUCUCAUGGCAACUUCUUUUCUCAUGCGUUGUUUGGAAUCUUUGGCUUCAUCGAAAUGAUGUUAUUUUUAAUGACGCUGCCCCUAACCAUCAAAUCUGUUUCUCCAUGGUGCGCCAAAGUAUUGCUUUAUGGUUGAGGCUUGACUCCAACUCUUUCGAGCUUAACAUAGAGAAUGUUUAGUCGGGAGGAGUUGGUUUCUUUUGAUUUGUCUGUUCUCCUUUUGUUGUUAUCCCCUGUUUCAUGAAACAGUUUUUGUGCUUCCCUUUCCUCUGCUUGUUCUUCUGAUGUAAGUUAGGCUACUAUCUUUGUAGCUUUUUCCUUUUAAUAAAAUUUCGACUAUUAACAAAAAAAAAAAAAAAAGGUAUCAGUAUGAUUGGAGUUUGGAAAUUGAUGAACAAUGGGGAUUGGAGUUGCUGGUGAUGCAUGAUUUUGAGCUAGAAUUGCCCCUCUCGAUACGAAACCAGGUGCCUGAUAGAUAAAAUUAGGUUUCAAUACGAGUUCGAAAUAUACUGCAAAUGAGGGAAGUAAUGAGGAGCUUACAGGUGAAAACAAGACCCCUCUGAAAAUCUUCCCAUUAACAGUUGCAGUCAUUAGAAGGCCUAAGUCGAAGGCUCCGUCAACUUUACCUCGAACUUCAGCACCAACCUAUGGAGAAAGAGAAGAAAGUGAAAAGCAAGUAUUAGCAGAACAGGAAGGAAGACAGACAAAAAAAUUUGUAAUUGACAAUGUUUUGCAUUGCAUAUAUCAACUUAAUGAUUUACCAGGUUUUGAGUACACCCUGGCUCCAUGGAUCUAUGUUCCACUGCUGGGAAUGGUGUUCCUUGCCUGCCAAACCCUGCAUGAACAUAUUGUUCUACUCUUUUAUUCUCUUGAAACUUGGAGCCUGUGCCGGGUUUUUUGGAUCACAAGUCUAGGUAGUUUCUGAUUACAUGCAACACUAUCAGCCUGGUAAUUUCUUGGAAUUUUGUAUAAUUAAAUAAUCUAAUCUUAAACCACUACUCCAAUUGUUGAUAUAAAAGUUUAAAACCGAUCUAAUUAAAAGAAUUCAAAAUUAAGUGUGAAAAAUAACUAAAAUAAAAAAUUAAUUCAAAUAACAAAAACAAAAUCUUUUGCAUCUGAUUUGAGAAAAUUUAUGUGGUGGAUGACCGAGCCUGUAAAAUUAUAUGAUAAAAUUUAAGUAUAAUUUAAAAAUUAAAUUUAAAAUUAUUUUUAUCAGGUUUUAUGUCUAAUGUGUUGAAUUUGUUUAUGGAUUUCUAUUCAGGCUUAAUCAUAAACGUCUUUGUUUACACGUCAUAAUUAAAGCAUAAAAUGUCGUGUAAGCCGAUGCUUGACUUUUUUAAAAAAUAAUUUAGUUUCGGUUGACUCACAAAAUUGAGACAUCUAGCUAGUCACUCAUGGCUUUAGACGUACCUCUUGUAAAGAUAUCAACGGCUUUACGUCUACCAAGUGUCAGAAGAUUAGAGAUUGAUAUUGUUAGAAUGUUGUUAAUAUUGUUUGUUAGCUAAGAGAGUUUGUUAGUAUUGUUUCAGUGCUAAGAGAAAGAACAGAUACCGUGUAUUACCUUUCUAAUAUAGCCUAUAUAAACUGAGGAUUAGUGAUGUGAAAAUAAUGAAAGAAAAAGUAAUAAUAAAACAGUGCGAGACUUCAUCUUCUGCUUCUCUGUAACAGAAUUAUUCUAUAUUCUUCUUCCUUUCUAUUCUCUGCACUUUCUUCAUUUCUGCUCCUUUUCUGUAUAAAUUCUACCGUCUAUCAUGGUAUCAGAGCAGUAACUGGUCCGAUGGGAUGUCUUCUGAUUGUCAAGAAUUAUACUGGCGAUCGUCUAAAUUUUGGUUUGGCUGCUAAGCAAGCAAAAUCUGAAGGUUAUAAAGUAGAGACUGUAAUUGUUGGAGAUGACUGUGCUUUACCUUCACCUCGAGGCAUAGCUGGACGAAGAGGGUUGACGGGGACUAUUCUUGUUCAUAAGGUUGCUGCAGCUGCAGUUACUGUUGGCCUUUCUCUUGAUGAAGUUGCUGCAGAAGCGAAACGUGCAUCUGAAAUGGUUCUAAUAUCUUGCUAAUCUCUGUUUCUGUAGAGAGAGCAAUACGGUCUCUUAAGAUUCAUACUUCUCAACAAGCUUGCACAAAGAGUCACUAAAUUGCUUUUGGCCACUUGCCAGAGCAAGUACGAUAGUCUUCUCCAUCAAAUCCUGAAGAAGAUCAAUAUAUAACAAAGAGUCGCCGCCAAUGUAUUACCAGCAGCCAUUAAUCUCUGUUUCUGGCAUUAUUAUCUCCUUAUCUACACAAUUCUUUCAUAAUAAUCGAUAUGUCUAUCAUUUGUUUGAUAUAUUGUCAAACUGAAAAAUUCUUCUUCAAAUCUUCAACUUUCUGCAAGAUUCUUCCUUCUCAAUCUUUGAUUCUCUUCUUUUCUAUCUCUUGCACUCUAAAAAUGGCGACUACUUCUCAACUUCAGAUAGUUCAACUCUAAUAAGAGAAUAUACACAUAAACGUUUUCUUCUUCCUCUACACUACAUAAUUUCUCUCUGCUUCUCUUCAUCUCUAUUCUCUGCUUUUCUUCUCUUCAUCUAUAUUGCUUCUAUUCUCUGCUUUUCUAUUGCAGUAUCUCCCUCUAAUUCUAUUCACUUCUUUGUUCAUCUCUGUGACGAUUCUUGCUAGCUUUUCAAAAUAUUUCUUCUAUCUCCAUUGCUUCCAAUCCAGUGUUCCAUUCCAGGAUGAAACAUCUCCAGAUCGAUUAUCACUUUGUUAGGGAACGGGUUAUCAAGGGUGAUUUACUGGUCCAGCAUGUCUUCUCUACUGAUCAGUUUGCUGAUAUCCUCAUCAAAGGUCUUUCCAUUUCUUUGUUUCAGCAUCAUUGUUCCAAUCUCAUGCUUGGCUCCUCCAAGCCUGCGAUUGAGGGGGCAUGUAAAGAUAUCAACGGCUUUACGUCUACCAAGUGUCAGAAGAUUAGAGAUUGAUAUUGUUAGAAUGUUGUUAAUAUUGUUUGUUAGCUAAGAGAGUUUGUUAGUAUUGUUUCAGUGCUAAGAGAAAGAACAGAUACCGUGUAUUACCUUUCUAAUAUAGCCUAUAUAAACUGAGGAUUAGUGAUGUGAAAAUAAUGAAAGAAAAAGUAAUAAUAAAACAGUGCGAGACUUCAUCUUCUGCUUCUCUGUAACAGAAUUAUUCUAUAUUCUUCUUCCUUUCUAUUCUCUGCACUUUCUUCAUUUCUGCUCCUUUUCUGUAUAAAUUCUACCGUCUAUCACCUCUAACUUCGCUUACUAUGCUUAUUAUGCAAAGCAAUUAUUUUCAAGCUUGUGGAACGGGGUGUUCCUCCAUCUUCUUGUUUAACUGCUUUCUUCAUAAACUUGGGAAGUCAUGUGUUAUGAACAAUUGAUUUGAUCUUGUGAAAUAUAUGGCAGAAGAGAUUAGAAAAUGACUUCUAUUAUCAAUAAUUUCUUCUUCCUUGUGAAAUGAUUUCCCGAUACAGCUCUUAAUUUCAACACCUGCUUGCUCUUCUUUUCUUAGUAGACCUGGGAAGCAAAGAUUCCUAAUUAUCCACAUCAUCAAUCGCGAUCCCAUCAAAAAUGAAUUUGGUGGAAGAAAGAAAAACAAAUUGAAAGAAAAAUUAUCAAUUAAGAUUUCAUGUCGUCACAAAAAACAAUUACGAGCUUCAUAAGAUAAUUUUAGCUAGUUUGUCUUAAACUCAUUAGAACAUCCUUUAAUCUUCAACUGCUGUCAUUUGAGAUUUCAUGUUUGUGUUUUCAAUUAAGAUUACACAUCCAUUUGUCAGAAAUACGCACCAAUAUUCCUUAUUACCUAACCUUAAUCCUGUAAUUCUGAUUCUGAACUGCUCUUUACACUCCUUUUCCAUCGAUCAAUACAGAUCAAUCUUUAUUAUUUGCUCCAGGUUGCUGCUGCUGGUUACUCUGUCAUGGAUUAUUAUUUUUCAGUAGUCAGUUAUCCUAGUGCUUGCUUGGACAUGCUCAACAAUGGAGUUUCUCUAAAUGUAAUUCCCACAGUGAAAUCUUCUGUCAAAGUCAUUUCAAGCCGGAAAAGAUCAGGAAAAUGCAGUCUUGAAACAUCAAGCGAAUAGUGCCCAGCAGGAAAAAUUCGUUUCUACUAACAAAUGGAAUGUAAAGUUGAUCCAAGGAUGCUACUAACUUACAAGAAAUUAAAUCAUCAAAGAAAAAAUAUCCACUAGAAGAAGUGUUCUUUCCUUCUAUUUAAAAAGAAUUCGAAAUUUUACUAGACCCUAAUAACAUGAAGUAAAUCUGUUUUUUUUACUCUUGGCUUGUUCUCAAAAAUUUUAUUGAUAUUAAUUAAAUAACAAAGACAAUGAUGUAGCUAGUAUGAACUAUGAAAAUUGAGAACGAGAGGGAUGAUCAGGAAUGGAUUAAGAAAAAUGGGCUUGAAAGAGACCCAACAGGAGAGAAAAAUCUAAAAUAAACUCUUGAUGUCUUUCAUAACUCAAUUUUUGACUCUUUUUAUUUUAUUAUUAUUACUAUUAUUUUAUUUAUUGAAAAAUGAUAAUAAAAAAAAUAAUGAUGAAAAGAAAAUAAAAAAUGAAGAAUAAAUUAAAAUUAGGUUAAGGCAACAUGAUUGGAAGUUUUGGGGAUUAAUUAAAGUUUGGAAUUAAUUCAAUCAAGGGUUUAAUUGGAGAAUUGAUAAGUUUUGAGAUUAAUUGAGUUUGGAAUUAAUUGAAUUAAUGAAAAUCAAGGAUUUAAUUAGAGAAUUGACAAGUUGUUAGACUUAUUUGAACUUGGAAUUAAUUUAUUCAUGGACUUAAUUGAAAAACCAUCAAAGUAUAGGGCUGAUUAUGGUCAAAUUUGCAAGAAAUUAAAACCCAAGGACCAAUGUGUAAAUGGCGCUGAGAUUCAGGGGUUCAAUUACAAUUUACCCAAGGACUGGACUGCAAAAAGUCAACAUGUCUAGGAUGAAAACGCAAAAGGCCAUUAACAUCAGCACUGUUCAUCUUCUUCACCCGAAAACGCAUGCCUUUAUUGCAUUAAAAUCCAUGCAACCGCAUGGCAUUCUCUGGUUAUAAAAACCAGAGAAGGAGAACGAGCACCAGGUUAGAGAGGGGGAGAGGAGAAAAUAAACAGACUUUCAUUCCUCUGUUUCUUCUUAAGGAAACAGAGGAGGUUAAAGAAAAAAGCAACAAACAGGAGGAAAAAAGAGCAAAACCGGGGGGAAAAAGGGAGAGAAGACAGAGAGAGUGAGCGACCGAAAAGGGGAAAACAAAAGGAAAAACUGAGAGACAGGGGAGAAAAGGCAGAACCGAGGGGACUAAAGGGGGGGAAUAAAAGAAGAAAACAGAGGAGACAAAAACCGGGGAGAGGGGGAGACACAGAAUCAGUUUCAACCAUCUCUUCACCAUCUUCAACAACUCUUCAGCCUCCAGGAACCCAGACAGGAGAAGAAACCCCAUCGACUUGCUUUGGGAAGACGCAGAGUUACAGAAUAGAGAGCGGAGAAGCAUACGAAAAAAAGAGGGGGGCAAGCUUCCAUUCAACCGACAGCACCUAGCAUCUUCAUCACCAUCGUUGAUGUCCUGAGCAGAGGAAACACAGAAGGAAGACCAAGGAAAGCAGUAGACAAGAGUCACCACCAGCGUCACCACUGUUUUUGUCGCCUCCAGAAGCAGCAGCUUCAGAUCUCCAUCUUCAGUAGCCACUGCACCAGAAACAGGGCACUCCAGGAGAGAAAUACAGGGAAGAACCGGGGAAGAAAAGGAGAAAGAGAAGGAAGAAGAGAGGAAGAACAAGAGGUGGCAGCGCCGUUCGUCCAGCGCAGUGCGCCAUCGUCUCCGGCUACGCCUUGCUGCACCAGGUAAGUCUUCUCUCGUCUCUCCCCUCCUGCGUUAUAUUUCACUUGCCACUCUAGCAAGUGAAUUAUAAUUAAUUCACUACCCAACCGGGUCACUGGCUUCGGCCAGUGACCAGACCAGGAAUGUUGGGUCUACCUAGCCAUGUAGGCUGGAUCAGACCCAGCCCCACAAAAAAAAUAAAAAAAAUAAAAAAAAAAACAAAAAAAAACUAGAAAGUGUAGAAAUAAAAAUUUUACAUGUCUUAGGAAAAAUGUAUUUUUGUCAAUUUAUUCACUGAUAUUAGGAUCAGAAAUAAAAAAAAAUAUAUACUGAUUUUUUUUUAGCUAUGAAUUUCUACACCAGAGUUGGAAUUAUUCAUGGUGGAAUUUUUACCAACGCUAGAUUUGGAAUUAUUCGUGGUGGAAUUUUUAAACUCUAGAGUUGGAAUUAUUUGGGGUAGAAUUUUUACCAACACCAGAGUUGGAAUUAUUUGAAAUCGAAUAUUCACUGACACUAAAGUCAGGAAUAUUAUAAACAAAUCAUCAUAGCAUAAGCGAAUAAAUGUUUAGUAAUUUAAGACAAAACCAGCAAUGCAGUCUGCCUCAGGCAGAACAUUUAAAGGGUGAUAAUAUCUUCCCUUUUACAUAACCAAUCCCGAACCAUAGAAUCUCUGUUGACUAGUUAGGGUUUCUAGUGGCGACUCCUUAAACAAGAUUUUUUUCCCCUAAAAGAACAAGAUGCCAGAAAUCUAUUUUUUAUUCUUUUUCCAUAAUGAAGAUUAUUUUUAGAGCCGCCGGGUGCGACAAUGUUUAAAAUAGCCUAGAAGUAGGGCUUAGAUAGCUAGGGCUGAGAAAAUUGCCAAAAUAGGUAAAUACUGAUUAUUCAAUAAAUAAAUAAAAUAUUGCCUUGUUUUAAGUUUAGACUUAUGUUCUUUCAGCAAACAAAAUUAUUGUAGAACCACAUUCCACCUUGCUGGUAUGAUCCUGUGGUUCUAUCAAUUAUUUUAUUAAUUGAGAAAAUACUGUAAACUAUUACAAUUGUGAAUAAAUUCCAUAUUAUUAGGGAUAUAGUAAUCACAAGAAGCCAAGAAAUCUAAGAGCAAAACGCAACAUAAUUAAGACAUAACAAACAAAUAUGGAUACAAGCACAAGAACAAACACAAGUCACAUCAAAACAGAAAGGCUAAGCAACAAGAACCGGACACUUCGACAGAACACUUCUCACAGGCAAAUUGCUAAACAUGCAGUGAUCAACCCUUGAUUUGGAAUGCGACUGCAUCCCCAUAGAGGAUCACAACAAAUUCAGAAAGCAGCCCACACGCUGAUAAGACCCAAUCACCUUUUGAAUCUGGACAACUUGCGAAAGUUUAUAGCCAAAAAGCAGUAGCAAGUGUCAAUGCACUCUUCAAUGAAGUAAAACCACCUGCGUCGCCAAUGCGGAUUUAUGCACAGUACUGCUGCAAUUGUCAACACCACAAUUAUGUAAAACACACCAAAGCUGGCAUAGAAACUGUCCAUGUCUAUUAAUCCAUCAUCUCCAUUGGAAUUGUUAGGCACUCUCACUGAUGGUGAUUCUGUUUUGUCGCAACUGUUUUGCAAUGGAGGUCCACAAAGAAGAGGAUUCCCUUUAUAACUGCUCUCAUCAAAGGUAGCAAAUUGAUAUUUCAUCUCCGGUGUUCUUCCUGACAAAUUAUUGUACGACACGUUGAAAACUGCUAGAAAGUUCAGUUCAACGAGUUGUGCAGGAAUUCUCCCAUUCAAGUUGUUGUGAGAAAGAUCCAAGCUCUCUACGUGCUUCAGAUUGGAGAAAGAUGAAGGGAUCAAUCCCGUGAGAUUAUUUUGUGACAGAUUUAGAGCGAAUAUGUCACUUAAGUUUCCCCAUUCUGUCGGGAUUUCUCCAGUGAAUCUAUUACAAGACAGAUCCAUAGCAGACAUGUAACGAAGGAUAUCGCCCUCGUAAGUGUAGAAAUUUUUCUUUGCUGUAAGCUCUACAGCUAUUUUUACAUCAAUCUCUGGCCACAUAGUUUUGCUAUCAAUAUGAAAACCUCUGUUACCCAAUUUUCUCCCCCCUAUGGAUGCCAAUAUUUCUUUCUGGCUUCCAUCAUCUUCUGACACCGUAUCUGUGACGACCAAAGUUUUUUCACCCGAUGCCGUAAAAUUUAAAUUGCUUAAACAUAAGGGUAACGGACCAGAAAAAUUAUUUUCUGAAAGAUCCAAUAUGCUUAAUUUCCUUAACAAGCAUACCUGAACAGGAAGUUCCCCAUUGAAUUGAUUAGAUUUCAGAAGAAGAAUGCUCAAUUUCGAUAGUCUAUCAAUCCAAUUUGGAAUUGGCCCAGUUAAGUUGUUAUUGCCAAGAUCUAAUGUCACCAAAUGAGAGCUAUUAUAAAAAGCAUUUGGCAGUGGACCACUCAAUCGAUUUCUGUAUAGGUGGACAUAGCGUAAAUAUGGUGUUUGGAAGCCCAACGACAAUGACCCAGACAGAUUGUUUUCAGAAAGAUCUAAAAAUUCAAGCAAAUAACAUCUGAAAAGCUCUAUUGGAAUGGUACCUUCAAAAUGAUUUCUGGACAAGUCAAUUCCCUGCAAGAAUAUUGAAGAGUUCCCAAUUCCCUUUGGAAGCGUGCCUGACAAAAGAUUGUUACUGAUAUCAACCAACCAAAGUGAUGAUGCAAGAGAAAAGGUGCCAGAUACUUGUCCAACAAAUUUGUUUCCAUCUAGAAAGAGGUAACGCAGGUGAGUCAUGUUGAAAACAAAAGGCGGUAAUCGCCCUUUGAAAUUGUUAUUGGACAGCUUCAAAAACCACAACGAGGAGCCUCCUGUAGGCAAGUUAUGCUCAAGUAGUUCACAAGUCAUAUGAUUGUUGGAAACAUCCAAGUAUGCGAGAGAGCUCAUAUUCCCAAAAGGAGGAAUGCAACCUGUAAGGUUGUUGUUAGCCAUCAAGAAGUUCUUCAAACGUGGAAAAAUCAAACAUGUGUUUCUUGCAAUUUGACCAUGGAUGUUGUUGUCAGAAAUAUCUACUGUCCGAAGGUUGGGUGUUGGAUGUUGUGGCAACUGCAAAGGACCUGUAAUUGAGGUGUCUCUCAAAUAUAAUCGAUUUAACAUUCUAUUAUUCUCAACCAGCCAUGAUGGGAAAGGUUGUCCAAUGAAUUUGUUGUGGGAUAGAUCAACAAACAUCAAAUCAUAUUGGCUAUGGAGGAAGUUUGGAAAUCCAGCCUUGAGUGGUUUUGAAGUACAGUUUGAAGCACUGAAAAAACGAAGCUGGAACUUGGUAGCUGAAGGCUGAAAACUGGGUGCAGGUAUUAGCUCAUUGUUAUCGCAUGCAAUGAACUUGAGGUUGGAGUGGUUCAUAAAUGAACCAAAAGAUAUUGGAACUUGAAAGUAAUUAUUUGAAACUGAGAGGUAUUCAAGCUGCGUAAGAUGGGAGAGGUGACUAAAGGCAAUAUUUCCCUCCAAUUGAUUGUCAGAUAAAUCCAAGAAUUGUAGAAAUGAUAGAUUUCCAAGACAAGGAGGGAGCAAGCCCGUUAGUUUGUUUCCUGAGAGAAAUAGCUGUUCAAGAUUCGUCAGUUCACACCAGCCUGCACAUUAUAUCCAUAUGUUCAUGUCAAGGGAAUAGGAAUAUAUCAAUUAUGUACUAUUCGUUGAGAGAUCUAUUCGAAUACAAGUUUAUUAGCGAUUUAAUUUACCUUGGUGAGGCAGGGUGCCAUUUAGCAUACAGCUUUCCAGAGACAAAAUUCUGAGAGCAGGAAACGGUCCAAUAUUUAGAAGAAAACUUGCUGUCAUGGGAGAAGCUCGAUCCAGGAAUAGCUCUUCAAGUUUGGUGAAAUUCUGCGGUCCUAAAGGAUUAAGAAAGGUGCGUUCUUAAUAUCAUUUGAGUUGAGAUUGAAGGAAGCGGAAACAUAAAGGGAUUGGGUUAUUAAAAAAAAAUUAUUAUGGGAAAUUAAAAUCAUUUCCGACAUAAAUUUCUAUUUUAUUGAUCCAUAUGUAUAACCAGCUUAUAAAAGGAAAAACGGAGAAAUUUUUGUUGAUAAAAUUACUAAAUAUCGUCAUAAACGUAAUGGUUUAAUAACAUGAAAAUUCUUUUAUUCUUUCAUGGGAAAUUUUUAGAUUCAUCAUUUGACACAUAUUUUUGCUAUCCGAAGAAAGGAGCUUGAGAUUUGAGUGGUUCAUAAAUGAUUCAACUACUUAACAAAACUGGGACUUGAUUGUAAGACACAUCCACCAGUUGUAAUAGAUGACAAGUUUCUCAAACAAGUUGUGAUGAGGGACACGUAUCUACAAGUUUAAACUCAGAAAGAAGUCUGAAUGUGUCAAAUAAUCUUUUAAUUACCUUGAGCAGGUCCGGUGCCAUGGAAGUCAGCUCUGGUCAAGGAUAAAACUUUAAGAGUAGACAAGGGUCCAAUGUUCCGAAGAAAGCUUGUUGGGAGAGAAGAAUAAUCGAGGAACAUUUCUUCAAGGCUAGUCGAAUUACACAAUCCUGUGGAACAGAUAAGAUAAAUCCAUUAAUGAAAGUGAUAUAUAAAUAUCAUGUUUUAGGCUCCAAACUGUAACUGACCUUUACCAGAGUGUAUUCCUUUAAAUUUGCUCCCAGUAGCAUAUAAGCUCUUGAGGGAUGGCAACGCUCCCAAUGACUCUAUCAAAAUGCUUUCCUUGAAGUCAAUUAUUUCCAGAUACAAGAUUUCUAAAUUCCUCAAACCUGUGAUGGAGAGCACAAUUAAUAAUAAUGGCUUUUUUAUUUUUUAUUUUUUAUUUUUUCCUGAUUCCAAGUGGUACAGAUAUGUGUGUUCUACAAUUUGUUUUAUUUAUGUGUUGUCAUCUGGAAUAAUUUGGAGCACUAUCGUAGAAUGAGCAGGGGUGCAUGCAGAGUAAUUGAUCUAGCAGUUUCCGGCUGCUGUGUUCUACAAAUUUUUGUUCUUGACUUUUUGUUUGCUCUAUCUAGUUGGAAGUUUUAGCUCAAAAUUGUUGAUAUAAAUAAUUUCUAAUGUUAAAGAUUAAUAUAUAAUUAUUAUUAGAAACUUACCCAACAAUUUAAGUCUUUGAAUUAAAUUAAUUUUAAUAUGAUAUUAGAAUUUUAAUAACCAAAUGUUUAUGAAUUUAAAUCAUCUCACCUCCAUUCCUUUAAUAUUUUUUAAAAAAUAAUCAGCACUAGCGAAAGGUAUACCAUGUAAGAAUCCAUAACUAUUUCACUUGAAAAAAUAUGUUAAAGGAAUUAAUUAUAUAAAAGCAUUUAUAGGGCUUCAUUCAUCUGCUUGAUGAUUAAUGCACAGCUAAUUAUUAAAAAAGUUAACAAAAUAAUAAAUUAAGCCUCUCUAAGGAAUGUCAUCGAGGUAGGAAUGAUUUACCAUUGAGACCAAUUGAUCCUGUAAACUUAUUUUUUGAUAGAUGUAGAGAUUUGAGAGUUGAAAAACCACCGAGAGAUGAUAAAAUACUAUCGUUAAAUUUAUUGUCACUCAGUUCAAGUUCCUGCAAUUCCCUCAACCCUGAUGCUAGCUCGUGAAAACCUAUAAGAAAAUUGUCAAAAGCAAAAAAAUUAACAAAUAUAUAUAUUUCAACCAUCCAUUAUCCAUAAAAGUUCAAUGAAAUAUAAAUUUAUGUAUUAAUUUUUUAUAUACCAAUUGUUCCUGUGAACCUAUUGUUUGAUAGAUGUAGAGAUUUGAGAGUUGAAAAACCACCGAGAGAUGAUAAAAUGUUGUCGUUAAAUUUAUUGUCACUCAGAUCAAGUUCUUCCAACUUUCUCAACCCUGAAGCUAGUACUUGAAAACCUGAAAGAAAAUUGUCAGAAUAAAAAAGAUUACACCUGAAAUUUAUUUUUCAUUGAACUUUUUUGGAUAUUGGGAUAUUGUAUGAUAUAUAUACCCCAAUAUCCAUAAAAGUUAAAUGUAAAGUUACUUGAAAUAUAACUUGAAGUGUUAACUAAAAACAAUUGAACCUUGAUUCUCUAAGACACCAUCUAAUCGGUUGUCGCUUAAGUGGAGAAUCUCCAAUUCUUUGAAAGGCAGAAACAAAGAUGCAUUGAGAUCCAAGUCUUCGAAUGGAAAAGAACUUACACCUGAAAGAUGAAGUUCGAUCACUCGGUUUGUGGUGCUGUCGCACACAACCCUACCCCAGUUACAGCAAUUAAAAUGCUCUUUAUCCCAACCUUUUGAUAGAGGUAGUAUAGAUAACCCAGCAGUUGCAUGACUGAACCAAGCUUUUAUCUCUAAGAGACUAAUUCUCUCUUCCUCUAAACAACAAUGGCACCGCUCGUUGACGAAGGCCAGUGCCAUGAGCAGCAUCCACACCCACAUUUGCCUCAUCUUCAUAUUGACUCUCCUACUUGACAAAAUACAAUAGCAAUCAAGUUGUCUCUUAUAUACAAUUUUGUCCUCUUCAUGCAUUUGAUCGGACAGUGACAGUUAUCUGUAUCAUUGAAUUAAUUAUCCAAGGUAGACUUGGGCUUAAUUGAAUGGGAGAGUCUUCACGGACAGUGCUAGCCGUGGGCCCGCACCACGGCACAGAUCAACGUGGUUGUUGAUAUAUAUUUUUUUGUUAUACUAUCUUAUUAUUUAAUUCUUUUUUGUUUUUAUGUUUUAUGUUUCCCUGAUCUACUAUUGCAUUUAGUACCUUAACAAUAUGCAUUCAUUGCCAUCUAGAAUUUCAUUCAAUAGAGCGAUUAAUCAAGAAACUUAUUAUUGACUUUCAUUUAAAUUAGAAUACAUGAAUAAUUUAUGAGUUUGAAAAAUGUUAUCCAUCCAUAUUAAUUACACAAAUUUUAAAAUAAAUUGCAAUUAAGUUUUUCCAAACAAAUAUCAUUACAUAAGGAAUACGUACGUACUCAAGACAUAGGAAGCCAAGUUUCCAAGAUAAUCCAUUAUUCAAUUUUGUGAAUGAUGAAACUUUUCAAGAUAAUCCUUAUAUAAUAAGGUUUGAUCAAUUUUUUCGAGAUUGUGUUAUCAUAAAUCACAUAUCGUUUAAGUUUCCAGCUUAUAAUAAUAAUUUACACGAAUUAUUGGUGAGAAAUCUCCAAAAUCAUUUUAAAAAAGACAAAUCUAUAUGUCUUAUAGUGCUAUCUCUUUUUUUGUGUUUUCAAAUGUUUUUGUAUUAUGUGUACAUUAUAUCAUCUCUCAUACACAAAAUAUGAGACAUAAUAUUUUAUUUUUAGGAAAAAUCUAAUAAUCCCAUAAAUGAUCAAAUAUCAAUUUGCUUUCCCUAAAUAAUAUCACAUAUAUUAUUUCAAAAUAGUUUUAGAAAUUUGUUCAAUCAAGUCUGUACUUAAUUUUUCUAGGUUUAUAAUUGUAAUCACGUGUAUCAACUUCACUUUAGUUCUUAAUUUCUAAAACUUAAUUACAAUCAAGUCACAUUUAAUUAAUCAUCUCAUUUUAAUUUUUGAUCAAUGAUUUUUAAUGUGUGUGGCCAAUUGAGUUCUUAACAAGUUGGCUCAAAUAUAAAUAACAAUCAUAAAUAAAAUACAAUUAAACAAUUUAACAAUUUAACUUAUCAUUAAUUUAACAAAUUAAUUAAUUAAUAUUUGAAAAUCAAGUGCAAUAUUUAAUAACAUGUCAUAACCCUCUAAAUAUUAAAAAGGUCAUACAUGUUUUGACUUAACUUUUUAUUGACUAGUUUCUCAAAGUAAUUAUUAUCCCUUUAUUAAGAAUAUUUUAAUUUAGAUAUUAGAGCACAAAGUAUAUAUGUUCUAUCAAAUCAAAUUUAUUAUCAACAUCAUAGUCAUAGAUUAUUUGAAUAAGAUUUGAAACUCUUUACAAAUCUUAUUACACCUUGCACAAUGAUUUCAUAGUCAAUACUAUUUGUCGCACGUGUAUGGCAUCGCGGCGAUCGUCCACCCUCAAGGAAAAAUGUAAUGGACUAUCUGGUAAAUGUGGAGAGACAAGGAAUUCUUGUCACUUAUCAAUGGAAAAUUUAAAUAGGAGUCGCCACCUAGUAUUCUAGUCACUAGGAACCCUAACUGGUCUUAGAGAUCGGAUACGGAGACUGGUUGCGUAAAGGGAAUGUAUUAGCACCCCAAAUACUCCCUACCUAAGGUAAGCUGCAUUGUUUUGUCUAAUAAAAUCUAAAGUCUUGUUGUGGUUUCUAAUUGUCGGUCCGUUUACAGUUUAAGAAAAGUCCUCUGUAAGGAGAUCCUUAUCUUAUCAGGUAAAACCUAAUUAUUUUAAGUUGUCAAAAGAAAAUACCUUUUUAAUAUCGGGAAUACAUUUUACGUAUAAAUUCAUAAUCUUUGAUACUAAAAUCAAACAAAAUAAAAAUUUUUUUUGUUUUUGAAAUUUUGGUCAAUGUUCUCUUCACUUUAAUAAACUGGUUAUUAAAGCCACAAUGCAUGCUAAAUUUUUUUUUUUUCUGGUGUAUGAAAAACACAAUAUGAUUUUUUUAGCUUUUGAGACACUUGUCCAUAUACACAAAAAGAUUUUUUCUUUUUCUCAAUUUUUUUUGUAUUUUGGAAGUUUUAACAAAAAUCGGGUAUUUUAAUAUCGAAUUUGUAUGUUUACGACGCAAAAUACUGACCGAUAUUAAGCAAAACAAAAGACAUAAAUCAAAAGGAGGAAAUCAGAAAAUAUUAAAAAUAUUUUUUUAAAAUGGGCCGGACCCAGCCCAGAUCAAUGGGCUGGGCCGGACCCAGCCCAGAUCAAUGGGCUGGGCCAGACCCGACCCAAAAAACUAAUGGGCUGGUUACUGUGUAUAAGCACAGUAACCAGCCCUUCACUCUUUCCUGCAGAACGUGAAUUAUUCAUGUUUUGCAUGCAAAUACAGGCAGGGACAAGAAGAGGAAAAUGAAUGAGGCAGCAGGAGGUUACCUAGGGUGGCGUCGAGGCGGUGUUGCUGGCAGCGGCAGUGCUACUAUCGUAGUGGUAGUGUUGGUGGCCGGCGGUGCUUCUCCUUUUUCUUCCUCUCCCUCCUUUGUUUUUUUUUUAUUAUUAUUUCUUUUUCUUUCCUUUUCUCCUCCUCUUUUCUGCUAUGUCUUGUCUCAUCUCUUCUCUUCUCUCUUAUGUUCCUCUAUUUUAUUUUUUUCUUCCCUCCCCUCUGUUUUUUGUUCUUUUUUCGGGUCUGUUUUUCUUCUUCUCUUUCUCUCUUCUUCCUUCUUUUUCUCUGCUCUUUUCAGUCCUCUUGCCUAUCUGCUCUCUUGUCUCUCUUUCUCUCUCUCAGUUUCCCCACCUUUCAUCAUGCUCUCCCCCUCUGUAUUUAUAGGUGAAAACAAAGGGGGGGGGGAGAGGUCGAGGUGGCCACUGUGUUGCCACCCCAAACCGCCCAAGGGGUACGUCCCCUCCAUUCUUCCACCACGUGGCAAGCAAAUGGGUUGUAUCGGCAUCUUUUUUAGCUUUAAGAGAGAGAGGGAGCUAGUGAAAACAGGGGAAUAAAACCUUCUUCUUCCCCUAAUUUCUACACAUCGAAGGGAAGAAAGGUUGUAUCGUUCAAAAAGGCACCAUUUUGGGCUUUCUCUCUUUCUUUGUUUUUAUGAACAGUAUAUGAAACGACGCUGUUUUGGUCAAAAUGCGUCAUUUUAUUUAAAUGGAUUUUGGUGCCAAAACGUGUCAAAUUCAAAAUCAGGCCUUCAAUUUGCAUGUGUUUUACAAUUUAGUCCUUGGUCUCGGAUUUCUUCAAUUAAGUCCCUAAUUGGCCAUCAAACUUCAAUAUUUAUGCAAUUAAGCCCCUAAUUUGACCAAAUUAAAUCUUAAAAAUUAUAUUUUGACCCCAAAACUUUAAUUUAUUUCAAUCAAGCCAAAUUAACUCCAAAAUUAAUUUUUCUUGCAAUCAAAACCUCCAUAAAUUCAAUUAAACCUUUAAGAAAAUUUAAUUGAGUCCAUAAACCUCUGAUUUUGGUCUUUUCUUUCUCAAAUUAAAUUUUCUUUGUCAACAGGGCUAUCAUCAGUCAACAAAAUAUUGUCAAAUUUUAAUUUUUGUAUUUUUAAACCUUCUCAACCAAUUUUUAACCCUUUUUUAGUGUUGCUGAAGACUGUGAAGAUGAUGGUCAACGCCGGUUCUCGUCUCUACGCUUUCAUCCGAUGGGCUGAGUUUGCGUCUCCUUUGCUCCUGGUUUGAGAUUCUGUCAACUUCAGUUCUGAGAUGAAGGGACAAAGAAGAUGGUGGGGCUGCUCCUUGUCUUUGCGUCGUUUCUCUGCUUUUAUUUUUCUCAGUUUUUUCGUUCCUCGGUUCUGCUUCCCCCCUCCUCUUCUUUCAUUCCCUGGCUUCUUAUAGAGCCAGAGAACGUGGUAAUCAGGGUGAGCCACGUUCCCACGAUAUGCAGUUACAGAUGUCCUGCUGAAACGGUCUUGAGCGACGAAGAAGGUGGAGCGUUUGAACUGGAAAUGGCAACUUUCGUUUUGGACCUUGAAUUUUAGAAAGUUUUGUAAUUAAGUCCCUAGUUAAAUUGUAAUUGGACCCCUGCAGUUUGGCAUCUUUUACAAGUUAGUCCUUGGAUUUUAAUCUGUUUGCAAUUGUGCCCCCAAUUAACCCCAAACUUUGCUAUUUUUCCAAUUAAGUCCUUGAUUUCAUUAAUUAAAUUAAAUCCAAGUCCAAUUAAGUCUUAAACUUAUCAACUCUCCAAUUAAACCCUUUGAUUUGAUAAAGUAAAUUAAUUCCAAACUCAAUUAAGUCUCAAAACUUAUUAAUUCUCCAAUUAAACCCUUGAUUUAAAUAAUUAAACUAGUCAAGAAUUUAAUUAAAUCUUUAAACUUCCAAUCAUGUUGCUCCUAACCCAAAUUUUAAUUCAUUCUUUAUUUAUUAAAAUUUUUACUUGUUUUUCAUUUUAGUAAAUAAAAUAAUUAAAAUAAAAGGUAAAAAAUUGGGUUAUGAUAAUUAUUUUUAUCAGAUUUUAUAUAUGAUGCAUCAAGUUUUUUAAUGUUAAUUGAAAAAAAAAUUAGGAUUACAUCCUAGUCGUAGAUAUGAUUAUUAUUCAUUUAAUGUUAAUAGAAACAUAUAUAUAUAUAUAUAUAUAUAUAUAUAGCAAAAGCAAAAGGUUUGAAUUGGUGGUUAAAAACAAAUAUUUUUUUAUUUUGCGGUUCCACCAGAUGCACCAAGUAAAUUAUUGUGAGGGUGCUCCCCUUCAGUAAAACUUUUUUUAAAAAUAAUUUAGUUUCGGUUGACUCACAAAAUUGAGACAUCUAGCUCAUGACUCAUGGCUUUGGCUUUAGACGUAGCUGUAACUUCGCUUACUAUGCUUAUUAUGCAAAGCAAUUAUUUUCAAGCUUCUGGAACGGGGCGUUCCUGCAUCUUCUUUUAUGGCAGAAGAGAUUAGAAAAUGACUUCUAUUGUCAAUAAUUUCUUCUUCCUUGUGAAAUGAUUUCCCGAUACAGCUCUUAAUUUCAACACCUGCUUGCUCUUCUUCUUUUCUUAGUAGACCUGGGAAGUCAAGUUUCCUAAUUAUCCACAUCAUCAAUCUCGAUCCCAUCAAAAAUGAAUUUGGUGGAAGAAAGAAAAAAAAUAAAAAAAUAUCAAUUAUUUUCAAGCUUGUGGAACGGGGUGUUCUUCCAUUUUCUUGUUUUAACUGUUUUCUUCGUAGACUUGGGAAGUCAUGUGUUAUGAACAAUUGAUUUGAUCUUGAAAAUGACUUCUUUCAAUAAUUUCUUCUUCCUUGUGAAAUAAUUUCCCGAUACAGCUCUUAAUUUCAACACCUGCUUGCUCUUCUUUUCUUAGGAGACCUGGGAAGUCAAGAUUCCAAAAUAUCCACAUCAUCAAUCUCGACCCCAUCAACAAUAGUGCCCAGCAGGAAAAAUUAGUUUCUGACGGUGAGAUGAUGCCAAAAUUGUAGUCAAAGAGACUUGGAACUCCCUGAUGAUGGUCUCUAGCUCUGGAGGUUUAUUCUGCCAAAAUUGCAUGGGCCGUUUUACAGCCUUCGUAAUGGGCUUGGCUACUUUGGGUAAUUAAAAAAACCCAAAUCGAUAAUGUUUUUUUUUUUUUCCUUUGGUAUCCGUUUAAUCAAUCUUCUGGUUUGAUCCUUGAUAGUGCUGUGUUUUGAUGCUUGUCGAUUAGCCACAAUAAUGUUAAAUUUACAAGGACAGAUCCAAGAAAAGCAAUGCAGGCCUGUAUUGGUCUCUGGGAGUCCCCUGAUAAAGGCUGCAAUCAUUGCUUGAACCCUUGUAAAGGGGCCUUUACACAUGAGGUCCACUGAAGAAGUACAACACCGUUUUUUUAUUUAAUUCUUAUGGUUUAAAUCUACUAAUAACUUAGUCAUUUUGCAUGCUAUUUUUCCACUUGUUUUGUAAAAUAGAGAAAAGAACAAAGUAAAUCUUUUUUUUUAGUUUAUGGCAUGUUCUCAAAAGUUUUAUUGAUAUUAAUUAAAUAAAAAAGACAUUGAUAUAGCUGAAAAUUGAGAACGAGAGGGAUGAUCAGGAAUGGAUUAAGCAAAAUGGGCUUGAAAAAGACCCAACAGCAGAGAAAAAUCUGAAAUAAACUCUUGAUGUUCAAAAUAGCCCACAAGCAAGGAAAAUUACCAAAAUAGGUAAAUACUGAUUAUUCAAUAAAUAAAGAAACUUCCUAGAAUAAGUGUGACAUCCUUUAAUGUUUUUACCUUUUAGAACAGUUUAUCCAGGUCGAUUCCACUUUGCUUCAACCGACCACAAUGAUCCCAUAUCCAUCUAUACAAAAAUCAAUUAAGCGGUCCAUUGACACAUUAACUUCUCUGGCUCCAUUCCGUCCUGGAUUAGCAAUCUUUCAACAUUGAGUGUUCUUCUUCUAAAAGCUACCUGAUCUUGUCAACCUAUGACAGAUCUAAAGACUUGAGAGCGGAAAGCCCAUUAAAACAUGAUAAAAUGCUUUUAUCAUUAUUAAAUCGGUUCCCACUUAGGUCAAGUACCUCCAGUUUUGAUGGUAGGACUUCGAAGCCUGGAAGAGAAACAUCAAAGCAAGAUAAUUGACAUUAAACACCGACCUUGAUUCUCAAAAUAAUAUAAAUUUAUUCUAUGAUUAUAAGAACAGAAAGAUUGAACCGACCAUGAUUCUCAAAGCAACCAACUAAUCCAUUACCGAUCAAAUCAAGACUUUGCAAUUCGUUAAAAGGCAGAAACAAAGAUGCGUUGAGAACCCAAUCCCCCAAACUCUCAUCCCUUGCACCAAUAAGAGAGAGUCGGAUCACUCGCCUUUGAGUGUUAUCACACUUGAUCCCAUACCACUCACAACAAUUACUACUGUACUCCGCCCAAUCUCUCAUGUAAAUGCUGUUUGGAUUGAUCAAAGGUUUGAUCUCCAUGAGACCAAUUCUCUCUUCCUCCAAACACCCAUAAGAACGACCACACCAUUUCGCCAUCCAAAGUCAAUAAUGUGACCAAAAUCCAAACCCACAAUAUCUUUUUCACCACCAUCUUAUAUUGUUCUAUAAACCACUACGUAGAAUUUUGUUGUUUGUUAUGUGAGUUUGGGCAACCCACAUUUGGUCCCAUUUAAAACACACUUUGGCCAUUUCCAUGAUUUUAUCUGCGUAUCCUGUGCAGGUUCCAUGAUUUUAUCGGGGAGUCAAUUUAAGUUAUUUUCCUGCCACUUUCUCAGCAGUUAUUCUCGUAGAGUCCUAUUUUGUGUUAAACGUUGGGUGCGUAUAAAGUAGUCAAAAGUAGGAUAUCCCGCUUUCUCCAUUGCUGUUCUGCAACAAUAUUUUGGUAGCCUUAUAGCACUCACUACUGGAGAAAUUGAGCUAAAGCAUAAAAUGUCAUGUACGCGGAUGCUUGACUUGCGGUGUGCCAUCUUGACUCUUAAACACCACCGAGCAGUAAUUUCAUGGUGAUUUCCUUAUUAAUACUGGUGGUCUUCCAGAAUCUUUAUCCAAACAACCCUUGCUAGACCGGGAUCGGGGUUGAUCAGGGAUAAGACUCGUGUCAUGACUUUUGAUGAGAUCACUAGGGCUCUGUUUGUUUGCAGGAAAGUGAAUUCCUUUUGGAAAGUGAAUUCCGGGGAAAGUGAAUUCCUGGAAAGUGAAUUCCGGGAAAGUAUUUUCCGAUGUUUGGUAGUGUUAUGGAAAAUGAACUGGAAAACACUUUCCAGUGUUUGGUUGUAUUAUGGAAAAUGAACUGGAAAAUAAUUUAUUAAUGAAUUAAUUUUUUUUUUAAAUUUAUCUAAUAUAUAUAUAAAAUAUCUAAUAUAAAAUAUUUAAUCACUUACAAUAAAAAAAAAUGAAAUCUAAAAUGUAUAAUGAUGAAUUUUUUUUAUUAUAUUCUAUAUUCAUACAUAGCUUAUUUUAUAAAAUAUAACUAUAUAUAUCAUAUCAUAUUAUAGAGAAAUAAGCUUGUGAAAUGUUUUUUACUAUUCCAUGAAACUAUUUAUAAUUCCAUUACGUACGAAAUAUAUCUGACAAAAAUUAUAGUUUUAAUAAUAUUUUUAGCAUGUAACAAAAUUGGAUAAAAUAUUAAGGUUUAAAAUUUACUCUAAACUAUUUUUUUUUAAUGUUAAAAAAAAUAGCACACUUAAAAAAAAAAAAAAAAGAAUCCUACAGGCAAGUGAACAGUGCAAGAGAACUGCACUGUUCACUAUUUUUCCAGUAAACAGUGUACGCAAUACACUGUUCAUGUUAAUUGCACUAUUCAUUGAACAGUGCAAUUAACAUGAACAGUUAAGAAAAAAUGGCUGCUUUUCACCGCUGGCCACUGUCGGAAAGUGUUUUCCUUUCUUUAACAAAAGAAAACACUUUCCUUUGGCAACACUGAUUUAUUUUCCAUUGACUGAAUUCAUUUUCCAUUGACUUUUUUUCUUGUUGUUGCCAAACACUGGAAAAGCAGGAAAGUGAAUUCCAGGAAUUCACUUUCCUGCAAUCAAACACGGCCUAGAUUAACUUUCAUUUUUUGCUAAUUUGGUUGAAGAAAGAAAUAUUUAGCCUGAUUUACUUCCAUAUUCAUUUUCUUUUUAAUACAUACAUGCUUGUAACAAGACAGGAUAAAAGCCAUGUAAACAAGGUAAUUAAAAAAUGUCUUCCGGCAAGUUUGUUUGUUUUUCCCCUUUAUUAUGAUAUAUAUACACGAAAGAAGAAAAUGCAUUGAUUAAAAUGCAUAGACCACCGUGUGGGCCAAUAAAAUGAAAACAAAAGACAAUAUCAAUGGUUUGCAAAAAAAGAAAAAAGAAAGUUUUCUGUUAAAUUUAUCUUUAUGUUAAUUACUUGAUUAACUAAACUUAAUCAUGUAAUAUUGAAUUAUUUGAUGAAAAACUUAUUUAAAACAGUAUUAAUUGACAUAUUUUAAAGUAAAAUAAAAAACAAACCCCGCUUACUUGCUUAUUUUUAAUGUGAAAAAUUAUUUUUUAACAUAAAUUCUUUAACAUAUUAACAUAAAAAAGUUCAAUAUAAUUAAAAUAAAUUGUGAUUAACAUGCUUUCUGAACCAAGCUUUUAUAUCUAAGAGACUAAUUCUCUCUUCCUCCAAACCACAAUGGCAAAUUGUGCCAUGAGCAGCCCUUUUGUCUUCUGGGCUGGAACAUCAGCCCAGCCCACGCGGAUGGGCUGAGUCCAGCCUUGUAGCUGGACCAAUACAGGCCCAGCCCACAUGAUUGGGUCGGGUCUGGCCCAGUUCAAUUUAAUGUUGGAACAUCAGCCCAGCCCAUGUGGGUGGGCUGAGUCCAGCCUUGUAGCUGGGUUAAUACAGGCCCAGCCCCCACAAUCAGCCCAGUUCAUUUCUUUUUUAAAAAAAAAAAAAAAAUUAUUUUCAAAGAAAUUGCAAUUUCCCCGUGUAUUUAUUUUACGUCAUUUUGAUUAAUAUUGGUCUGUAUUUUUAUAUCAUAAAGAUAUAAAUUCGGUAUUAAAAUAACCGGUUUUCAAAAAAAAAUAUUUUUGUUUUCAUACAUACGGCCUAGUUUCUCAAGGCUAAAAAUAAAUAAAAUCAUAUUGUAUCUUCAUACAACAAAGAAAACUUCAAUAUAUAUAUAUAUAUAUAUAUAUAUAUAUAUAUAUAUAUAUAUAUAUAUGUGAACAUGUGUUUUGGCUUUAAUAACCAGUUUAUUAAAGUUACGAGAACUCGGCCAAUAUUUCAAAAAAAUCAAAAAAUAUAUUUUGUUUUGUUUUAUUGUCUGGGAUUAUGAAUUUAUAUAUAAAACGUAUUCCUAAUAUUAAAAUGGUAGUUCUUUUAUAGACAUUAGAACAGUUAUGUUUUACCCCCAUAAGAUAAAAACCUCUUUACUGAGAAUGACUUUUCUUGAACCAUAGACGGACCAACAUGAUAAGACCUUAUAUUUUUUAUCAGACAGUGAAACAAUGCAACUUACCUCAGAUAGAGCGUAUUUGGGGUGUUAAUACCUUCUCUUUACGCAACCAGUCUCCGUAUCCAAUCUUUGAGACCAGUUAGGGUUUCUAGUGACUAGAAUACUAGGUGGCGACUCUCCUUCUAUUUUUUCACUGCUAAGACACAAAAAAUUCCUUGUCUCCCCAUUUUUGCUGGAAUAGAUACAAUUGCACCUAAUGAGGAGAAGUGGUGGGCGAUCAUCGCGACGCCGUACACAUGCAACACAUGUAAAACGGUUUCUAUAUAUAUAAAAGGAAGAAAGAAGAAAAUGCAUUAAAUAAAACAUGGAUAUCUUUGAAUGAAGAAAUUUAGGACACCGCUGACGUAUAUAGACAAAGUAUGCCAAGAACGAGGGGGGGCAAAAACAUUAUCAAUGGCUUGAAAGAACAAGACAAAAUAAAAUCAUUAGUUUUGAGCUUCAGAAGACAAUUUUAGCCAUUUAAUUUUGUCUUCAACUCGUUACAAAAAGCCUUGUCAUUUGAGAUUUCAUGCUUGUAAUGUUUCUGUUUUCAAUUAGUAUUACGCUUCCAUCUGUCAGAAUACUGUUGAACUUGACAAGAACUUUGAGCAAAUUCCAAUUUGAUUUUUGUAGCGAAUUAUAUCACUUAAUUGUUUGCUUAGGCUUAUUUUUAAUGUUCAAUGAAGUUUCACCAAUCAGUCAUCAAAUUCUGUAAAUGUUGCAGAUGAUUGCUAGGAAUAAAUCACAGUCAUUAAAUUUCUUCAUUUUGGUCCUUAAAUUUGUUUGCUAUGCUGUAGUUCUUUAUUUUUCGUGGAUAAAUUAUUUGGUACAGAGUUCUAAUUAAUAGCCAAAAAAGAAAAUAGCUCUGAAGAUAUCAGAACAACUGAAAAGAGAAGCAAAUAAUUGAUAAGGUGGGAGAAAAGAAUAGCAAAAUGCAUAGGCAAAUUUCUACAGUAUCAACUGACAAUGUGGAAGAAGAGAAUAUCAACCUGAUAGAUCAUAUAUGCGAGGCUUAUGUGGUUUACGAACACCUGAUUUGCAGAAGCUGGGGAUAAUGUUGAAACUCAAAUACACUCCUAUACAAUGAAAGGUUUUCUUGAAAACUAUCAUAAUUAAAGCAUAAAUUCAAUGAAAACUAAAUUUGCUGGAGGGGUUUCACAGAUUUUGACCAGAUUGAAUUUCACGAGGCGUCUAGCGUGAAUGAAUUAGGGUUUUCUUCUAGCCUUGAAAUUAUAGAGGAAUAGAGAAAAACAAAAACUCAUAUUUUUCUGAAAAGUCUAUAAUUCAAUAAUCUAAUCUUAAAACAAUACUUCAAUUGUUGAAAUAAAAGUUUUAAACCGAUCUAAUUAAAAGAAUUUAAGAUUAAGUGUGAAAAAUAUAAAAAAUACAAAAUUAUUUAGGAAAAUAAUUAAAAUAGCAAAAAUAGAAUCUUUUGACCUAACUUUGAAAAGAUCCUGUGGUGAUGGAGUCUAUAAAAUUAUCUAAUAAAAUUUAAGUAUAAUAUAAUAAUUAAAAUUAUAAUUAUAAUUAAAGCAUAAAAUGUCGUGUACGCCGAUGCUUGACUUGCGGUUUUCCAUUUUGAUUUUUAAAUACCAGAAAACGGUAAUUUCCUUAUAGAAACUGGUGGUCUCCUCGCGACCUUUUUUCUCAAAUAACUGUUGUUAGAGCAUGAUUGAAGUUAGGAUUUAACCCGUGUCAGAAACUUAAUGACUCUCCUCACUAACAGUAAUUUAUUAAAUAUUUUUAAUAUACUUAGUUCAUGUGAGGUUGUGUUUUCAAAAUCUUCCGAGAAAAAAGGACUAAAUGAUGACACACACGACAUUAAUGCAAAAAUAAAAGAUAGCACUACUGGCCAAAUUAAAUUUCACGAGAUGUAUAAAUUCAAACUAGGAUUUUCCAGCCUUUAAUACUCUAUGGAGAAAAAAACUCUAAUAUUUUUAUAAAAAGCUUAUAAUUUAAUAAUCCAAUCUUAAAACAAUAUUUCAAUUGUUGAUAUAAAAAAUUAAAACUGAUCUAAGAAAACUAAGUGGAAAAAAUAAUAAAAUAUAUUAUUUUCAGAAUAUAUUAACAAUUUAUUUCUUGAACAUGAAUACCAAGAAUAGACAGAGAGACACAGAGGAAUCAUUCACAUUUGCACUUGAAAGAAGCCAACUGUAUGCAAAGAGGGCCAAGAAGAACAAAUGAAUUAGUUUGCUGAAACAGACAAUACAAACAAAAGGAGAAGAAUGAGAAAUCAGAUGGGCAGUGUGAUGGUAUUUUCAGAACUAUGGUUGUGCCUUUUGGAAGAGAAUGUGCUUCUUCUCUGACCAUUGUGUACAAUUAUGGUCGUUGUUUCAUCAAAAUCAGAGGGCUGAUUCUGCCUUCUCCUUUACAGCUUCCAAAAGAAAAGGUGAGAAUGGGCUAUUCUUGCUUUUGAUAUUUGAAAUCAUAACAUGCUCCACUGAUUGACUUUUGGUGUAACAUUUUGAUCCUUAAACUUCACUUGGCCGUAAUUUCCUGAUGAUUUCUUUAUGGGAAACAGGUUGUCUUCUCGCAAUCCUUUUCCAAACAACCCCUGUUAGAGCAUCAUUAAAGUUUUGAUUUGUACCAUCAUCAAAAAAUGACUGUCAUCAUCAUCACAACGUACUUCCAUUUCAAUUAAUUCUUUAUAUUAUAACGCAGCAGAACAUAAAAUAAUGGGUGAAGAUAUUUUAGCUGAUAAUGGGUGAAGGGAUAUUUUUUUUCUAAUUGAAAACGACUUGUCAGCUUUAGAAAAUGCAUGCAGGGCCCAGUUUAAUUUCAAUUUCUCAUACUCUCGUUAAUGCAAGUUUGGACAGCUUGGGGAUGUGUCGUCCAUCCGGUUUCCUUUUUUGAUCGGGAGUCAAUGGGAUUAGUAAUUGACACUUCAUCAUCAAAUCAAAAUUAAAAAUGUUAAUGAACUCACAAUUAAUUGCCAUUAAGCUCCAUUGAGUGUAAACAAUGAAUUUAUAAAAUAGUCAAAAGUGGGAUGUCGUGAUUUCAACAAUGCCGUUUCAGAAAAUUGAUAGUCAUGAUGAAAAGAAGAAGACAGAAUUGUUGAGUUGAAACGUGAACGUCGUGUUCUCCUGAUCAAUUGUAUAGUGAAGAUGGUGGAACUGAUGCGGGUGCAUAGCACCAACCAUUACUUCCCUAAUGAUUUCCUUGCGGAAGAAAUUAUUACAUUUUUAAAGUUAAAAGUGCUAAAGCACAAUUCAAAGAAAAUAAGCAGUACUAAACUUAACAAGCUAGUUCAAUGGAGGAGAAUGGUGUGCUGAAACACUAUGAUUUUCAAAAAAAUUGAAGCAUAUCAGAUCCAUGCUGCUGCAUUCGCAAGAAACGAGCACCCAUCAACAAUGUGCUAAAUGUCAAUGCAGAGCUUUAAAUCAUCUACAGAGGCUCAUGAAGAAAAUAGGCAUAAAUGAUAACAGAUAACACACCAGAGCACUCUACGUAAACUGAUAUCUUUAGAAAAUUCAAAGGCAUGAAUGAAAAAGAAAAGCUAGAAAUAUCUAAGUCAGCUCUUAAUUUGUAACAGUCCACAACUUCAUGUUUGGUGUGUACUGUAAACUAUGCUCUCCACAUAAUCAUGAGCUUCAUCUGCAAAAAACCAUUUUCACUUCUUGGGACAAGGGAUCAAAAAAAUACAAACCUGUUGUUGGAUUACAUUCAUAAUUUAUAUCAAGCACUAGAUGCUGCUCGAAGGAAGUCCUUCAAGGAAAAAAAUCAGGAACAAAAAUGCUGAGAGGUCCAUCUUGGAGGUCAGAAAGCUGGAGUUCUACUAGAAGAAGAUACCUCUGGAGAGAGAAAUAAAGGAAGCCUGAACUGCUUAGAGUUUUCUUACCGAAGCUUCAAGUUAAGAUCAUUUUCAUUUCAAUUUGGAUGUAGAAAUAAUGAUGGGAUGUGAAAAUUAUAUUUUCAUUUCAGAGAGCUGGUUGAUUAUAUUUUGAAAAAGGGUAUAUAUGAAAGUUAAAUCCUCUGUUCAAAUGAACAAAGGGAUCAACUUGAGCAAGAGUCAACAAGCUAUCCUUCGAGGUCAAUGGAACAUACCACUCAUAUUAAUCUUCUACUAUUUAGGGGAAUUCAUACAUCCACUCAUCUUAAGCUGGAAAACUUAUGGAAAGCAUUCGCAAUUGUUUCCAAUGUAUCGACUGUAAUCAAUCAAUAGAUCAUCAACUAUUGUCCUCAUUGAAAGUUUCCUGCUCCCUAUAUAGAGAAUGUCUGAUUAAUUUCAUUAAAUAUGCAUGAUUCCACUGUAUGUUAGCUAACCAAAAGAGCCUACAGGCCAAAUAAACAACAGGAAUAAGAGAAACUACUUCCAACGCCAUCAUUUCUCCUUUCUAGUAUCAUCUUUUGUUUAAUGUUUAAUGCUCGUAGCCUCUGAGCACUCCAAACUAAUUUUUAAAAUAAAAUAUCAAGAGAUGGCAGAAAAUGAAUGUGCUCAUCAACUAUUUUCCUCAUUGAAAGUAUACUGUGGUAUUUUAAAUUGCUCCAGUUUUUAAAAAAUAGAAGGCCACAGGCCAAAGAAACAACAGGGAUAAGAGAAACCGUUUUUUAUUUGAGAAAAUACGAUACUGCAAACUAUUUCUUAUGAAUAAAUCCCGUAUUACAAGAAGCCAAGAAUUGGUUGGUUGCUCAGCACAACAUAACUCAACAUAACUGAUACAAACAAUUACUGAUACAAGCACAAGGACAAACACAAGUCACAUCAAAAUAGAAAGGCUAAGCAACAAGAACACUUCUCACAGGCAAAUUGCUAAACAUGCAGUGAGCAACCAUUGAUUUGGAAUGCGACUGCUUCUCCACAGAGGAUUGCAACAAAUUCAGAAAGCAGCCCACACGCUCCUGAUAAGAUCCAAUCACCUUCUGAAUCUGGACAACUUGGGAAAGUUAAUUGCCAAAAAGCAGCAGCAAGUGUCAAUGCAUUCUUCAAUGAAGUAAAACCACCUGCGACGCCAAUGCGGAUUUAUGCACAGUACUGCUGCAAUUGUCAACACCACAGUUAUGUAAAACACACCAAAGCUGGCAUAGAAACUGUCCAUGUCUAUGAAGCCACCAUCUCCAUUGAAAUCAUUAGGCACUCUCGCGGAUGGUGAUUCUGUUUUGUCGCAACUAUUUUGCAAUGGAGGUCCACAAAGAAGAGGAUUCCCUUUAUAACUGCUUUCAUCAAAGGUACCAAAUUGAUUUUUCAUCUCCGGUGUUCUUCCUGACAAAUUAUUGUACGACACGUUAAAAACUGCUAGAAAGGUCAGUUCAACGAGUUGUGCAGGAAUUCUCCCAUUCAAAUUGUUGUGAGAAAGAUCCAAGCUCUCUAGCUGCUUCAGAUUGAAGAAGGAUGAAGGGAUCAAUCCAGUGAGAUUAUUUUGUGACAGAUUUAGAGAAUGUAUCCCACUUAAGUUUCCCCAUUCUAUCGGGAUUUCUCCAGUGAAUCUGUUACAAGAAAGAUCCAAAGCAGACAUGUAACGAAGGAUUUCGCCUUCAUAAGUGUAGAAGUUUUUCUUUGUUGUAAGCUCUACAGUUAUUUUUACACUGAUCUCUGGCCACAAAAUUUUAUCAUGAAGAUAACCUUCGUUCUCCAAUUCUCUCCCCCAUGUGGAUGCAAAUAUUUCUUCAUCUAGUGAGUACUUCACACUAGUGUCAAGCACAGUUAUUUCUUCAUCUUGUGACUCCAUACUAGUGUCAACCAAAGUUUCUUCAUCUAAUGCCAUAAAAUUUAAAUUGCUCAAACAUGAGGGUAACGGACCAGAAAAGUUAUUUUCUGAAAGAUCCAAUAUGUUUAAUUUCCUUAACAAGCAUAACUGAUGAGGUAGUUUCCCAUUGAAUUGAUUAGAUUUGAGAACAAAAAUGCUCAAUUCCGAAAGGCUAUAAAUCCAAUUUGGAAUGGGCCCAGUUAAGUUGUUAUCGCCGAGAUCUAAUGUCACCAACGAAGAGAGAUUACAAAAAGCAUAUGGCAGUGGACCGCUCAAUUGAUUUCUAUAAAGGUGGACAUAGUGUAAAUCUGAUGCAAGGAAGCCCAACGACAAAGACAAAGACCCAGACAGAUUGUUUUCAGAAAGAUCUAAAAAUUCAAGCCCAGAAGAAUUGAAAUAUUCUAUUGGAAUGGUACCUUCAAAAUGAUUUCUGGACAAAUCAAUUCCAUCAAGUUCGUUUAGUGAAGAGUUCCCAAUUCCCCUUGGAAGCAUGCCUGACAAAAGAUUGUUACUGAUAACAAACCACGAAAAUGAUGAUGCAAGAGAAAAGGUAUCAGAUACUUGUCCUGCAAAUUUGUUUCCAUCUAGAAAGAGGUAAAGUAGAUCAGUCAUGUUGAACACAGAUGGUGGUAAUCGCCCAUUGAAGUUGUUGUUGGACAACUUCAAAAACCACAACGAGGAGCCUACUGUUGGCAAAUUAUGCUCAAGCAGUUCACAAGACAUAUGAUUGUUGGAAAGAUCCAAGUAUCCGAGAGAGCUCAUAUUCCCAAAACAAGGAGGAAUGCAACCUGUGAGGCUAUUGUUAGCCAUCAAGAAGUUCUUUAACCGUGGAAAAAUUGAACAUAUGUUCCUUGCAAUUUGACCAUGUAUGGUGUUGCCAGACAUAUCUAUUGUAUGAAGAUUGGGUGUUGGAUGUUGUGGCAGCUGCAAAGGACCUAUAAAUGAGGUGUCUCUCAAAUAUAGUCGAUUUAACUUUGUAUUAUUCUCAAACAGCCAAGACGGGAAAGGUUCUCCAAUGAAUUUGUUGUGGGAUAGAUCAACAAACACCAAAUCAUGUUGGCUAUGCAGGAAGUUUGGAAAUCUAGCUUUGAGUGGUUUUGAAGUACAGUUUGCAGCACUGAAGUAAAGAAGCUGUAACUUGGGAGCUGAAGGCUGAAAACUGGGUGCAGCUAUUAGCUCAUUGUUAUCGCAUACAAUGAACUUGAGGUUGGAGAGGUUCAUAAAUGAACCAAAUGAUAUUGGAACUUGAAAGUAGUUAUUUGAAACUUUGAGGUAUCUGAGCUGCGUAAGAUGGGAAAGGUGACUAGAGGCAAUAUUCCCCUUCAAUUGGUUGUCAGAUAAAUCCAAGAUUUGUAGAGAUGAUAGAUUUCCCAAACAAUGAGGGAGUGAGCCCUUUAGAUUGUUUCCUGAGAUAAGUAGUUGUUCAAGAUUCUUCAGAUUCUUCAGUUCACACCAGCCUGUAGAAUAUAUUAAUAUAUUCAUGUUAAGGGAAUAAUAAUAUAUCAAUUAUGCAAGUGCUUAGUGAGGUUUUAAAGUUUUAGUUGAUUUUUGUUUCAAUAGCUAGGUCAGUUCUAGAUUAUAUUUAAACAACUUUGUUUGUUAGUUUUUUUAGAGAUUAAUUAUCUAGAUUAUUGAUAUUCAAAAUUUUUUUAAUUCAAAUUUUUUUCUAUAAUUUAAGACUGGGAAGUUUUAGAGAUUAAGAAACUCUAGAUUUUUGGUCAAGAAGGAUAGAGUGGAAGUAUCCAUUUUGUGUAUUGUAAUAUAAUCAUCUGUUAAAUAGAAGGAAAACAGAGAAAUAAAUGAGAGGAGAAUGAUUUUGUUAUUUCUUGUGUGCGUAAUCCUCCUACCAUUAUAUAUAUACUUCCCCACAUGCAUUACACGAUUUAUUAUAUUGUUAACUAACUCUACCCGACUCUUAACAACUUCUAACACGUGUCCAUGCAUCUGCUAGUUACCCUAAAUUUAAGACUGAGAAAUUUUAGAUUGAGAAACUCUAGAUUUUAUCCUUUUCUAUAUGUAACAUUAGGAGUAAACUUCUAACAUAUCACCUCCAUUCCUUUAAUAAAAUUUUAAAAAUUGAACAAAAGUUAAUGGUUAAUACACAUCUAUUUAUUAGACAAGUUCACUAAAAAAUAAAUUAAGCCUCACUAAGGAAUGCCAUUCAAGAUAGGAAUGAUUUACAACUUUAUCAUUAAUACUAGUUGAUCCUGUCAACAUGUUUUUGAUAAAUAUAGAGAUUUGAGAGUUGAAAACCCACUUAAAGAUGAUAAAACACUGUCAUUAAAUUUACUGUAACUCAGAUCAAGUUCUUUCAAAUUCCUCAACCCUCAAGCUAAUACUUGAAAACAUGAAAGAAAAUUAUGGGAAACAAAGAAAUUAACAGAUAUAUACAGAUUUAUAUAUCAAUCAUCCCAAUAUCCAUAAAGAUUCAAUGUAAAGUUACUUGAAAUAUAAUUAACUUUAUGUGUUAACUAAAAGAAAAUUGAAAGCAUAGAACCUUGGUUCUUGAAGCCACCAACUAAUUGGUUGAAGCUUAAGUCGAGAAUCUCCAGUUCUUUGAAAGGCAGAAACAAAGACGCAUUGAGAUACAAGUACUCUUCGACUGCAUUGAGACCCAAGUCCUCAUAAUUUACACCUGAAAGAUGUAGUUCGAUCACUCGGUUUGUGGUGUUGUCACACACAACCCUAUGCGGAUCCCAGUCACAGCAAUUAAAAUACUCUUUAUCCCAACCUUCUAGCUGAUCAUAGGACCCAGCUGCACGUGCAUGAUUGAACCAAGCUUUUAUCUCUAAGAGACUAACUCUCUCUUCCUCCACACAACAAUGGCUCCGGUCGUUGACGAAGGACAGUGCCAUGAGGAGCAUCCACACCCACAUUUCCCUCAUCUUCAUAACGCUCCACUUGACCACAUACAAAAGCAAGCAAGCAAGCUGUCUCUUAUAUACAAUUUAAUUUGUCCUCUUCAUGCGUUUGAUCAUAGGAUUUUCCCGUGAUAAACUUUUAGACUUUGGUGGUCUCCUCACGAUCUUUUUUCAGAGAAAUCUGCUUCUCAUUUGUAGUUUGCCAUCUUCCUACUGUCGCACUAGCUUUAAUGAUAUGUCCACUUGAUUAUUAUAAAAGAAAAAUAAAAAUACUCCACGUCCACUAUUGUCAGCUUUCGAGAACGCAUGCAGGACCCAGUUUAAUCUCAAUAUGGAUUUUUAUAAGCAAAUCUUAGAGAAACAGUUUCCUGCAUAAUUACUAGAAUUUUUUGGUUUGAUUUAAUUUGAUAUUAAUGAUUUUUCACCUUUUGUCUGAGAUCAAGUACCUAAUGAAACCUUGAAUGGAGCACCCAUUUGUACGCAUAUGCUUGACUUGAGGUCUGCCAUUUUGAUUUUAAAAUACCAUCAAGCAGUAAUUUCUUGGCGGUUUCCUUAUAGAAACUGGUGGUCUCCUCACGACCUUUUAAUUUAAAAAAAAACUCUUGUCGGAGCAUGAUUUAAAAGCUAGGAUUCAACCAGUAUCAGGGAAUGACUGUCAUCUUUUAAAGAAAUUUGAUCACCCACUUUCACUUGUUUUUCGUUGUGGACCUCCGUUGCGAAGUUGCAGUGAAACAAACUCGCAAUUGCAGCAGGUGCCUAAUAAUGAACAAGAAGAUAAUGGUUUCAUAGAUAAUAUUGGGGGAGCAAAUGAGCAAUUAUAAUAUUGGGGGGGAGCAAUUAUAUUGGGGGAGGGCCGGACCAAUUAUAUUGGGGGCCUUUAAAUUGAAAUCGUAAAAUCGGUCCUAAUAUCGUGAUUUUGCGCGAUAUCAUCCGUUUUUUGCGAUUUUACCUGAUUUCAACCUGAUUUUAUCCAUUUUCGAUUUUUUUAACCGAUUCAACUCGUAAUGCAUGUUUUGACUCGUAAAAUCGUACGAUUUUACGAGUCACGCGAUUUUGACAACCUUGGUGACGAUGGUGGAACUGAUGCGGUUGCAUAGCAGCACCAACCAGUACUUUAAUUUCCUAAUGAUUUCCUUGCGGAAGAAAUUAUGGCAUGUUGGAAAACGAUGCCACCCUAACAAUCCAAGAGCUCAAAUUCAACUUGAAUAAAAGCAUGAUAAAUGGAUAAUUUAGAGGAGAAAGGAUCCAAGAACAUCAUGAAACAGGGGAUUGUUAUAUUUUGUUACCCUAACAAUCCAAGAGCUCAAAUUCAACUUGAAUAAAAGCAUGAUAAUUUAGUGGAGAAAGGACCAAGAACAUCAUGAAACAGGGGAUUGUUCUAUUUUGUUAUGUAACAAUCUCAACAGCUAAUUAAGAGGUUAGAUUGUAGGGUCUAAUUUCAAAUGCAAGACUCUAUUGAUUCUCAUCAUUAUAGUAAUAAAACCAUGUGCAUUUUUAUUAAAUUAAGAGGAAACACAAAAUUAAACAAGAAAAUCUUCAGAGUUCAGAAAUAAAUCUAACAUUGCCGAACAGACUGUGAGCAAACCCAGAUUUGGUGGAAGAUAGAAAUAUGAAGAGAGAGCAGAAAUCUUAGAUAAUUCUAUGAAGAGAGAGCAGAAAUCUUAGAUAACAGUUUGUAGAAUAUUGUUGUUUGUUAUGUGAGUUUGGGCAACCAUAGGUCCUAUUUAUAACACGCUUUGUCCAUUUCCAUGACUUUUAUCUGCGUACCUGGUGCCGAUUCUAUGUUUUGAGAUGUUUUCUUUAUUUCAUUUCUUUUUUUAAUAGUUUUGGAUUCGAAUAUUAUUUCAUUUAUUUGUUUAGCCUUAGGUGUAUUUGGGAAUGUGUUUUUCGUUGUUUUUCAAAGUAGUUUUCACUUGGAAAUGUAUCAACAUGAUAUUGUUUGGCCUUAGGGUAUGUUUAGUAGUGUGGUUAGAUGUCUUAAUACGAACCUUGAAAACAUGGUCAAAACAAUAUUUUAUAAAAAUUUGAUUUUUUAUUAAAAUUAUUUUUUAUAUAUUUUUAGUUAGUUAUAAUGUAUUAAUAUCAAAAAUAAAUUUUAGAAAAUAAAAAAUAUAUUAUUUUGAUAUAUAUUCGAGCAAAAAUAUAUUUUAAAAAACAACCCUUAUUACAAUAAUGGUGAUUUCCUUAUGCAUACUAGCGGUCUUCAUUAAUAUUUCAAAAAAUCAUCAUUAAACCUGGUUUGGGGUUGACUAGGAAUAAGGCUGGGGUCAUGAUUUUUUUUAUUAGGUCACUAGAUUAACUUAGAUCAACUCCAAUAUAUAUAUAUAUAUAUAUAUUCAAGUCAAGCUAAGCAUUAACCGAGUCACUUAGAUUUUUCCCUUUUUCAAUUUUUUUAAACUUGUCCCGGUUUUGAUCCUCAAUCAAAUGGGUUUCAUCUUGAUUUAUCUAUAUGUUAAAUUACUUGAUUAACUAAAUUAAUUCUGUAAUAUUGAAUUAUUUGAUGAAAACAUUAUCUAAAACAUGAUUAAUCUUACUUUUAAUAUUAAAAAUUAUGUUUCAACAUAAACUCUUUAAUGUAAAAAUUUAACAUAAUUAAAAUAAAUAGUGAUUACCGUUUCAGCAAUUGAUUUGAUCUUGGCCUUACAAUUAUUUUCAUUAGUCUGUUAAUGUUUUUCUUCAAGCUUAUGGAAAGGGAGGUUUCUCCAACUUGUUGUGUAAGCUCCUUUGCUUUUUGUUUUUCAUAGACUUGGGAAGUCAUUUGUCUCUUAUAACACAAUAAUUGAUGUGUGAAACAACAUCGUUUUAUAUGGAAAAAAAAUAAAGAGUUAACCGAGUAUUUAUUCAAGUCAUGCCAAUCAUUAACCGAGUCAUUUGGAUUUUUUUUCCUUUUUUAUUUUGUAAACUCGACCUUGUUUUGGGCUCCGUUUGUUUGCAGGAAAGUGGUUUCCUUUUGGAAAGUGAAUUCCGGGGAAAGUGAAUUUCUGAAAAGUGAAUUCCGGGAAAGUAUUUUCCGAUGUUUGGUAGUGUUAUGGAAAAUGAACUGGAAAAUAAUUUAUUAAUGAAUUAAAUUUUUUUUCAAGUUUAUCUAAUAUAUAUAAAAUAUUUAAUCACUUACAAUUGUCAUAACCCAAUUUUUGACCCUUUUUUAUUUUUAUUAUUUUAAAAAAAAAGAUGAUGAAAAAUAAAAAUAAAAUAAAUGAAGAAUGAAUUAAAAUUUGGGUUAAGGGCAACAUGAUUGGAAGUUUAAAGAUUUAAUUAAACUCUUGACUAGUUUAAUUAAUUAAAUCAAGGUUUUAAUUGGAGAAUUGAUUUAAUUAAAAUUUAGAUUAUUUUAAUUAAUGAAAUCAAGAGUUUAAUUGAAGAAUUAAUGAGUUUGAGGACUUAAUUAUACUUUGAUUUAAUCAAAAAUCCAGGACUGUUGUGUAAAUGGCGCUAUAACUCAAGGAUUCAAUUGAAUUUAAUCCAAGGGCACAAUUAGAAAUCAAUUAUUUCUGAUUAGGGUCCCAAUUGUUAAGUUUACACUGUCUAGGGACUAAAUUGAAAAACAGCCAUGCCCAAGGACACAACGGCGCCGUUUUGGAAGCAUUGUUCAUCGUCUCCUACGCUUGCGCGGAUGAAGCCUUGUUCAACAGGGAAAUCUGCUGCAACAAAUCCGGUCAUGGACCAUAUCUCUUGCCCACGAUCUCGUUCGUGGAUUCCAUAACAGUCCUGCAAAUGUAGGACUGGUUGAGGGGAAGCUUCUCUAUAAAAGGGGGGACGCAAGCACACCAGGAAAAAAAACCCAUCAUAAACAGAAGAAAAACUCGGGGAAGAGGCCAGCAACCAAAAACCAGGAACGAGUGACCGAAGACCAGAACGAAACAGAGGCAGAAGACGCAAGAGGAGGAAGAACAACAGGUGACGAACAGAGAGGAGAGGAAUUAAAGGGAGCCGAAAAUCAAAGAAAAAACCCAGAAUAACAGAGAAGCAAACGAAACAGAACCAGAAGAGUAGAGGAAAAGCAGAAACAUAAAGCCUGCCAAUCAUCGUCUUCACCACAGCACCUGAACCAGCAAAACAGAGGAAGAAGGGCAGGGGAAACAGGCCAAGAACCAUAAAAAAUGGAGGACGAACAGUGACAAUAAAAAAAAGAACCACCCGAGAGAACCGGCUUCGUCUUCAUCUUCAGGAGCAGCAGACCACAUGUAAUCUUCCCUUUGCAUUUUAAUUCACUGCUACAAUAGCAGUGAAUUAUAAUUCACUUGCUACUGUAGCAAGUAAAUAAUAAUUCAUUGGCCCAGCUGUAUUCUCAUUGAACAGCUGAGGGUAUGUAGAAAAAAGGAAAGUGUUUUUUUUUCUUUACAUAAGAAAAACAUUUCCCUUUAGCAACGUUAUUAUUUUUAGGUUGACUGGAAUUCAUUUUUCUUUGAUUAUUUUCCCUUUCUUGUCAUCAAACAUAGAAAAAGCAGGAAAGUAAAUUCCAAGAAUUCACUUUACUGCAAUCAAACACGGCCUUGAUCCUCAAUCAAACGGGUCUCAUCUCGAUUUUAUAAAAACUAUCCAAUGAUGUUGAUUCGAGGAUGUUCACAAGCUUUUCGCUGUUGGAAGUUUGCAAGCGAAUCUCGUUUUUACCAUCCAAAAAAACUUCUUUUGUACAUCUUCUCACAUGUCAAGGCACAUUUUGAUUAGGGAGACCGUAUAACUUUAUUUCGUUCAAUUUAUGCUGUUUGACAUAUAAAUAUUGUUCAAUGUAAAUCAACUUUUCAUUGUUUUCAAAAAAAUUUCACCUAGUUUAAAUCGAAACAAAUGCUUGCCAGUAGUUAAUAUUAAUUGAGAUAUGUGUUUGGGAGUGUGAAGUGAAGUGAUUAUAUUUUAUUUAAAAAUAAAAAUAAAAUUUUUUUGACACGCAACCGCCGCGAUUAAGUAAAAAAAAAAAAUAGCGCGAAAAGUGCCAAAGGCCCAAAUGUACGCCAAUUUGCAAUGGCAAGUCCCGUAAUUAUUUCAAAAUCAAAUGUGAAAAAUUGAAAGUCACAAGAAGGCAUGAAAAUAUCCUCUUAUUUGAACUUUUAUCUCGUUUAUAUCCUUUUACUCUUUUCUUCAUGUAUAGACAUGGAAAGUCAUGUUCUGAUUUGUUCCUGUGGAAUCAAAAAAUUUCUUCCUCAAUUUUUUUUAUGGAAUGAAGUGAUUUCCCGGUAGCUUCACCAUCCACUUGCAAUUUAUAUAUAUAUAUAUAUAUAUAUAUAUAUAUAUAACUGCCAAAGAAAAAAAUGCAUUGAUUAAAAUAUUGAUGUGUUUGAAUGAAGAAAGUCAGGGCAGAGAUGACCAACAAAAACCACCGUGUGGGCCAAUAAAAUGAAAAUAAAAGACAAUAUCAAUGGCUUGCAAUAAAACAGUGUUUGUUUUAUGUUAAAUUACUUGAUUAACUAAACUUAAUCUUGUAAUAUUGAAUUAUUUGAUGAAAACAUUAUCUAAAACAUGAUCAAUUGAUAUAUCUAAAGUCAAAUAAAAAGUUUAUACUAUACUUUGCCAUUUUCAUGAUUUUAUCUGCAUAUAUUGUUCAGUUUCCAUGAUUUUAUCUGGGAGGAGUCAAUUUAAGUUAUUUGCAUGCCACUUUCUCAGCAAUUGUUGUCCUAUUUUGUGCUAAAUGUCGGGUGUAUAUUAAAUUAGUCAAAAGUUGCAUAACCCGCUUUCUCCAUUACUGUUCUGUAACAAUAUUUUGAUAGCCCUUUAGCAUUAAUACUAUUUAAUUUGUCCUCUUCAUGCGUUUGAUCGGACAGUGACAAUUAUCUGUAUCAUUGAAUUUUCUAUGCUGAAUUAAUUAUCCAAGGGAGACUUGGGCUUCAUUGAAUGGGAGAAUCUUCACGGACAGUGCUAGCCAGGGGACCGCACCACGGCACAGAUCACUCGGUUUGUGGUGUUGGAUUAGGGUGUUUGGGAGUGUGGUAGCGGUUGCUUUUCAAAUAGCUUUUCGUGCCGAAAAGCAUGCCAAUAAUGUUUUUUUAUUUUUUAAAAAUCAUUUUUGACAUCAGCACAUCAAAACGAUCCAAAAAGUACAAACCGCACUCAAUUUUAACAAAAAUAAAUAAAUAAAAAAUUUUUGAAUUUUUUCAAAAAACCGGUUUGGCCGCAUUGCCAAACAAACCGGUUUGUGGUGUUGGAUUAAAGGAUAUUCCAACUUCUUGUUUACUGCUUUACUUUUCUUCAUAGACUUGGGAAGUCAAGAUUCCUAUAAUCCACAUCAUCAAAAUAAAUUUUAAUUAUUUGAGCGAUUCAUUUGAUAUUAACCCCACAAUUAUUUUAAUUAGUCUGUUAAUGUUUUUCUUCAAGCUUGUGGAGCCGCAUGUUCACCAACUAUUUUGUUUUUUUUUUCUUUGUAUAUUUAAAAAGUCAUUUAAUUUAAGUUUUUAUGGUAAUUUAUUUUUGUGUUUUAAAAGUAUUUUUAAAUAAAUUUAAUUUUUUUUAUUUUUUAUUAACUUCAAAUUAAUAUAGUUUUAGUAUUUUUAAAUUAUUUUGAUGUGCUGAUAUUAAAAAUAAUUUUUAAAAAAUAAAAAAAUAUUAUUAAUAUAUAUUUUAAUAUAAAAAAUUAUUUAAAAAACAACCACAAUUAGAUGUUGUAGUGCUUGUUUUUAUUCUUCGUAGACCUAUGAAGUCAAAAUUCCCAAUUAUCCACUGCAUCAAUCUCUAUCCCAUUAAAAUGAAUUUGGUGCAAGAAAAUGAAUUUUAAUAUUAUUAAUAUAUAUUUUUUAAAAAAUAUAGCGUAUAAAAAAGGAAAUCCUGUAUCAUAUCUUUCACAAAUCUUAAAUAAUUAAUGAGAAAGCAGAACAAGGAUAAAACAACAUUGUUUUUUAUAUAUAAAAAAUAAAUAAUUAAUAGAUUGCAAUUAGGUAUUUAUUCAAGUCAGGCCAACUAUUAACCGAGUCACUUGGAUUUCUCAUUAUGCAUAUUUAAGAUUGCUAAAAAAAAAAAAUUAGUUUAAUUUCACAUAUAAGCUAAUUCGAUAACACUUUUUAAUAUAAAACCAAAAAAAAUGAGUGCUAUCGUCAUCAACUUUAUUUGGUUUAAAUUUAUGACGUUUGACAUAUAAAUUCUAUUCAAUUUAAAUCAACUUUUCAAUAAAUAGUUAAUGUUAAUGAGCACAGUAGCGAGAACUAAGCAGUGUUAUGUGUAUUUGGGACUGUGAAUACUGUACACUUUGGCUCUCUUCAUAGAGUCAAUUGACUUUCACACGUAGGGCAUGUUUGUUUCCCGAAAAACAGUUUUCGGGAAACCAUUUUCCAAACUUUCCUGUGUUUGUUUGUUAUUAGGAAAGUUGGUCAACGGAAAAUACAUUUCGGUCAACGGAAAACACUUUAUAGUCAACGGAAAACACUUUCCAGUCAAAGAAAAAUUUGACUUGGUUUUCAGGAAAGUGUUUUCCCUUUAGCUGUGUUUGUUUUCCGGAAAGUGGUUUCCGGAAAAUCACUUUCCAAUCCGGUCAACGGAAAACACUUUCCAGUCAAAGAAAAAUUUGACUUGGUUUUCAGGAAAGUGUUUUCCCUUUAGUUGUGUUUGUUUUUCGGAAAGUGAUUUCCGGGAAAUCACUUUCCAAACUUUCUUUUGUUUGUUUGCUAGUAGGAAAGUUGUUCAAUGGAAAACACUUUCCAGUAAAAUGAAAGUUUGGCUUGGUUUUCAGGAAAGUUUUUUCCUGAAAAAUUUGAGGGGAAAACACUUUCCGGAAGUUGUGAAAAAUUUAGAAAUAUCAUUAUUUGUUGAUUAUAUCAAAUUUGAUCCUCAAACUUUUGAUUGCUAUAUAUAUAUAUAUAUAUAUAUAUAUUGAGUAUUUAUUUUUCAAUUUCAUCUCUUAAAAUUUUAUUUUUAUAUUAACUUUGGUCUUUAUUUUUAUAUUUGCUUUUUGCUUUUUCCUUAUCAUUUUUUUAUUGAAAUUUUGUAUCUAUCAAAUUUGGUCUUCAUUCUUUUGAUUGUUACUUAUUUUAUUUGAAACAAUUUAUAAAAUGUUGAUUAUUAUUAUUUUAAUUUCUUCAUCUUUUUUUUAAUUUUUUAGAUUUGAUCUCUAUUAUUUUGAUUAUUAUUUAUUUUAUUUGAGAUAAUUUAUGAAAUUAUUUUUUUUUUUCAAUUUCAUUCUCAUUCAACUUUUUAAUUUAUAAGAUUUGUUUCUCAUUAUUUUAAUACACUUGAGAAAAAUAAAAUAUUAAUAAGUUAUUUUCCAGCUCAUUUUCCAUGACAUAACCAAACACUGGAAAGUGUUUUCCAACUCAUUUUCCAUUACACUACCAAACAUCGGAAAAUACUUUCUCGGAAUUCACUUUCCUCAGAAUUCACUUUCCAAAAGGAAACUACUUUCCAGCAAACAAACGGAGCCGUAGUAAAAAUGAAAAACAAAUUACUCCGUGGAUUGGUGAUUAAACUACAAUACUAAAUAUACCCCCUGAUCUGUGGAUUUGUGAUUAAACUUGGAAAAAAACAACAAUACUCUAAAAAGCCAUAUGUGAAUUUGUGAUGAAGAAAAUUCAUUAUUUUUAUUUUUUUUUGACAUAUUAGGUUCCACUAGAUGCACCAAGUCAAUGUGAGUGGUUGUCUUUUUUCUUAUUUAUGAGAAUCCAAUAGAGGCAUCAAGUCUAGGGCUCCACAAUGUCUGCCACUAGUCAAUUUCCUCCAACUUGUUGUGUAAAUUACUUUGUUUUCUCUUCAUAUAUAGACAUGGAAAGUCACGUGAUCUAAUGGAAUACAAAAAUUUCUUCCUCAACUCUUUUCAUGGAAUGAAGUGAUUUCCCGGUAGCUUCAUCAUCCACUUGCACUUUUUUUUCUCCGUAGACUUGUGAAGUCGGUCAAGAUUCCCAAUAUAUUAUCAACAUCAUCAAUUUAAAAAAGAAAUAUAUGUUAGGCUGAUUUACUUUCAUAUUAAUUAUUGUUUGAAUAUUCUUCAUCUGAAUGAUAUUAGUCCAUUCAAAACAAAUUCAUUUUCUUUUUUAUAAAUAUAUUUAUAUAACUACCAAAGAAGAAAAUGCAUUGAUUAAAAUAUUAUUGAUGUGUUUGAAUGAAGAAAGUUAGGGCAGCGAUGACCAACAUAAACACCGUGUGAGCCAAUAAAAUUGAAAACAAAAGACAAUAUCAAUGGAUUGCAAAAAAAAAAAAGUUUUAUGUUAAAUUUAUCUAUAUGUUAAAUUACUUGAUUAACUAAACUUAAUCAUUUAAUAUUGAAUUACUUGAUGAAAACAUUACCUAAAAUAUAAUUAAUUGACAUAUUUAAAGUCAAAUAAAAAACAAACCCCGCUUAUUUUUAAUAUUAAAUAUUAUUUUUUAAUAUAAAUUCUUCAACAUGAAAAAUUAACAAAAUUUAAAUAAAUUGUGAUUACUGUUUGAGCGAUUGAUUUGAUCUUGGACCCAUAAUUAUUUUCGUUAGUCUGUUAAUGUUUUUCUUCAAGCUUGUGAAAUUGUUACCCAUGUAAAUGCUAUGUUUCUCUUUAGAUUUUUUCCUACCCUUGAAACUGUUAUGAACAUAAGUAAAAGAGAUGAAAACUCCUUUACCCACGUAUCGAGUGUCGCACGUGUACGACAGCGCGACGAAUCGUCCACCCUCAAAUGAAAAAAAAUCGGAAUAUUUAUUCCUGGAAAAUAGUCAGAGACAAGGAAUUCUUGUCUCUACAAGUAAAAAUAUGGACUGGGAGACUGGUUACUAGGAACUUUAACUGGUCUUUAGAGAUCGGGUACGGAGACUGGUUACGUAAAAGAAAGGUAUAAGCACCCCAAUUACACCCUACCUAAGGUAGGCUGCAUUGUUUUAAUGUCUGAUAACAUCUAAGGUCGUGUUUGUGGAUUUUAAUAUUAUUGUUCGGAAUACGCAUUACAUGUAAUGUCAUAUCCCAAGUUCUAUUAAAAAAAAAUUAAAUAUCCGGAAUAUGUAUUGUGUAUAAUGUAUAAUGUCAUACCCCGGAUAUUAAAAGAUAAACAAAAUAAAAUUUUUGUUGUUUUUUUGAAAUUUUGGCCAAUAUUCUCUUGACUUUAAUAAACUGGUUAUUAAAGCCAAAAUGCAUGCUAAAACAUUGUUUUUCUCUUUUUUUUAAUUUGUUUUUGUAUUCUUGAAAGUCGAAAACCGGGUAUUUCAGUACCAGAUUUGUAUUUUACGACAUAAAAAUAUUGCCCGAUAUUAAUCAAAAUGACAUAAAAACUACGCGGAAAAAUUAUAAAAUGCUGAAACAAAUAUUUUUGAUUUUUUUUUGAAUGGGCCGGGUGAACAGUAUCGUGUGAACAGUAAUGAAUACGGGGUAUUUUAAUACCAGAUUUAUAUUUUUACGAUGUAAAAUACAGACGAUAUUAAGCAAAAUGAUAGAAGAAAACGUGCUUUUUUAAAAAUAUGUAUAUAUAUAUAUAUAUAUAUAUAACUUAUAACAAAAAAAUAAAAAUAAAUAAAUAAAUAACUGGCCGGACCCGACCCAAAUGCAUGGGCCGGGCCGACCAAGCCUAUUUACAUGGGCUGGGCCAAAGGCCCAAACGGGCUGGUUACUGUGCAUCAGCACAGUAACCAGCCCUUCCUUAUUUGCAGAACGUGAAAUAAUUCACGUUCUGCAUGAAGGCACAGCGGAUAACAAAGGGAGGCAGAGGCGGGGCAACAGGAUGGCGUACCUGCGGUGGCGUCGAGGCGGUGCGGCUGGCGGCGGAGGCACGGUGGCCGGCGGAGGCACGGUAGCCGGCGGUUUUCCUUCUCUCUCUCUCCUCUGUUUUUGUUCUCUUCUCUGCCGAUUCUCUUUCUUCUUCUUUUUUCUUUUUCUUUCUGUUUCUCUCGUCUCUCUCUACCCUCUUUCUGUCGUGCAAUCCUUCUCCUUCUCCCCCUCUUUUUUUUUCUUCUCUGCUUCGGUCCCCUUCCACUGUUUUUAUAGGAAAAAAUAGGGGGGCCGAAUGGUGGGGCGGCUUGGCCGCCCCUCCACUAUCCGUUCAAAAGGAGGCAAGUGGGGGUCGAAUGGUAGGCGUCUUAUUGCGCCAAAUCCGGGAAAGAAGUUCGGCGAAAAGUGGAGAAGAAAAAAACUCUUCUCCCUUGUUCUCUGCGUGCGCAGGGAAGAAGACGAUGGUGUCGUUUCAAAACAGCACCGUUUUACGUUUUCUCUCUCUUUUUUUUUUAAAAUAAACAGUGCAUGAAACGACGUCGUUUUGGUCAAAACACGCCGUUUCAUUUAAAAGGAAAAGGCGGUAAAACACGUCAGAUUCAAAUUUAGUCCAUCAAUUUGCGCGCGUUUUACGAUUUCGUCCUUGGUCUCGGAUUUCUGAAAUUAAGUCCUUAAUUGACCAUUAAACUUCAUUCUUUAUGCAAUUAAGCCCCUGAUUUGACCAAAUUAACUUUCAAAAAUUAUAAGUUGACACCAGAACUUUAAUUUCUUCCAAUUCAAGCCCAAAAUAACUCCAAAAUCAAUUGUUUUUGCAAUUAAAACCUCUAUAAAUUCAAUUAAACCUUCAAUAAAAUUUAAUUGAGUCCAUAAACUUCUAAUUUUGCAUUUUUCUUCCUCAAAUUGAAUUUUCUUUAUCAUCGAGGCUCUCAUCAGUCAAUGAUAUACUGUCAGAAAUGAAAUUUUAUUUGUUUGAACAUCCUCAAUCAAUUUUUGAGCAUUUUUAGGGCACUCUGACAUUUUUUUUUUACUGUUAUAUUUUUUGAUAAUAUAUUUUUUUGAAUUGUUUUGUAUUUUUUAGGUGAGGACUCAAAAAUGGGUUACAACAUCGAGCAUACCCUAGUUACAUAACACUAGUUAAAUCUUGACAUAACAGUUCAAGUUAAUUAAUGGCUAGGAUUUUGUUUAGUGGAUUUGUUUUUUGAAAUUAAAUAUCAUAUCAAUAAACAAAUAGCAACUAAAAAUGUAACUAAAAAUAGCAAUAUUUGUUUAAAUAUCAUAUCAAUAAACAAAUGUAACUAAAAAUGUAACUACUAAAAUAGAUAUUUUAUUUUGUUAAUUUUAUUUGAAAAAGCUUUUGAACAUAAGGACUCCAUAUUUUUUUUUUUAUGAUUACUAUAUUGGAUAGGCUUAAUGCCCCGGUAAUAACCAGGAUAGGAGGCCGACUUAAUUAGAGUUGAUAGGGCACAAAUAUAUAUAUAAUGUGCUCCGAUUAAUACAAAAUUAAUUAUAAUAAUAAUUAGGGUUUGUUCUUUUAUUCAGUUUCUUGUUAUCUAUUUUUGGGUUCUCUCACAAAAAAAAUUGCAAGAAAACAAAAAAUAUGAACAAUUGAUUUGAUCUUAUGAAAUACAUGGCAGAAGAGAUUAGAAAAUGAUUUCCAUUUGUCAGAAAUACACCCCAAUAGUCUUAAUUUGAAUUGCACUUUGCACUCCUUUUCCAGCGAUCAAUAGCUAGGAAACCUGUCAGUGAAAUCUUUAUUAUUUGCUCCGGGUUGCUGCUGCUGGUUACUCUGUCACGGAUUAUUAUUUUUCAGUAGUCAGUUAUCCUAGUGCUUGCUUGGACAUGCUCAACAAUGGAGUUCCUCUAAAUGUAAUUACCAAAGUGAAAUCUUCUGUCAAAGUCAUUUCAAGCCGGAAAAGAUCAGGAAAAAGAAGUCUUGAAACAUCAAGCGAAUAGAGCCCAGCAGGAAAAAUUCGUUUCUGACGGUGAGAUUUGUAAUGUGAUCCUAGAUACAAUCUCAUCUCGAUUAGACUCCAGUACUGGAGGAUGUGAUUGCUGAUAUAAAAAAUAAAUAAAUAAAAACACUUAUAUGUUAUUUCUCAGUUCAAAUCUGGUGAUGAGAUUCAUACAGAAGGACUCGUGGCACGGCUGAAGCAGAUCCAAGGUCAAUACUUGAGGAAAAUCUUGGAACCAUUCCAGCUACUAUUAUUUUUUCCAACUAUUAGAUCUUAACAUCAACAGUCAAUAUCGUUGAAAAAAUCAACAUUGAAGCCAUACAAAUUCACGUAAGGGACACACAAACCCCACAAGAAAGAAAGGAAAAGGGCCUCACAAGAAGUAAAUAAAAUCUCACAAUGAGUAAGAAAACCAAACAUAUUGUAGAAUAAAAGUAAGGCAUUGGAUUGAUCGUUCAUUAGCCGUUCAUGAUCAUGAAUCAAAUCAUUACAUAAAUCAUCACCCACGCAAGUAAAAUAAAAAUCAAGGCUUUGGAGAUUGCUUAACCUUUCCAACAGCGUUGCUGUUUCGAUCGGUAGGCUUGAUACUUUUAGUUUUAUCUAUGUUAACACUAUAGGUAAUUAAGAGUUUAUUUGGUAAUGUGGUUACGGUUAUUUUUUAAAUAAUUUUUUGUAUUAAAAUACAUGUCAAUGAUAUUUUGACAUCAGCACAUCAAAAUAAUUUGAAAACACGAAAAACAUAUUAAUUUAAAGUUAAUAAAAAAUUAAAAAAAUUCAAUGAUAUUUUGAUAUUAGCACAUCAAAAUGAUUUGAAAACACGAAAAACAUAUUAAUUUGAAGUUAAUAAAAAUUUAAAAAAAUUUAAAUUUUUAAAAAUAUUUUUAAAAUAUAAAAAGAAACAGGCUCAACCGCGGAAAGUCUUGCAAAACAAAGCAUGUAUAGGGAGGGUGGCAGACACGUAGCUUCGCUGUGAUUUCUUGACAUUAUAUUUUUUAUUGAUUUGUUUUUUUGUAUUUUAUUAUUUUUUAUGCGGACACCCAAAAAUGAGUUACAACAUUAUUUGAGAAUAGACAAAAAAAAAUUUUUAAUUCAGUUAUAGGAUGAUGAAUUCUCUCUUGGUCAUUCAAAUAUCUUCAUAUAGUUUACAUUAUACCUAAUAUUUACUUAUUUUUUACCAUUGAUUAGAAUAAUAUGUAAUCAGGAUCAAAACAUAACACUCCCUAAAUAAAAUAACUUGGUGAUCUCAAGUCCUUUAAUCUUUGGUGCUUCCCUGAAGGUAGAGUUUCAUCUAUGGCUUUUAAUCUUGAAUAAAUUGCCUAAAAAAAAAAAGACUAAAACUGUGAAUUAUAUUUUACUUUAUCAUAAGAUGGUUUAGAAGUUAUGAUAUCGGGUGACAAAAUAGUUGGGACAAUAGUUGAUCUUGCCUCAAUCUUUGGAUGACGUCUUCUUAUUAUGGAAUGGCAUGGUAUAGGGAUUUAUGACAAAAAAAAAGUGGUGUUUAUUCUUCUCUGGUAUAGUUUAGUCUAUUUAGAAUACCUGUAAUAAUAUAAUUUUUAAUGAGAAAGAAACAAAUUAGAAUGGGAUAUAUUAUUUCUUUUUUAAUUGGGCUGUUAUUUGAGCGAAAUAUAAAGAUUUAGAGCUUUUUCUAUACUAGGUUAGAUUUAAUUUGUUCAUCAAAUUAUUUUUUUAUAUGGACUAAAAAUAUAAAUAUGAGAAUUGAUUCUCCAAUAUUAACGCAUCUUCAAAUGACAAAACAGGGUCUUUAAGAAUUGGUGGUGUUUUUAGUGAUAAUGAAGGAAGAUUCCUUUGUAUUUUUUUCUUGUUCAACAGGUAAUAUAGAAUCUAUUGAAAUUGAGGUCUUGUUAAUUUGAAAAGCUAUGAUUGCUACUAUGUUAUUAAUUGAUGAGUUAGAUUCUUACGAUGUCGUUACACGUCAUAAUUAAAGCAUAAAAUGUCGUGCACGCCGAUGCUUGACUUGCGGUUUUCCAUUUUGAUUUUUAAAUACCAGAAAACAGUAAUUUCCUUAUAGAAACUGGUGGUCUCCUCACGACAUUUUUUUCAAAUAACUGUUGUCAGAAAAUGACUAUCCUCAUUAACAGUAAUUUAUUAAUUUUUUUUAAUAUACUUUGUUCAUGUGAGGUUGUGUUUUCAAAAUCUUCCAAGAAAAAAAGGGACUAAAUGAUGAACCAAAUUGAAUUUCACGCUCCUAAUUUAAUAAAUUAAAAUUUUCAAGCUCUAAAGUUAUAUCCUUAGCACCAUACUCUAUUAAGGAAAAGCUCUAAUAUUUUUAUCAAAAGUUUAUAAUUUAAUAAUCCAAUCUUAAAACAAUACUUUAAUUGUUGAUAUAAAAAUUUAAAACUGAUCUAAUCAAAAGAGUUCAAAACUAAAUGGAAAAAAUAAUUAAAAUAUAAAACUAACUAGAAAAGUAAUUAAAAUAACAAAAAUAAAAUCUUUUGAGCUUAAUUUGAAAAGAUUUGUGUGGUGGAUGUUCAAACAUAUAGUUUUGAAACCCGAUCCGGUGAUCGACCCGGUUUAAUGAUCGGGUCACGGGUCCAAUGGGUUGACCCGGGUUAAUCCAGGUCAACCUAAAAAAAAAAAAAAAAAACUAAUUAAAGGGCAUUUUAUGAAUCAGGGGCAGGGCCGGGCGGUUAAAGAGGAAGAGCUUAUAUAGGCUCCAUUGCUAAAUUAACCUAAUGAGGUGAAAUUUAUCUUCCCCUCCAAUUUGAAAAUAUUUUGAUUGAGUUCAGGGCACAGAGCCCUAGACAAUGAAAAUUAGUAUUCCCCUCCUAUUCAACUUGAGAAGAAUCUUGUCCUCACCUAAAGCAUCUCCUACAUUCCAAAGGCUAGAAGUCUGCUUUCUUCGUAUUUGAGCAUCUUUGCCUCUUUUACUCUGAAUAGAGAAGGAGCUGCUCUAGAAUGCCCUCUUUUGAGGUGCAGAUGAGGUGGAGGAAUCGGUUGUGCACAGUUCCUACUGGGAGGUAUAGUAAAGAAGGUAUAAUCAAUUGGUUUUUCAAACUGUAGCAUAGACACUUGUUUGCCACAGUGGGGGUAGGUACUUUUAGUAAUGAUGAAGAUGAAGAUUUCAGAUGAGGAUUUGGAGAGGCCAUUGGCCAUUUCAGAUGAAGAUUUCAGCCGGGUUUCAGCUGGGUUUACCCGGGUCAACCAGGUUUCGGGUCGACCCGCCGGGUCUACGGGGUUUCACCGGGCCAACUCCCAAGCUAGUUUUUUCUUAGACCCAGACCGGUCCUAGGCCAGGUCGGCUGGGUCCCGGGUCGACCCGUUGGGCCGGUCCGGGUUUCAAAGUGUUUUUCGUUGACUAGAAAGUAUUUUCCGUUAACUAACUUUUCUAAUGAUAAACAAAUACAGGAAAGUUUGAAAAAUGGUUUCCCAGAAAUUAGUUUCCGGGAAACAAACAUGGCCUUAGUAGACCUAGGAAGUCAAGUUUUCUAAUUAUCCACGUCAUCAAUCUCGAUCCCAUCAAAAAUUAAUUUGGUCGAAGAAAGAAAAAAAAAAUUAUCAAUUAUUUUCAAGCUUGUGGAACGGGUGUUCCUCCAUUUUCUUGUUUAACUGUUUUCUUUGCAGACUUGGGAAGUCAUAUGUUAUGAACAAUUGAUUUGAUCUUGUAAAAUUUAUGGCAGAAGAGAUUAGAAAAUGACUUCUUCUUUCAAUAAUCUUCUUCUUUGUGAAAUGAUUUCCCGAUACAGCUCUUAAUUUCAACACCUGCUUGCUCUUCUUUUCUUAGUAGACCUGGGAAGUCAAGAUUCCUAAAUAUCCACAUCAUCAACCUCGACCCCAUCAACAAUAGUGCCCACCAGGAAAAAUUAGUUUCUGACGGUGAGAUUUGUAUAGCUAGUAAACAUGCUCAACCAAUAAUCAUAAAUGAUGCCAAAAUUGUAGUCAAAGAGACUUGGAACUCCCUGAUGAUGGUCUCUAGCUCUGGAGGUUUAUUCUGCCAAAAUUGCAUGGGCCGUUUUACAGCCUUCGUAAUGGGCUUGGCUACUUUGGGUAAUUAAAAAAACCCAAAUCGAUAAUGUUUUUUUUUUCCUUCGGUAUCCGUUUAAUCAAUCUUCUGGUUUGAUCCUUGAUAGUGCUGUGUUUUGAUGCUUGUCGAUUAGCCACAAUAAUGUUAAAUUUACAAGGACAGGUCCAAGAAAAGCAAUGCAGGCCUGUAUUGGUCUCUGGGAGUCCGCUGAUAAAGGCUGCAAUCAUUGCUUGAACCCUUGUAAAGGGGCCUUUACACAUGAGGUCCACUGAAGAAGUACAACACCGUUUUUUAUUUAAUUCUUAUGGUUUAAAUCUACUAAUAACUUAGUCAUUUUGCAUGCUAUUUUCCACUUGUUUUGUAAAAUAGAGAAAAGAACAAAGUAAAUCUUUUUUUUUAGUUUAUGGCAUGUUCUCAAAAGUUUUAUUGAUAUUAAUUAAAUAACAAAGACAUUGAUGUAGCUGAAAAUUGAGAACGAGAGGGAUGAUCAGGAAUGGAUUAAGCAAAUUGGGCUUGAAAAAGACCCAACAGCAGAGAAAAAUCUGAAAUAAACUCUUGAUGUUCAAAAUAGCCCACAAGCAAGGCUUAAAUAGUUAGGGCUGAGAAAAUUACCAAAAUAGGUAAAUACUGAUUAUUCAAUAAAUAUAGAAACUUCCUGGAAUAAGUUUGAUAUCCUUUAAUUUUUUUACCGUCUUAGAACAGUUUAUCCUGUUCGAUUCCGCUUUGCUUCGACCGACCACAAUGAUCCCAUAUCCAUCUAUACAAAAAUCGAUUAAGCUGUCCGUUGACACAUUAACUUCUCUGGCUCCAUUCCAUCCUGGAUUAGCAAUCUUUCCCGGAUCAUUUAUGCCCGUUAGAACUGUUAAGCAUGUUGGAUAUUUUGCAUAAUAAGCUCUCGGGUCCUUUAUCCUCUUGUUUGUCCAAUUUAACUUUCAUGGCAAACGAUGCAAAAUGCUAUCUAUCUUUUUUUUGUUUUUUAACUCUGGGUGUCCGGGUCAGUUUACGCGCACCACAACUAAUCUCAGGACCUACUGAACAUCCUGCAAGCUCAGUAGGCAAAUAAAGUACCGCCGGGGUGACAGACUGGUGCACAGCGAGGAUCGAACUCGGGCAAUUGACCACUGAGUUAAACCCUCAAGUGUCAGCCCUACAACUUGGCCUAGUAUUCAAUAUUUUGAUAAGUCAAAUCUUGUACUCAGAGGCGCAACUAAGGGGUGGCAAGUAGGGUCGGGCCCUGCAACCACCCCUACAAAAUAUUUUAGAAUUUAUUUUUAUUUCGUUAGUUAUUUAUAAAUUUAAAAUUGCCUCUUCGUAUAAGUUGGAAAAAAUAAAAGAUAAAUAAUUUUUUCAAUUUAAUUACUUUUCUUUAUUGUUUUUUUAUUUCCAUUCUCUAAAAUCCUAACCAAAAAAAUAUAAUAAUACAAAGCAAAAAGAAAAAGUUAAAACAAAGUUAUCAAUUAAUUCAUUGUUCAUUGAAACAAGAUAAUUAAUGACCCAAAUUUAAAAUCUUUUGUUUUUUUUGUUUGUUAAGAAUUUGCUUAGAUGUAUAUAUAUAUAAUUAUGCUUCUUUUUUUUAUAGAUCUACUAGGUUUAUCAUUUUUUUAUUUCUUGCUAUAGUGAAUGUUGUUUUUUUGUAAUGAAUUGGAUAUAUUUUAUGGGUUUAUUUUGAUUAUACAUAUAUAUUUUUUUGUUUUGUUUUUAGCAGAAUCGUUAAAAUUAUCAAUUUUUUUCUCACAUAUACCUUACUAUCACCAGAUCCAAUAUAUAAUUAGACACGAUUUUUCUAGCCAAAUUAAGUUCUUUGAAAAACACAUGCCUAGUUUUAAUUCAAUUUAAGUUUUCUUUUUUAGAAAUCAAUAAUUUCAUUUUUUAUGUUAGAUUUGUUUUUAUAUAUCUUUUUUUUUAAUAUGUUGAUUUUGCUUUUAUAAGCCAAUAUGGUUUACAUGUAACAAAUUAUAUUUUAUUAUAUUAGUUUUGACCCUUCCUGUUAAAUAAUCUCAGCUACGCCCCUGCUUGUACUGAUGGGUUUGCCUCAAGUAGGCUAUUCUUAUCGUGAAAAUAAGUUCACAAACAACAUUGCAGAUUAAUCUGUCGAGUUCUCAACAAAAAGACAGUCUUACUCCUAUCGAGAUGAUCUUCUUCCUUUCAUGUCUGGUAUUGAUUUUUCUUACAACGGAUUCACUGGCAAAAUCCAACCAAAUUUUGAAAUUGUAAGUGAGCUACGAGCGGUAAAUCUAUCACACAUUAAUCUCAUUGGAUCCAUCCCCGCAACUCUUUAGAACCUGAAGCAGAUUGAGAGUUUGGAUCUUUCUCACAGCAAAUUGACCGGUACGGUACCAUCCCUUCGCAGCUAUUGAGGUGAGCACAUUGGAGGUUUUCAGUGUUGCAUACAAUAACUUGUCCGGUAAAACUCCAGAGAGGAAAGCUCAGUUCGGAACCUUUGAUGAAAGUAGUUAUGAGGGAAAUCCUCUUCUUUGUGGACCUCCAUUGCGAAUUUGCAGUGAAACAAACUCGUAAUUGCGCAGCCUGUACCUAAUAAUGAACAAGAAGAUAAUAAUGGUUUCGUAGACAUGGAUGCUUUCAUUGUGAGCUUUGAGGCAUGUUACAUAAUUGUGUUGUUGGCAAUUGCAGCAGCUCUUUACGUAAAUCCUUACUGGAGAAGAAGAUGGUUUUACUUCAUUGGAGAGUGCUUAAGCAAUUGCUACUGUUUUCUAGUGGUUAAUUUCCGUAAGCUGUCCAACAUCAUGUCAUCGGACCUCUGUAUAAUCAUUCAAUUAGAUGACACAUUUAAAAAUUUUAAAAACUAAUAAUACUAUAACUAUGAAGAACACCUAAAAUAUUUAAUUUUAUUCUUCCAAGUCUCUGCUAAACUAAUGAUACACAAUUGUGGUACUAGCAAUUGCGGGAGUUUUGUACAUAAACCCAUAUUGGCGACAUAGGUGGUUUUACUUCAUUGAAGAGUGCAUGGAGACUUGCUACUUUGAAUUGCAUACAUUUCAUAAGCUAUCCUCCUUCAUAAGGCCAUAGGGUCUGAUGCGUGCCUUUUGUUUUUUCAUAUUUUUUAGUUUGAACUAAUAAAACCUUUACUUUUUUUCAAGCUUCAGUUCAUUUUAUUGCAGUUUCUCAAAUGAAUUCUACAAAUUCAAGAUAUAUAUGCAUCCUUAAUGCCAUAUUAAAAAGAAUAUAUAGAUAGAAGAAGAGGAGCUUUACGUGAUAUGGAUAGCGUGAUGCUCCUAAGCCUAGAACCAGCUAAAACUUAAUAUUAUGAUGAAUAAUUCAGCAAAACUUAAUUCAAUUUCAACUUCCAAUCUCAUCAUUAGUACAAAAUGCAGAGUCAGAUUGAAAGGAAAUUGAUUGGAACUUGAAAUUCAGGUAACAAUACUUCUAGCAGAGCUUCCUCCUUAGCCUCUCCCUAUUGUAUCUUCUUCGAGUGGAACUCUUAGCUUUUUGCCCUCCAAGAUAUAUGUUCUCAUCUUUCUCAAGUACUCUCUUUUCCAUCCAGCAUAAGCAAUCACAACUUACCUCAACGGAAAACUUUAUAGCCAACUUCAAGUCUUCAACCAAUAUUUAAAAGGAAUUUUGUCCUUUGUUUGAUAAGCAAAAUCAACAGAACCUGUCGUUGACUUUCUAGCUCAUAUAUAGCAGUAGCCAUUUUAAGGAGCAGAAACAAACACUGUAGAGAUUUAUCAUCACGAAAAUCUAGUUGAAGCCAACUACAUCAAAACUCCACAGCCAAUGUAUUAAUCUAGUUCUGUAAGCCUACACCUUUGGCAUUUUUAUAUAAACUUAUAUCCUAGCUUAAUAACAAGUAUUUUAGUUACUGGAAAAUAAAUAGAUAAGAUAAUCCUAACUUAAUCUAAAUUAAAUAGUUAACACAAUAACACAAAUCAAAACUCAGGAAACAAGAAACAAGUGUGAAUUGAGUUAAAACAAAUAUGAAAUCAAAUAGAGGAUGGAAAGUUUAUUUUUAGAUCAAGAAUAGCAUGUAUUAAAAAGAUAAUAAAUAAAAUUAGAGUAAUAACAUUGCUACAACUUAUCAUUAAAUUUCAUUUGCAAUUUCCUCUCAAUUUUCUGUAGUUUUGUAGAGACAAAGAUUAGUUGGUCCUUACGGGAAUUUUUCUUCCUUAAUUUCACUCCCAUUUUCCAAACGAUGGAAUUCAUACAACCUUUCGAUUUUAUUUCCACGUAAAAUCCAUUCUUCUGUAUCAAACAGAACAUAAUAAUGGGCCAUAUUUUAAUUUAAAUAUCUUUUUCCUAAUAUUUAAAGCCUUUUUGCUGGGAAAAUGGGGAUUUGAGAGAAAAGACAAUAGAUAAGAAAGGACAUAAAAAAAAGUGAGAGAAAAUGAUGGUGGGUCUUCAUUCUUCAAGGACCGUAUUGGAACUCCUUGGAGGCAUGCGUGAGAGGUGAAAUGGAAAAGUAUAGGGAUCAAAGUGUAAUUUCAAUGAAUAUAUAGGGCUUAAAAUACAAUUUACCCUUAAUUUUUCAUGGAUGACGCAGUCACAAGGGGAGGAUAGAGGUCAUUUCUGAAAUGAUAAGACAGGCAGUGACAAUAAGUAAAAUUUUGUAAAUCAUCAUCAAUAAGAAAUCAUGACGUGGGGACAGAUCAGACGGUUGAUAGUGACUCUUUUUACCCGCUCUCUUUCUCUCCGUGGGGGGUUUUAGGACAGUAUCGCGCGAGAUGCGCGGGUGCCGUGUUCUUACAUUUCCAAGGUGCAUAGUGGGAUCCAUGUCUUUAUCCAACCAAUUAAAAUCUUGUACUCCUUGGGACCCACUCGGUUUCUAGUUUUUUCUUUUUAAAAAAACAAAUUCAUAAAAGCCCUCAACCUUCGAGGCUCCUCUCAAGCUAGUCUCAUCUCUAUCAUAGCAAUAUUAGAAUUUUUAUUCAUUUUUAGUUAACAGAAAAUUUAAGUAAUCACUUGAAAUUUAUAUGGUUUUUUUUAUAUCACUUGAAAUUUAUAUGGUUUUUUUUAUAUCACUUGAAAUUUAAGUAAUCACUUGAAAAAAUUCUCAUUUUAAAUCGCUUGAAACUAAUUUUAUAAAGAAACACAACCAUCUUACAUUUUUAUAAUUUAUAUAAUUUGUUUAAUUACAUUAAAAAAUGAUAUAAUAAGAUGAAGAGAAAUCACAUAAAUGUUUGAUUUUAUAGCCCUUUAAAACAAACUCAUCAAAAUAUUUAAUCCAAAUUAUAGACUCUAAUAUGAAUAAAUAGAACUGGGCUAACUAAAAAAAAGCAUGUUCAUGUAAAAUGACUAGUCUGACUAAAAAAAUCUAAAUUUCAUUUCGACCUUUAAAUCAUUUUUAAAUUUAAACAAGAGAUUCUAGGUCUCAAUUCUAUAAAAAGGUGGCCUCGGCUUGAUGUUUGAGUCAAUUUCAUUCUAGUCUGCAUGGCAAUGGUCCCACUCAAUCGCAGUAUCCACAUGAGCAGAGUCUAAUGAACUACUCAACAUGCAUUUGGUUCUGGUAAUUCAAUUAUGCGAAGGGUGUAGGUUCGAAUUCUUCGACUUAAACGAACAUGUUUGCGUAAUUAAGUGUUCAAUCACGUACUUCGCUAUUGAAAACAUUUAGAAUUUAUCAACAAUUCAAUUAAGCAGGUAUAUACAGACUUCCAACAUCUGUAGAUAUCAUUGAAUCAUUAGUGAACACUGAGUAGACCGAGAUCCAGAUCAAAAUGUGUCACUUAAGCUCUUAAUAUUACAGAAAACUUACAAUUGCCCUGAUGGUUAGCACAAAAGACCGGCUUGGAGUUCAGACUAGCCAAAUUGCCCAACUCUUUAAGCCUGAAUUUUAUCACCAUCAUAAAAUGGGGAAAUUAGUUUAGAUAUACAAGGCGAAAUGGAAUUAAUUACCUCACAUUUUGAACUUCAGAUUGGUAAUGCAUGACCACUUGCAGGUCCUCCUAGUGUUAGAACCACACCUUGAAGAUCACUUCUUGGAUUUGAUUCUUUGGCUAAUGAUGGAGCAGCUCUGAUUACCGGAUAUGUUCUGGUCACUUGAGUUUGUCGAGAACUAUGACUGGAUUCUUGUCCUGAGAAUGUUGUUGGAUGAUGAGAAGGCUUCAAGGUAUCAGUAUGAUUGGAGUUUGGAAAUUGAUGAACAAUGGGGAUUUGAGUUGCUGGUGAUGCAUGAUUUUGAGCUAGAAUUGCCCCUCUCGAUACGAAACCAGGUGCCUGAUAGAUAAAAUUAGGUUUCAAUUCGAGUUCGAAAUAUACUGCAACUGAGGAAGUAAUGAGGAGCUUACAGGUGAAAACAAGACCCCUCUGAAAAUCUUCCCAUUAACAGUUGCAGUCAUUAAAAGGCCUGAGUCGAAGGCUCCGUCAACUUUACCUCGAACUUCAGCACCAACCUAUGGAGAAAGAGAAGAAAGUGAAAAGCAUGUAUUAGCAGAACAGGAAGAAAAACAAAGACAGGAAAAAUUGUAAUCGACAAUGUUUUGCAUUGCAUAUAUCAACUUAAUGAUUUACCAGGUUUUGAAUACACCCUGGCUCCAUGGGUUUAUGUUCCACUGCUGGGAAUGGUGUUCCUUGCCUGCCCAACCCUGCAUGAACAUAUUGCUCUACUCUUUUAUUCUCUCUUGAAAUUUGGAGCCUUUGCCGGGUUUUUUGGAUCACAAGUCUAGGUAGUUUCUGAUUACUUGCAACACUAUCAGCCUGGUAAUUUCUUGGAAUUUUGUUUAACUGCCUAAAGAAAUUAAGUCCUUUGCAAGAUGUGAGGGAAUCAACUGAUUUCUGAACCGGUAUCUGUUCUUGGUCGGACUGAGACGGAGAUGAAUGGUGAGAGGGUGAAAGAGAAUGCUCUUCUUGUUCUAAAUCAAUCUCCCAUGCUUUUGAAUUUGUAGGUCUUAUCUUCUUAUGAUGCAGAGUAUCUGAAAGGAACGUUGUAGGUUUUUGUUAUUAAUACUACCUGAACUGAACUGAAAAGGUUGCUUUGAUUCUUCUGAUUCAUAUGAGCCCUUCAUGUCUAUUUCAUUGUUUCCCAGAAACAUUGACUGCUUCACAGAACAAAAUUAAUAACCCUCCCAACUUGAACAGGCAUAUUUAACAGGAGGUCAAGUGUUUGCAUUUUGAGAGUAAAUAGUUUAGUUACCGAAAUAUCUUCUGCUCCUGGGAGAAAUCUCUUUUCUUGAUUCCAAUGUUGUCCAAAGAUCUUGCACAUGGGAAUGUUGUAUCGACCAUUGGGAUGUUCUGCUCCAAGUUGCAAGACCAACAACUGAUUGAGAGGACGCUCAUCCUCUCUGCACCUGCACAUACAUACACACACACAUACAUACAUAUAGAAUUGAAUUAGGAGAUACAUGAAGAUUAUGGGAGGCAGUGUUGAGAACAGAAGCUGCAGAUGCGAAACAAAAACUUUCAGUUACCCUCCAUAGAUGACAAUAUCUGAGUCGGUGACAACCGCAGUGUGAGAAAACCUCCCUUGAGGUUGCUGGCCAGAUAUAUCAAGUUGAAUCCAUGAACAAGUACUCACAUCAAGCACCCAAACAUCAUUGUAGUAAUGUUUGUCCCCAACACCUCCAAUGACAUAAAGCUGCAGACCAUGGAAAGCACAUUAAAUCUCUUUCCAAAAGCCAACAAUUGAUAAAGGAGCAUCGAAGAAUCAAAGCCUUCAAGCAAAAACAGGUGAGCAUCAAUAGCACAGACAACAGAAUAGGGUAUAACAUUCCGAAGAAAAACUAGUCUAAUUUUCAAAUCUAUUUCAGUGCCAUGACUUGCCUUUGUUCCAAUAUAUAUAUAUAUUAGAGAUUGGUUGGUUAUUUAAAUUAAUUAUUGAUAUCCAUCAUUUUUUUAAUUCAAAGUUUUCUCUAUAGUUUAGGAAGAACGAGAAAUUUUAGAGAUUGAGAAACCCUAUAUUUUAUCCUUUGUUAAAUGUGGCAUCAAGUUAGGAGUAAGCCUUCUAGUUUAAUAGAUCAUAGAUAUAACACAAAUAUCUAUGUUCAUGUUAAAUAUUAAUGAACAAUGUUAUUUGGAUUUCUGUACUCUUAUAAUUGUUCAUUUGUAGAAUUGAUGGAGGUUCUUCAAUAGUUCUUCCAUGGAAUAGUUUAAAGAUCAGAUUUUAAUUACCUUCAGCAGGUAUGGUGCUAUGGAAGUCGACUCCGGUUAAGGAUAGGACUUUAAGAGUAGACAAGGGUCUCAUUUUCCUAAGAAAGCUUGCUGGGAGAGAAGAAUAAUCGAGGAACACUUCUUCCAGGCUAGACGAAUUACACAACCCUGUAGAACAGAUAAAAUAAAUCCAUUAAUAUAUUAUAAAUAUCAUAUUGUUUUAGGCACCAAAACUGUCACUGACCUUUCCCAAAGUGUUUAAAUUUACUACCACUUGCUUGUAAGGUCUUGAGGGAUGGCAACGCUCCCAAUGACUCUAUCAAAAUGCUUUCCUUGAAGUCAAUCAUUUCCAGAUACAAGAUUUCUAAAUUCCUUAAACCUGUGAUAUAGAGAACAAUCAAUAAUAAUUAUUUACAAUAAUUAAAUAAUUUUUAAUGUUAGAGUUAAUAUAUACAAGACAUAGCUUAAGUUAUUAAAUUAAAAUAAUUUUUAAUAUAAUAAUUAAAUAUUCACGAGAAUCAUAUCACCUUUAUUUAUUUUAAAAAAUUAAAAACAAAAUUAAUUAUGUGUAUAUUUAAGUUUCAAUUACUUCAAAAUUACUUCACUUAAAAAAUUACGAUAAAGAAUUAGUUAUAUAAAGCCUUUUUAAAGGUUCAUUUAAGCAAAUUAAUGGUCAAUCACACAUCUAAUUAUUAAACAAGUUAACUAAAGAAUAGAUUAAGCAAAAACAAUAUAUAUAUAUAUAUAUAUAUAUGUUCAACGAAAGUUAUGAUUAAGACACAUCUAAUUAUUAAAUAAGCUUAAUAAAAAAUAAAUUAAGCCUCACUAAAGACAUGCGCAGGUUCCGAGAACAAGUUGACUCUUGUCAAGGUGGUGAGCUCGGUGAAGGCAUUGUAAUACUCAGAGUAUGAAAAUAGAUAUGGAUCAACCUUUAAUGGGUUGCCCCCAUAGGUAAAGGUGGAGAGCUACCUGGACUCUUGAGACUAAGAGUGAGAGACUCACAGAGAAGUAAGGCGUGGUUCCUAGGGUGGAACAGAGGGCAGAUGCAACUCCUGGGUGAGUAGACUCUUGGAAGUAUGGUGAGCUCGUGAUCAUAUUGAGAUACUCAAAUAAUGACUGUCGCACUUGGAAAUGGAAAUUUCCGUUUGAGGGGGUGUUGUAAGCCUUGGUGUGAGGCUUGAUGAAUCAUUCCGGACCGAGCAUGGUUAAUACGCUCGAAGGGGAAUGUUGUGUCCCAGAGACAAGCGUGAACACUCUUCAGAUGUGAAGUGGCAGACCAUCUGGUUGUAGUGAUCCUUUUGUGUGAGAAAAGGUGUACUUUGGUGACUCUGGUGAUUGAAAGGUGUGGCAAGUACCUGUAAACUUGGCCGGAGAUGCUCUCGGAAUGGUAAGCUUGGAAGAGUUGCAAGAUGCAAGCUUGUGCUAAAGAAGUAAGCGGGCAACUGCCCAACAUGAAUGGCAAAGGGGGUGAUUGUUGGGUUGGUUGCCAUUGCAUGUGCAACCUACCCUAUAAAGAAGUAGGGUUACCAUUUGUCAAUGGUGGUUGCACCCACCAUUGACAAAUGUAUCAACCCAUGUGCGGCUGCUGUUAUUGAAGAAGAAGAGCCACCAUCCUUGCCUAUAAAUAGGCACCAAGAAAGAGAGCAAAAUGAGAGAGUUGUGAGAAUGUAAAGAGUGUGAAGAGAGAAAGAAAGAGAAGGGCUGCUGCCUUAUGCAGCUGCUGCCCUAUGCAGCAAUGAGAGAUGGGAGUUGAGUGGAUGUGAUCCUCCUCCAUGUUUGUAUUCUUUCUCUAUCUCUAAAUAAUAUAGACUCUCUCCCGUGGAUGUAGGCGAUCUGCCGAACCACGUUAAAUAUUGUGUCAGUGUGCUUGCUUUUCGUUGAGCAAUUAUCAGUACAUCACCGGUCGGAGUUUCCCCAACAUUCAUGUACGCCUGAAAGGAGCCAUGGAAUUUCAACAAUGCCAUCUCCAAGGAGCCAUGGAACUUUAAAGUGGGAUGUCGUGUACGCCUGAAUUGUAUAGUGACAAUGGUGGAACUGAUGCGGUUGCAUAGCACCAACCAGUACUUUCCUAAUGAUUUCCUUGCGGAAAAAAUUAAGGCAUGUUGGAAAACGAUGCCACCCUAACAAUUAAUCCAAGAGUUCAAAUUCAACUUGAAUAAAAGCACGAUAAAUGGAUAAUUUAGAGGAGAAAGGAUCCAAGAACAUCAUGAAGGGAUGGUUCUAUUUUGUUACGCAACAAUCUCAACAGCUAAUUAAGAGGUUAGAUUGUAGGGUCUAAUUUCAAGUGCAAGACUCUAUUGAUUCUCAUCAUUAUAGUAAUAAAACCAUGACCAUUUUUAUUAAAUUAAGAGGAAACACAAAAUUAAACAAGAAAAUCUUAAGAGUUCAGAAAUAAAUCUAACAUUGUCGAACAGACUGUGAGCAAACCCAGAUUUGGUGGAAGAUAGAAAUAUGAAGAGAGAGCAGAAAUUGAUGGUCUCCUUGUUUUUCAUGGUCUCCUUGUUUUGCAUUUAAGGUUCGGCCAUCUAAGCUUCUCAUUGGGUUUUAAUUUCCUGAGUUAAUUUCAUCAUGGCUGGACUUGAAUAUCUCUAUAUAUACACUUAAGGCUGGGUGAGCUUGUCUCUUUAGCAGGCCUUCUUAGGCUUUUGUUCUUUCAAACAAUGUCAGCUCUAAGCCCAUUAUUUUACAGAAAAGGUAAAAUACACUUGUCAUGGCUGAUUGAAAUCGUGGAAGAAAAAACUAGAGGAAAGAUAACCGAUUGACCCCCAACGAAGACCAAUGCAGAGGAAUUUCAAAGGGGAAAAAAGGUGGCGGCUUUAUGAUGCAGUUCAUCUAAAGAUAAACCUAAUCUGAAUUAAUUGUUCGGUCUCCUUCAAAGCGAAAUAACUUUGCCAGGUUUCCUCCCAGUGACAUUACAUUAUUAAAGUUAAAAGCGCUGAAGCACAAUUCAAAGACAAUAAGUAGUAUUAAACUUAAUAAGCUAGUUCAAUGGAGGAGAAUGGUGUGCUGAAACACUAUGAUUUUCAAAAAAAUUGAAGCAUAUCAGAUCCAUGCUGCUGCAUUCGCAAGAAACGAGCACCCAUCAACAAUGUGCUAAAUGUCAAUGCAGAGCUUUAAAUCAUCUACAGAGGCUCAUGAAGAAAAUAGGCAUAAAUGAUAACAGAUAACACACCAGAGCACUCUACGUAAACUGAUAUCUUUAGAAAAUUCAAAGGCAUGAAUGAAAAAGAAAAGCGAGGAAUAUCUAAGUCAACUCUUAAUUUGUAACAGUCCACAACUUCAUGUUUGGUGUGUACUGUAAACCAUGCUCUCCACAUAAUCACGAGCUUCAUCUGCAAAAAACCAUUUUCACUUCUGGGGACAAGGGAUCAAACAAAUAUAAACCUGUUGUUGGAUUACAUUCAUAAUUUAUAUCAAGCCCUAGCUGCUGCUCGAAGGUAAGAAUUGGCUGGUUGCUCAGCACAACAUAACUGAUACAAACAAUUACUGAUACAAGCAAAGGACAAACACAAGUCACAUCAAAACAGAAAGGCUAAGCAACAAGAACACUUCUCACAGGCAAAUUGCUAAACAUGUAGUUAGCAACCAUUGAUUUGGAAUGCGACUGCUUCUCCACAGAGGAUUACAACAAAUUCAGAAAGCAGCCCACACGCUCCUGAUAAGAUCCAAUCACCUUCUGAAUCUGGACAACUUGGGAAAGUUUAUAGCCAAAAAGCAGCAGCAAGUGUCAAUGCAUUCUUCAAUGAAGUAAAACCAUCUGCGUCGCCAAUGCGGAUAUAUGCACAGUACUGCUGCAAUUGUCAACACCACAGUUAUGUAACACCCACCAAAGCUGGCAUAGAAACUGUCCAUGUCUAUGAAGCCACCAUCUCCAUUGAAAUCGUUAGGCACUCUAGCGGAUGGUGAUUCUGUUUUGUCGCAACUUUUUUGCAAUGGAGGUCCACAAAGAAGAGGAUUCCCUUUAUAACUGCUCUCAUCAAAGGUACAAAUUGAUUUUUCAUCUCCGGUGUUCUUCCUGACAAAUUAUUGUACGACACGUUGAAAACUGCUAAAAGGUCAGUUCAACGAGUUGUGCAGGAAUUCUCCCAUUCAAAUUGUUGUGAGAAAGAUCCAAGCUCUCUAUCUGCUUCAGAUUGAGAAGGAUGAAGGGAUCAAUCCAGUGAGAUUAUUUGUGACAGAUUUAGAGAAUAUAUCCCACUUAAGUUUCCCCAUUCUGUCGGGAUUUCUCCAGUGAAUCUGUUACAAGAAAGAUCCAUAACAGAC
rnacentral:lncRNA from 1 species